rnacentral:lncRNA from 1 species
AAAGUAUUGCCCUACUCCCUUCUAAAAGGUCGAUAAUAUUUUCACCCCCCAAUGUUUGUAAAGCUACCCUACUUCUAGAAAGUAACUACAUAAAGAUCACAUUAUUUUUAAAAAAUUUCAAAUAAAGAAGAAUAUUUAGAACUAAUUAAUUAAAUUUAUGUUAAUUUAUAUUUUUGUGACUUACAUAUUUUAUUAUAUUUGACUGCUAAAGUUGCUUUUUACCCUAAGUUUAAAUUUAUCAUUUUACCUUAAUAAGGUAAAUGUACCAAAACUUUACUUUGUCUUCAAUUUUUUUAAUUUUAUACAAAAUUUAUUAUUUCUAAAUGAUGUAUCAAUACUAAUUUAUUACUAUGAUUAUUAAUUUUUAAAUCAACCAACAUAAUGACUUUAAGGUACAAUACUCAUGUAAAUUAUUGGGGUAUCAAAUUCAUGUCAUUUACAUAUAUGGUAUUGAAAACUAUUAGAUUUCAUACAAAAACAUUAGAUUAUUGAUCACAAGAUUAAAUACCUAAAUUAUUGUAUACAAGAAUUAAUAAAUAUUCUCAGGUCGAUUAAUUUGGUCAUUUUAUGUGAAGAAAGUUAUCAACCACCCACCUUAAGUUUACUUUGCGUUCAAAAAUACUAAAAAAGUUUUAAUUUAUUUGAUUUUAAUUUCACCCUAAAUUUACAAAUUGUAUCAACAUAGUAAAAUAGAAACAAAAUGAUAACAUAGAAGCAAAGAGACAAAAUUACCCGUACAAAAUGAUCAAACAAAAACAAACAAAAACGACAAUGGUGGUCAUUUUGUAAAGGUAUUUUUUUUUUUUGGAUGGUAGAUAGAAAUUACAAACUUAACAUGGAAGAUUGAACAAAUUCUAACUUUUAUAGUAUUUUUAAACAAAAUGUAAUUUUAGAAUGGAUGGCUAAUAGUUACCCUUUUAUGUCGUAAGGAUAUAUAGUCAAAUGAAAUUUAUAUUAAAGCAACCUUAAUGGUAAAAAUUGCGGAAAAUGGUUAGUGAAGAGAAGCACAAGAGAAAUAAAGAAGAAAAUGGUAGAGAGAGAGAGUAAGUGGGUAGAGAGAGAGAGGACAAAAUUCUCUCGUGUUUCUCUCGUGCUUCUCUACACUUAGCACUGCUCAAAAAUUGCUCAGAGAAACCAAAGUAAGGAAAAAUUAUAAGAAGGAUUAAUUAAUUAAAUGCACUAAUUUUUUACUAAUUUGUAUUUAUUAAAAAUAAUGAAAACAUAUUGUAUAUAUUUUCCAAGAAAUGGGUGAAUUUACACAAUAAGUAAGGUGAAAAUAUCCCCGCUCUUUCUAAAACAAAAUAUGUUAGGAAGUUACAAAAUAAAAUUUUUUCUUGGUCAACCAUAUUGGUGGAGCCGUGGAAAUAAGCAAAAAAGGUAUUUAUCGUUUAAAAAGAGACAAUUAAACUCAAUCUUAAACCUUUUACCAGCCUUACCCCUCGUAAUAACAAAAUGCAAUAAGCCAAAAACAGAAAGAGCGACAACAUCUUGAAUUCUGAAGCUAAACCUUCAUUCCAAAAUAACAAUGAAAUGCAGAUACGAAGAGGAACCAGCGAUGAAACAAAGACUUAAGACUUUAUUCCAAAUCCAGUAGGAGACCCAAAAAGGGUACACGAUCGAUAAUAAGAGUUUUAAUUGAUUUGAUGAAAGCAGUUACCAACUAAAACAACCCGCCCCGCAACUCCCUAGGACCAGUCUAUCUAAACUCGUAAAAUCGAAACUAUUCUAUAAAAAUUUCGGCAGAGUCUCCCUUAUAAUUAAAACAUAUCCAAUCCUGCAAAUUACAAAUCAACACUCCCAAAAUAAUUUGAUAUCCAACCAUCCUUCAUAACCAACUUCUCAAGUCAACACCUCAAAUUUCACCCAAACCCUUCUAAUAAUAAAAUACACUGGUAAUCCUUAAUUACAAAAUAUAAUAAAUAAAUACAAUUCGCAAUAUCCCAAAUAAUUAAAAUAAUUAAAUCUACGACUUCUAGCACCAUUACGUGGCCACAAUUUCAAAUCUAACUAUCGUUACUGAGUCGACUGAUGUACCUGCAAGUCUCCUGGGGGGGAGAAAAUAUAAUAAAAGCGGAAUGAGUAUAAAACUCAGUGAACUCAGUGAGUGGAUAAUAAUUUUAAAAAUCAAUUCUUUUAAAAAAUAAUUUAAUCUUUUUCAAAUCAAUUUCUCAAAUCAUCAAUUUCUCAAAUCAAUUUCAUCAGAAUAUCAUAAGAACUUACAUAAACUUAUUUAAUUCAAAUCAGUCACUGAAAUACUAUAUUACGUAAAUCUGCAUAAAAUCAAUGGAAACAUAAUACUUAUUAUAUCAAAUACUGAAUACCAAAACUAUCAUCAAACAAGUACCCAGGGAAAUCUCGUCAUAUCCGGACCUCAACGGACGGGCAAUGACGCACUAUCUGGGUAACGUCAUGCCCCGGAGCUACAACGGAUAGACAGGGAAAUACUAUCUCAUAUCUCAUCAUAUCUGUGCAUGCAUAAUCUAGUCCCCAAAGGACAAAAGCGCCCAAGCACACGGCCCAAAGCCUCUGUGUGUACUCAGACGGGCCCCAAAGGCCUGUAUCUCAUCUGUAUCUCAACUCUCUGUAUCUCAUAUCUGUAUCACUGUAUCUCAAUAACUGAUCUGUAUCCCAUAUCUGUAUCACUGUAUCUCUGUAAUUGAUCUGUAUCUCAUAUAUGUAUCUCUAUAUCUCUGUAACUGAUCUGUAUCUCAUAUCUGUAUCUUUGUAUCUCUGUAUCUCUGUAACUGAUCUAUAUCUCAUAUCUGUAUCUCUGUAUCUGGAGGGAAGGGUACUGUCUAAUGUUUUCAAAAACAAUAUUUAUACUCAUGUAUAUAAACAUAUAAUCACAUCUGAAAUCUCAUUUUCUUUCUAUUCAACAUAUCUCAAAUCUGCUCAAUUCUAAUAUCAUGCCUUUACUAAAAAAACGAUAGUAAAAUCAUUAAUCAAACUCAUUCUCAAUAACAAUAAAUAUCAACACAUAAAUAAAAAAUCAAUUUUCUAGAAAAGCAUUAAAUCGAGCAUCAAAUACUUAUUUAUAAAAACAUACUGCACUGUAUCAUAAAAUCAACAUAUACUCUAAAAAUAGGUUUUGUAUAUUCCACUCACAGUGACAAUGUCCAAACUCGGUGUCAACAAAGUCCGUGGAUUAAUUCUCGUUCGCGAAUCCUCCUAAUCAAGGAAACGCCAAAAUCAUUCUCCGUAACUUUGAAAUACAACCAAUUUAAUAUAAUAAAUCUCGAAACGAAUAUCUAUCAACAAUAAACUAUUUCCGCAUGUACAAAAUUACUGAAAUACCCCUACAUACCAAAAUUACCAAAAUGCUCCCAACAUUAAUAUUUUACCAAAUUAUCCUCAGAAUCUUCAAUUACUAAAUGGUCCUCAAUUCAGAUCACAUAAAUAACUGCAAUGUCAAAAAUUAUGAAAUUACCCUCGGAGCGUAAAUUUACCAAAAUAUCCUUAACGACUUAAAUUACCGAAUUACCAUCGUAAUCUCAAAUUACUUCACUGCCCUAACUUAAAAUUACCAAUUUAUCCACUGAUUCCACAAAUUACAUAUUCACCCUUAGGUUUUGUGAAUUACCGAUUUGCCCUUGAAUUCAAUAUUACCAAAAUACCCUCAUAUCAAAAUUACCAAAUUAACCUCAAAAUCAUAAAUUACCAACUUUAUCCUCAAUUACAGCAAUUACCAAAAUACCCACAAAAUCUGAAAUUACAACAUUGCCCUUAUGUUAUGAAAUUACCGAAAUGCCCUUGCCGGUCAACGGUCACCGGAAUUUAUCCGACGGCGACGGGAAGCUCAAAUCUUAAAGUGCCAAUCACGCUGAGUUCAAUGGUACCGGCGGUGAGCUCCGACGCGCGGCAACGACGCCGGAAUCUAGCUCGACCGCCGUGAGUUCCAACAAUCGACCGGCGGCAAAACAACGACUCUCGGUGCCUAUGGAUGGUCGGAAAUGGAAGAGGGAAUCAUGAGGAACAAAAUCCAACCGGUGGUGUCACCCAAAUCUGGCGAAAUCACGGCGAAUCAAGCCGGCGAUUCCGCGAACCUUCAACACUUCGAUCGGUGACUUUCCGAUCGUUUUCCGGCAGCAAGGACGGCAUGGAUACGUUGCUCAUCUCUCAAGCUUCAAAUCGGUACCAAGCACGGCCGGUGAGGUGGCCGGAAACGGGAGAACUCGUCGGGUCAAGUCGCGGGUUCGGGUUGGGUCGGGUCGGGUCAAACGGGUCAAAGACUCUCUCUCUCGUGCCUUCUCUCUCUUUCUUUGUGAAUCCAUAACAGUUCCCCCCAUUUCCAUAUAUAAAACCCGACUUCUUUUUCUUUUUCUCUUCGUUUUUUUUUUUUAAACUUAAGCUUAAUACAAAUUAAGCUAAUACCGGACCCGAGGCGAAAAAUAAAAUCCGACUACUUGAGCUUUUAAUCGCACUCAAUUUAUAUAAGUGGAGAGUCAAAAAUAAUCGGGUGCGGGGUAUUACAUAAGCAAUUAACGAAUUGGUUGUAACCACGAUCAAUUCCUCUUUCUGUAAUAACAGCAAGCGAGUCCUCCUUGGAAAGUGUUCCCUCAGUGUCGGUAGGUUUAAUAACAUGAACCUCAGCACCAAUGUACAUGUAUUAUUAAGAAGGUACCCUUUUAAAUGUUGAUUAAAUUCUGCUAGGGUAAGAAAUUUGACGAAGCCCCAUUCACUUGUCUGCUGAUCAUAGGUCCUCACUGGAGAUUUAGCAUCUUGGACUGCCAAGUAAUCCUUCCUAAUCUUAUCAUACACAAACAAUCUGUACUAGACAUUAACACUCCAGGCAGCAUUAGAAUAAGAAUUGCUUUAAUCUAUUUUCAUGUAAAGGGAAAGAUGACGUCUAUGUUCUUUGUGAUCUACUGUAUUUGCAUUUGAUGAGGGGUAAGGUUCAUAGUACGUAUGUCCUCUAAUUAAGUGUUUCUUUCUUUUUUGAUUUAGACAAAAAUAUCUACAGUCUACCCAGAGUUUCACCAUUUUUCAAAAACUGUUCUACUUCCAACUUAAUACGGUUAGUAACUUUGAUAGAAUAUUAGUAAAAUGACAAUGUUGCCCUUUAAUUCACACCAUAAAAUAAUAAAAUUAUAACAGAAAUAGAAACCAAAAUUAAAAAACAGAGAAGGUAUUUUUCAGAAAUCCUCUACUUACAAAAUCAAACCCUUCAUUAAAUCACAAUCUCAUAAAUCAUAACCCUAAUCUUACGACUCAAAUCCUAAGAAAUCAAAACCCCCUGAAUCCUGUCCACUAUCUUAGGGAGAAAAAUAAAUAAAUAAAAGUCUAAAAUGAUUAAUUUGACAAGUUUGAUUCUUCUUAGUCUAUUUAUUUUAGCAGAUUAAUUGACAAUUCUGAAUGUAAAUGACUAUUUUUUAUGAGUAAAUUAUAAAAUGAGGCAAUAGAUGUGAAGAUAGGGAAAAUGGAAAAUAGAGGAAUUAUAUAUUGAUUUGACCAUAAUGGAUUGUUCUUUAUACUAAAUUAUGUUUGGGCUAUUUAUAUAAAUAAAAAACAAAAAAGUGUACUAAAUAUUUUUAUAGUACAAAUAGUCCCAUAAUUAUUGAUUUUAUAGGUAACUGUUGGAUUAAUUUUAUUAAGUACUUCUUUGAUUUGAUUAUCAAUCUCAACCUUAUGUUGAUCGAUUCAUCUAAUUUUUCCCGUCAUUCUUCAAAGUAACCCAGUUGGUUGAUUUCUAAUCCCGGUAACAGACGUAAAAAACUGACAUUAUUAGUCAGACUAUUCAUCCUAGAGAUGGUAUAGCAAACGUGUUUUAUCUUCAAAAAAUUUAUAUCAACCACCUUAAACCUUUUAUUUCCACGCAAGAGAUUUUAGAGAAAAAAACUAGCUAAUACCCACAACUUUAUUGAAAGUCUUUGUUUAUUCAUUUUAUUGGCAAUUUACUAUAUGUGUUCCAUCGUCUUUAACAAAUGAAACUUAUACUAUUGACUAGCAUAGGCUUAAUUUACAUUGACCUUCCCUAAUUAAAGUUUUAUUACAAGCCCUAAUUGAAAUUAUUAAAGAGCGAAAUUUAUUAACAUUGGCUAAUACAGGCUAGAUUUAUUAUAUAUAAUGACUUAACAAAAAAUACUACAAUAUGAUAUUUAUUACUAAUAUAGCUAAUGACUUUAUUGGCUUUAAUUGCGGUUUGUGCUAUAGUAGUCAUCUUUGAUGUCAACAUCUGAAACUUUCACGCGGCUGCUGCGGAGUCCUAUUGGUUAGGGGUAGUUGUUGUUAUAGUGAAAAUAAAUCUUUAGUUUUUAUUUACUUGUAGAAAUGUCCACUAAGUGAGCACUUGUUGCUCUCUUUUAGCUGUGUCUUUGUUGUUUUCCGUUAGAGUCUUUGUAUAAAUUCAGAGUUCAAAGAUGAAUAAUGACAGCAGAUUAAUUUUCUUCAAAGUUCAUCUAGUAUUGCAGGCUUAGGGAUUUGAACGUUCAUCUAGUAUUAAGAGUCUAAAGAUGAAUAAAGGCAGCAAAUUAACAGAAAAGGAUCCUCUCUUGAUCUAAUAUGUUCUGAGUUUUUCAAGAUCUUCUGCCAUGUGUCUUUUAGUGGUAGUUUAUGGGUAAGAUUCAACUUCUUUUAUUUUUUUAUUCAUUAACUACCAAUCGGCAAUUGAGUUAUUUACUCAUGACAUGAUCAGAUCAUGAGAGAAUCCUGAUCCGCAGAUGAACAUUUACUCAUUUAUUAUUAAGACCUUCGCCUUUACCUAACAAAAAUUAUUAAAAAAUGAAUAUUAUUAAUAUUGGCUUAAUAUUUUAUUGGCAUUAGUCAUGCUAGUCUUUUUUUAAUGUUAAGUGAUUGUCAUUAUAUUACUAAAACAUCUUUUUUUUUCAUUAGAUUAAUAAAACUUGUUGAAAUUACAUAAUUGGCUACUUGAUCUAGAAUGACCCAAAAAAAAAAAAAAACUCUAUCGGUGUCUCAUUUUAUUAAACGGGAAAAUUAAAUUAUUUCCUUCAUUGAGAAAACAUAAUUAAACCUUAGGGAUUUGAAAGUUAUUAACUCAACAAGGCCUGAAGUUCUAUGAUUCCAAUCUAUUAAAUUAGUUUUAUCUAAUCGCAUAGAAAAUUUAUUAUAAUGACCUUACCUAACAAAAAAAGUUAAAAAAAGACUGAACUUGUUGAUAUUCCAUAUGGUAAUUAAUUUGAUUGAGAAUGACCUUAACUUAAUCAGAGACUUUUGGGAUUUGUUAAUAAAGAAAGAUAUGCUUUACGUUAUCCGGUUCACACAUUACAUAUGAUCAAGGGGCUAAACAUUGCUGCCUAAAAACGACAGUCGAUCCGGUGCUUGGUCCGCCGAUUUACACGUCCCAAAGGUACAUAAUACUUGGUGGACAAAACAGCUAUUCAGGACAAUUACUAUAGGUUAUAGUUUGAAAGGCACGAAUUCAUUAAAGUAAGGCCAAAAUUACAUUGAACCCUUAACUAGGUCACUUGUGGGAACUUAUGUCCGCAAAAAAAAGCGCCUCGUGAUACAAGAGUUAACGUAGAACCAAUCCUAGAGAGCUUUCCCAGCCAAUAGGAGGCCUAGACCGACGUUCUGACCUAUUGGCACGUAAGCGAUGUUAUCCCACGUAUGGUCCUGACAAAAGCCUUCGAGAAUAUCGCUUCUCAUAAACCCUAGUUCACCUUACCGAAAAUAUUCAGCUAUACUGUUAGGGUUGGGUAUGGAUUCGGCAGGAUUGGGUAUAUGAAAACUCAACUCAACCUGCUACUGACUGAGUUGAUAAAAAAUCAACCAACCUAAUCAAAUAAAUAUGUCGAACCCAAACCAGCUCAAUUGUCAAAUUAUCGGGUUGGGUUGGAUUGGGUUGAGUUGAUUUGAUUGAUUAAAAUAAGAAGUAAAUGAGCAUUUACCCUAUUCAAAUAUAUCAAUCAAUUAUAAAUGAAUGUCAAUAAUGAAGCAAUUUUUUUAUGAGAUUAAUUGAACUUGUUGAAAUUCCAUAAUUUGCAAGUUGAUUUAGGAUGACUUAAACAUGAUCACACCUGUGUUAGGGGAUUUUGUUAAUAAAGAAAGACUUGCUUCGCUUUCUCCAGACUUUGUUAAAUCUUAGAAUCUGCCUAUAUAUAGCUCGUAUUUGCUAAUCCAGGAAUAUCCAUCGAAAGCUAAUUUCACAAAUUUCCUGCCUGCCUUUUGAGUUCAUCAAAUCCUUUCACCUUUUCGGAAAUUCUACCAUGGGCGACAAUGGUACGUUUUGUGCUAAUUACUGCUUUUCGAAUAAUCUUAGUUUGUAUCAUUUAAAUUAUUAUCGUAUUAAUUAUAGUCAUUGCUACGUACAGUGUUCUUACAUAUAUAUUUUCAUGUGAAUUUUAGCAAUAUCAAGGGAGAAAAGAAGUCUUCCUCCAGCUGACUACUCACUGAAAAUGGAGUCAUUCAAGCUGCUAUCCGAAUCAACGGUUGAAAGUUUUGAAUCUGGUGUUUCAAAUUCGGGGGCUACAAUUGGUACGCCCAUCUAUGCAUGCCUGCCUCCAGUCUUUGUAUUGCUUAUAGAAUUAAAAAUGAAUGUAUUAUAUUACAUUUGUUAAUUAAUAUUUAUAAGUUUAAUUUAUUAAUUAUUUUUGUAUAUGGCAGGAAAUUGGUUUUCUAUCCCAAUGGAAAAAAGAAUGAUGGUGGCAAAGACCACCUUUCCCUUUACCUGAAAAUAGACGACAGCAAUCCCCAUUCUAAUGGUACUUGGAAUGUUAAUGUGUACUACAAAUUGUUUGUGUACGAUCAGCUAUCGAACCAGUACUUGGUGGUUCAGGAUGCUAAAGCCCCAAUGAGGCGCUUUGAUAGGCGCAAGGGUGAAUGGGGCUUCGGCAAAUUUCUUGACCUUGCAACUUUUAAUGAACCUUCAAAUGGGUACCUUGUUGAUGAAAGUUGUGUAUUUGGUGCUGAGGUCUAUGUUGUUAAACCAACUGGCUCUGAGGAAAUUCUUUCCUUGGUUAGUGAACCUGAUGAUGGAACUUAUCGUUUUACCAUCCCAGCAUUCGGUUCUGUAGGUGAUACCGUUCAGCGCUCAGGUGAAUUCACUGUUGGAGAAAGAAAUUGGUAAGUAUGCUCCUACUUUAAUUUUAAUAAAUGGUCACACAGAUUCACCUACUGCCCACUGUUUGGACAAACCGUGAAGUUUGUAUGACCAUUCUUUAAAACAAUAGGUCUCUGUGAUUAUUUUUCCAAACCUUAAGGUGUCGUUGUUCAUUUUUUUAAUUAAUUCUAUUGGGUAAAAUAUAGGCAACUGGUGGUUUAUCCGUCAGGAUCUGGAGCUGAUAGAGGCAACUAUCUUACUGUUUCAUUAAAGCUAGCUGAUUAUCAAAAAGUUACACCUAAGAAACCAGUUUAUGCAGAAUUUAAGUUCAAAAUACCCAACCAAUACAGCAGGAAUAGAGCUGGCGCUGAACAAACAGGUGAGUACCCGCCCUUUACCGGCAUCAACUCUUUACUAGCUUCAUAUGUAUUUGAAGCCUAGCUUAUUACAUAAACAAGAGCUGGCUAACGCAUAUUAAUUAUACAUCGAACAUUAUUUUGUUGCAGUUAAGUAUUUUUUCAACUCGGCAGCGGAAAAAGAGUCUUCCAAAAUUUUGUCGAGGGAUGAUCUGUAUGACACCACCAAGGGAUACCUUCCAAGCAAUGAAAGCCUAGUUGUCGAAGUCCAGUUUCUUGUUGUUUCAGUGAUUAAGGCCAACACUUAAUUCAUGCAUCGUCAUCAUGCAUGAUUUGCUGUGAUCGCUUUGGAUGAGUUCGUGAGAUUUCAUAAAGGGUGUUGAUGUUUUUAUUGAGUACUUGUUAAUGAUUUCCAAUAAAACGCUUGUGUUGCUAGUCUAUGCAAGAUUGCGUUUGCUUCUGUUAUUUUGUUUUGUUUCUUCACUAUGCGUUUUGUUGAAAAGUGUGUUCAUCAGGCAAUGCCUGAUUACAAAUAAAUUAAGAUGAGAGUAAUCAUCUGCAUGUGUUAUAAUAAAAAUCUUUGUGUCACUUGUGCUUCCUCUGUUAUUUGAAUGUAUUUUCAUUUUAAGAUGAUUGAUUAUUUUGUGGCGCGUUCUACAAACAGUUGGUAAAUCUGUCAUUAACGAAAAUUAAAUACGCACUCUAAUCUGAACAGCUUGACUUGUAGUCUCAAUUUGUGAUCUCAUGUUUCAUGAUAAUGCAUGAUUUCCUCUGAUCGCUUUGGAUGAGUUCAUGAGACAGGGUAUUGAUGUUUUAAUGAAGUAUUUGUUGAUUUCGAAUAAAAAGCAUGUAUUCUGCUGAUUUUUUUUUUUUGUUUCUUGAUUAUACGCCUAGUUAAAAAAUGUGUUCAGGCGAGGCCUAAUCGAUUGUAAUUAAACAAAGAUGCUAGUAAUCAUCUAUGUUAUCUGAUAAGUCUUCUACUUCCUUUAGUACUGUGCCAUGUGAACAAAAUAUUUGUGUCGUUAAAUCUGAAUUAUUAUGCAGAUUCCAAUAAAAAAUUUAAUCCAGCAUAAGCAUCAAGGAUCUAGUAUCAUUGCUUAUGCCUACUAAGUUAUAAAUUCAUAUGCAUAUGUCUGAAUGUCAAUGUGUAUAAAAAAAAGUUUAAAAAACACAUAAAUCAAGUAAUGCAACAUCAAGAAUUUCUAUCUAAACAAAAUAUAAUAUGUAAUAAACUAAUUCUUUAACUCCAAUUAAAAUAAUAAAUUACUCUUUAAUACUGAAUUCCAAAGAUCCAAAUACAAGAAUAACUUAUUUAUCGUAUAAAGAGUAUUCACUACAGAAAAAUGGUCUUCACUAAUACUUAGCUCGUGAUGCUUAAUUAAAAAGUAUCAGUAUUUACAUACAUAUGGUCCAUUUUUCAUGUUUAACAUACAAGUAUAAAAAAUUACUGAUAUGAUAGUGUUAAUAAGUUAGACAUCAGAAAUUUCUGACACUAAGAUAUCAGUAAAAAAAUCAAAAUAAUUCUAAUCUUGUCCCAAUUAGAACUCGAUCCCAAGACCUCUCAAAAGUCAAGCUUCUAAAUUAAAAAGAGAAACAAUAAUAUAAUAAAAAAUGUAUAUAUAGAAAAUAAAAAAGCCCUAAGUCGGCAAAUCCCUAAUUCUAAUGUCAACUUCAUCUUCUAAACUCUCUCUCUCUCUCUCUCUGAGUCUCAGCAGCCACGUGUGCAGUCAACGAGCGCGUUGCCACUCCUUAGCUAGUCUUCCGCGAAACAUCCACACUAUGUGCCAUCAUCGAGAAUUUGUGUUUUGCCUCACGGUGCGUUCGUCGUGACAUAGUAGUUGUGACUCGUCAUGUCAACCAGUCUCACAUCCUCACGGCUGUCACUCAUCAGCCAGUGGUCGUCGUCACGGUUGUCGACUGCUGUUAUUUUCAAAUUUCAAUUUUGAUUCAUAAUAAAGGUAUAAUAUUAGAAAAUUUAUUUUAAUUUAUUUGAUUUUCGUAUCACUACUAGAAAAAUGGUCUUUACUGAUACUUAACUCGUGACACUUUAUUAAAAAGUAUCAGUAUUUACAUACAUAUGAACCAUUUUCCGUGUUUAACAUAUAAGUAUCACAAAUUACUGAUACCAUAGUGUUUGCAAGUCAGACAUCAGAUAUCCCUGACACUAAGCUAUUAGUUAAAAAAUCAAAAUAAUUGUAAUCUUGUUCCAAAUAGAACUCGAACCCAAGACCUAUAGAAGUCAAGCUUUUUAAGUUAAAAGGAAAAGAAAAAACCAUAAUAUAAUACACAAAAAAAUGUAUAUAUAAAAAAAACCCUAAUUUCGUAAAUCCCUAAAUCUAAUCUAGGUCAAUUUCAUCUUCUAAACUCUCUUUCUCUCUGAGUCUCAGCAGCCACGGUCUCUCUCUCAGCAGUCACGGUCACGGAAACAAUUACAUAGCCACGGUCUCUCUCUCUGGCACGUCGUCACUCACCCAGUUUUUUGUCAGCUAGUGCAUCGUGACCGUCAGCCUGUGUGCAGUCUGCCAGCGCAUCGCCACUCUUUAGGUAGUCUUCGGCGAAGCAUCCACACUGCGUGCCGUCAUCGUCGAUUUGUGCUUUCCUCACUAUGUGUUCAUCCUGUCAUGGCAGUUCUCACUCAUCAGCUUCAGCUAGUCUCGCAUCCUCACAGUCAUCACUCGUCAGCCGGGGGUCGUCGUUGUAGUCGUCACAGACACGGUCAUCUGCUGCUGUUAUUUUCAAAUUUCAAUUUUCGUUCAUAAUAAAGGUAUAAUAGUAGAAAAAUUAUUUUAAUUUAUUUGAUUUUUGUAUUAAUGUAUUUGAUUGAAAUCGAAUACUUGGUUAAAAAAAAAUUUGAAAUUUUUUCAGUUAUGUAUUUGAUAUCAUUCUUGUUUAAGAGCAUGCAUUUCAGUAGUUGAUUUCAUUUAGUCUGUGUUCUUUUUGGUUGCUUUAUUUGAUAGAGCAGAGCAAAAGGCUUUUGAAACCUCAGCUUCCUUUUUUUUUUAAUCUUUUAUGGCGAAAGUAGGGUAGGAAUAGUAUGAAAACAUGUUUUGCUUUCUUCUUGGAUGGCUAGCUUGGCUUGCCAUGGGAGAGUGGGAAGCUGAUUUAUAUCAUAUUAAUUACAUCACAUGGUUAUAUAAUAAAAGUUAUAUUUUUUUAGGAAUGUGUAUUUGUGUCAUAUUUUGAGCAAAACAUUUACUUGUUCAAAUAGGGACUCGUAGUAUACCGGCCUUGAUGGGAGCUGUGGAUAUUUCAUGGUCAAUGGGGAUGAUUGGCUAUUCAAGUAUUGAAUAUUGCUUUAGUGGUAGUUAGAUCUUUCUAUUCUGUCUUUUAUUUUAUUUAAUAGUGUUUAUAUAAUGAAUAAUAAACAGUUCUUUGACUAAAAAGUUGUUGGUAGCAUCAUGGACCCAAUUUGUGAGUAUAUCAUUUCUCCUAACUUGCAAAUAUUUGUUCAUUAGCAGUAUUUAUUUGGGAAUAUUUUGUACCUAUAACGAUAUGUAAUGUUCUGGAUUCUAUUUACCUUUUAAGGACCUUAGAAUGAUUAUGUAUGUCAAAUUCUCUGUUAGAUUUGUUCCUUGAUUUACUAGUGUUAGAUUUAUUUUGCAUUCUAGUUAUUCUCACAUGGCUUUGACUUUCCUUUAUUAUUGUACUUUCUUUCCCUUUUCUUUUGGAAUAAACUUCUUCGAUUAAUGGGGGCCCUAAAAAAGUUUAUACUAAAACCUUUAUUUUGCCAAGUUAUAAUUUGCUAGGACAUAUGGAGUGAAAUAUAUCUCGGAAGAAAUUGUAAAGUGGAUAGUUUGAGAUGCAUGCUCAGAUGUGGGGAGAGUUCUCUUGUCAAUGAUGAAUUAUACUAUGUAUUAGAUGUACUAUUGUAGCAUGUCCUUUUAGGUCAUAUAUUAGCAAGCCUCUUGUAUCAUAAUAGCAGGGCGUUACCACGUUAGUCAAAUUACAUGCUUGGUUUAACAGGUACUUUAAUGCAUUAAAAAAAUAUAUUUGUCAUUCAAGUUUAUCCAUGAAGCUUAGGAGUAUUCAUGCACAUUUAUGAAGUUUACGUAUUUAGUAUCUAUACUUUUUUUUCGGGUUAAAUUUGAAACAGGAUUUAAAAAUUUCUAUUCUAUAAAUGUGCAGCAAAAUUCUUUAGCAAACUACGGAUGAAGUCAAAAUAAAUCCUUUCUAGCUAGCAUGUGUUGACUUUUAUAAAACUUGCAUUUUGUCUUAUCUCCCAUGGGGAGGAGCUGAACUCAUUCAGGUAAUGCUUUAUUUAAUCAUUGCUUGAUGGUUUAUUUAAAUAUAACAUAUAUGUUUUAUUGUCUUAUAUUCUGUAUCUGUAUUUUGGAUUUGGAAUUUCUAUUAAUGGACUUCACCUCUCUACCAUAAAAUGAGAAUAUAUUAAUACUCUUAUGGCUAUUUUGAGAGACAAACAUAAAGAAUCAUCACCUUGGCAAAAAUAAGCUCCAUCCUUUUUAAAUAAUCGGCAGUGCAUCGUGUCUAAGUGAAUGAUUGAGAGAUCUCUAUAUAUAAUUGAUCUAGUGAUCUUUCUUCAAUCUUUCCUUUUGGUUUCUUUAUCUCAAUGACCUUAAGCCUUUUUGUAUUGCUUUACCUCUAUAACUGAAUAUGUUUAGUUUUCUAUUUGCUGAAGUGAAGUUUCUAGGAGGUUGAUGUUGUAUUUUGACUCAUGAUUGUUAUCAUUGUGUCUUGAAGAUUUGAUAGGAAAUUGAAAAGUAUUGCAAGAGUUUGGUACUAUACCUUUUUCAUUUUUUGGCUUAGGGAUACUUAUUUAAUUCAUUAGUGAUAGCCUAAGAAUACUUAAGAUAAAAAGGAUUAAUAUCAAUUCUAAGCUUUUUUAGGAUCUUUGGUAACUACUGUCAAGUGGUACUGUUUAUUAGUAUGUUACUACUUUUUAUAAUUUCUAGAAAAUGUCAAGUGUUUGGUUACAAAUUAUUGUUUAGUUUUGAGGUUAGUAAUAUAUACUUGUUAGUAAUUGGAGUUGAUGUUGAAUGUUAUGAAUACACUAUUAAUGAUCUUUCGUAUGUGUAGGCCGCAUUUGUUGUCAAGUUAUUUGUAGCAUUCAAUAAUCAUGUAAUGUACGAGUAUAUUUUUGCUUGUAAAUGUCCGACACUUAAUUUGUGUAGCAAACUAAUUAAUUCUAUAUGUUACACUUAUAGGUGGGAAAACAAUGAAGUUCAAGGUGUAGAGGCAAUAAGGAGAAUUUUGUUGCAAACUAAAUACUUGUAUUUUUUUUUCAAUCUGAAUAUCUACUUGUGGGCAUUUCAAACUAUAUUUGAGAUACUCUAAAUUUGUAUGUUUCUUUUAGUACUUGUUUUAAUUUGUAUUUGGUAUAAUUGUGACAUAUUAAUAAUAUUUCAAUAUGAAAUGAAAGAUUUUGUAAUAUAAAUUAAGUUUUUUAAAUUUUAUGGCGCCUUUUAAUUUUACCAAUAAAUCAAUAGCAAUGAUCCAAUUCAAAUUUUUAUUUUUUAAAUAAAUUAAACAAUGAUAUCAUGGUAACAAUAAUUAUAGACACUAAUAUAAUAUCAACAACUACUAAUACUAUGGUGUCAUAAUAUUAGUGAUACUGUAGUAAUAGUAAUUUCUGACACCACUUACAAGUGUCACUAUUUUUCUAACUCCCAGAUUACUGACACAAUUAACGAGUGUCACUGAAAGUAAUUACUGACACUAUUCUAAUGUCAAUAACGACCAUUUUUCUAGUAGUGUAUUAAUGUAUUGGAUUGAAAUCGGCUACUUGGUUAAAAAAAUUUUGAAAAUUUUUUCAUUUGUGUAUUUGAUAUCAUUCUUGUUUAAGAAGCACGCAUUUUAGUAGUUGAUUUCAUUUAGUCCCGUGUUCUUUUUGGCUGCUUUAUAUGGCAGAGAAGAGCAGAAGGCUUUUGAAACCUUAAUAUUUUUUUUAAUGUGGGAAAAUAGGGUAAGAAUAGUAUUAACACAUGUUUUGCUUUCUUCUUGGAUGGCUGGGCUUGGCUUGCCGUGGGAGAAUGGGAGGUUGGCUUAUAUCAUAUUAAUUACAUUUUUAUAUAAUAAAAGUUUUGUCUUUUUAGGAAUGUGUAUUUGUGUCAUUUUUUGGGCAGAACAUUUACUAGUUUCAAAUCGGGACUUGUAAUAUAUUGGCCUUGAUGGAAAUGGGGAUAUUUCAUGGCCAAUGGAGAUGGUUGGCUAUUUAAGUAUUGAAUGUUGCUUUAAUGGUUGUUGGAUCUUUCUAUUCUGUCUUUUUUUGUUUUGUUUUAUUUACUAGUGUUUAUAUAAUGAAUAAUCAACUGUUCUUUGACUAGAAAGUUGUUGGUAGCAUCAUGGGCCCAAUUUGUGAGUAUAUCAUUUCUUCUAACUUGGAAAUAUUUGUGCAUUAGCAGUAUUUAUUUGGGAAUAUUUUUGUGCCUAUAACAAUCUGUAAUGUUUCUGGAUUCUAUUUACCUUUUACGGGCUUUGGAAUGAUUAUGUUUGUCAAUUUCUCUGUUAGAUUUGUUCCUUGAUUUACCAGUGUUAGAUUUGUUCCUUGAUUCUAGUUGUACUCAUGUAGCUUGCACUUUCCUUUACUAUUGUACUCUCUUUUUCUUUUCUUUUUGAAUAAAUUUCUUCGAUUAAUCGGGGCCCUAAAAACGUUUAUACUAAAAACUUUAUUCUGCCAAGUUAUAAUUUGCUACGACAUAUGGAGUGAAAUAUUUCUUGGAAAAAGUUAAAGUGGAUAGUUUGAGAUGUAUGCUCAGAUGUUAGGAGAGUAUUCUUGUUGAUGAUGUAUUAUACUAUACAUUAGAUUUACUAUUGUAACAUGUCCUUUUAGGUCAUAGAUUAAUAAUGGAGGUUUGUAAGCAAGCCUCUUGUAUGAUGCUAACAGGGCAUUACCACCUAGGUUAGAUUACAUUCUUGGUUGGAGUUUAUGUAUGUAGUCUUUAUACUCUUUUUUUUGGGUUAAAUUUCAGACAUAAUUUAAAAUUUUAAUCUUAAUAAUUUUUCUAUUCUAUAAAUGCGUAGCAAAAUUUUUCAGCAAACUAUGGAAGAAGUCAAAAGAAAUCCUUCCUAGCUAGCACCUGUUGACUUUUAUAGAACUGGCAUUUUGUCUUGUCUUCCAUGGGGAGGAGCUGAACUAUUGGAGGUAAUGCUUAAUUUAAUUAUUGCCUGAUGGUUUAUUAAAAAUAUAGCAUAUUUAUUUUAUUGUCUUAUAUUCUUUAUCUGUAUUUUGGAUUUGGAAUUUCUAUUAAUGGACUUCACCUCCCUACCUAUAAAAUGAGAAUAUAAUUAUACUUUUGUAGCUAUCACUACAAGAAUUAAGGCCUUUAGCAACAACUUUUUUAGCAACAAAAUUGUCUUUGUUGCCUUAAAUGUGUUAUGGCAACAUAAAAAAUACUUUGUUGCCAAAUACUUAAGAAAUAAAUUAAUAGUUAAUUAACAUUUUUAGCGACAAAUAUUUCAUCGCUAAAGACAUACAUUAGCAACGAAUUAGCUUUUUGUUGCUGAAAGUUUUAGUGCGAAACUAAAUAUUACUGACUAACACAUAACUGCUAAUACCAGUAGAUGGAGUAGGGUUGCAGAAGUGAACCGAUAGGGUAGAUAAAUACUAGAUAUCAUUUUAGAACCGAUCAAGCUAAUGUGAUUAGGUUACGCUCUAAUCGAAGCAUGAUUAGAUGUGGUUCUAAUCCAAACAACUCAAUGAGAUUUUGAUAAUGCAUUAAGUUCGAUUAGAUGAAGCACCAGUCCAAAUGACUCUACAAAGUAGAUUUUGAUUAAUAAUACCAAAAGGAAUGUUAAAAAGGGGGUUUUAUUAAUAAAAAAUUAUGAAUAAUAAUAAGAUCUCCCUAUUUAUAAGAGGGUAAACAUACUCCCCAAGUUACCUUAGAAGGAAAUUAAAUCACAAUUAUACUAAAAAUAAAAGAGUCAAGUGCAUACAUAAUUUAUUCCAAUUAACAAAUAAAAUAUUGAAAGACCUAAAAUAACAAAAUUCUAAAACUUAAAAUAACAUACUACGUUAAAUCACUACUAAAAGAAUGGUCUUUGUUGACAUUAAAAUAUUGUCAGUAAUUACUUUUAGUGACACUUGUUAAUUGUGUCAGUAAUCUGACAGUCAGAAAAUUAGUAACACUUGUUUGUGGUGUCAGUGAUUACUCUUACUACAGUAUCAUUAAUAUUAUGACACCAUAGUAUUGGUAAUUGUUGAUAUUAUAUUAGUGUCUACGAUUACUGUUACAUUAGGAACACUGUUUAAUUUAUUUAAAAACAAAAAUUUGAAUUGGCUCUUUGCCUAUUGAUUUAUUGGUAAAAUAAAAAGGCACCAUAAGAUAACAAAAAAACUCGAUGUACUCGAUUUAUAUUACAAAAUCUUUCAUUUCAAGUUUAGAUAUUAUUAAUAUAUAUUACAAUUGUACCAAAUACAAAUUAUCUAGUUUGCAACAAAAUUCACAAUAUCUCAAAUAUAGUUUGAAAUGCACACAAGUAGAUAUUUAGAUUGAAAAAAAAACACAAGUAUCUAGUUUGCAACAAAAUUCUCCUCAUUGCCUAUACACCUUGAACUUCAUUGUUUUCCCACCUAUAACUGUAACAUAUAGAUUUAAUUAGCAUGCUGCACAAAUUAAGUCUUGGAUAUUUAUAAGCAAAAAUAUACUCAUACAUUACAUGAUUAUUGUAUGCUACAAAUAACUCGGCAACAUAUGCGGCCCACACAUAAAAAAGUUACGAAAGAUCAUCAAUAGGGUACUCAUCACAUCCAACAUUAAAUCCAACUACUAACAAGUUAGUAUAUAUUACAAACUUCAAAGCUAAAACAAUAAUCUAUAACCAAUUACUUGACAUUUUCUAUAAUUUACAAAAACAAUAACAUGGUAAUAAACAGUAUCAGCACACUUAACAAUAAUUACCAAAGAUCCUAAAAAGCUUAGAAUUGAUAUUAAUCCUUUUUAUCUUAAGUAUUCUUAGACUAUCACUAAUGAAUUAAAUAAGUAUCCAUAAGCCAAAAAAGGGAAAAGGUAUGGUACCAUACUCUUGCAACAUUUUGUAAUUUCCUAUCAAAUCUUCAAGACAUAAUUAUAACAAUCUAGAGCCAAAAUACAACAUCACCUUUCUAGAAACUUCACUUCAGCAUAAAGAAAACUAAACAUAUUCAGUUAUUGAGGUAAAGCAAUAAAAAAAGGCUUAAGGUCAUUGAGAUAAAGAAACCAAAAGGAAAGAUUGAAGAAAGAUAACUAGAUCAAUAUAUAGAGAUCUCUCAAUCAUUCAUUUAGGCAUGAUGCAGUGUCAAUUAUUUAUAAAGGGUGGAGCUUAUUUUUGCCAAGGUGAUGAUUCUCUAUGUUUGUCUCUCAAAAUACACUACAACAAUAAUGACCUUUUGAAACAACAAGGGUUUGUUGCUCAAAGUAAGGAUUUUGUUGCCUUAGAUUGUUGCAAUAAAAAUACGUUUGUCAUUAAGGUCGUCGGCCUAGCACUGUCGCGCUCUAUAUUCAACAACAAAACAAAAGUUUUCUUUCCUUAAACAUCUUUUUCCAACAAAAUAAAUUCGUAGUAAAAGAGUGUCCAGCUAGUUUACGAAAUUUUUUUUCAACAAACUCUUUUGUUGCCCUUGCAUUAAAUGUUUUUUACAACAAUAUUAUUUUUUUGCUAAGAAAUAGAAUAAAUAAUUUUACUACAAAACAAUUGUGUAGAAAUAAACAUUUUUCAACAAAAUUAUUAUAUCAAAAAAUUUUAAAUUAAAUAAAAUGAUAAUUAAUACCAUUAUAAGAAAAAAGAAAUUAGUUAAUUCAAAAGAAUUAUUAUUAUUGAUGACAAUUGCAUUAUAAUUAUUACAAGAUGCAAUAUCUAUUUUCUUAAAUUACAAAUGAAUAUAACUUUAUUGAUUUCUUCAUCUCAUGGUGUGAUUGAACUUUAAUAUUUCCCACAAAAAAAACACAAACAAUAAUUAGUUAACUUGUAAAAUGUAAUAAUCAUGUAAUAUUGUAAUGAAAAAAAGAUAAAUAAAAAAUACACCAUAUUGAAGAAAAAUAGAAGAGAUAAGAAGAUAGAGAUUGAGUUAGAGAAUGAAAGAAUGAGAAUUAUACAUUAGAGACGAGGGAAUGAAAGUUAAAGAAACUUAUAGAUGAGAGAAUUUAGAAUAAAAAUUAGAGAAUGAAAGAAGGAAAGAAUAAAAGAGUGAAAUAAAUAAAGUGUAUGAGAUACAAAUAGAGAGAUGGAGUUUUUAGCGACAAAACUUAUUUUUGGCGGAAAACCACACACCUUUUAAAUUUUGGCGGAAAUAAAAUGAUUUAAAUCUUUAAUCUUUGACUUUUAGUGAAAAAAUUAGAAUUUGUUGCUAUAAAUACACAUUUAGCAACAAAACUCAAAGUUUGUCACAAAAAGUCAAGUUAAAUCUUUAAAUUUAGAAUUUUAACUACAUAGAUUUGGCAACAAAUUAUUUUUUGUCGCCAUUGGUCACUCUCUCGUGACAAAACUAUUUGCCGACGAAGAUUCUGUCACUAACGAUUCUGUCACUAAAUCUUUAAAUUAGAAGUGAUUGAUGUAACCAUUAUUUUAGGAUUUUUAAAAAUUUUUCAUUUUAGGUCUUUUGAUAUUUUUUAUUUUAAUUAGAGUCAGUUAUGAUCAUUUUAUUUCCAGUAUAAUUGUGAUUUAGGUGGUGCUUGUUAUUUUGUCUGAAAUCUAAAUAGACCUGAAUCAGUCUAAAUUCUGAAUAGAGCUGAAUGUCUGAAUAUGAAUGAUAUGUUUUUUUUUUUUUCUGAAUAGCUAAAAAUAAAUAUUAAGUUGUUUGCUUUUUUAACUUAAAAAAUCUGAAAACUAAUAUUUUUACAUUUAUGCCCUUACAAAUUAAAUGUUAAACAAAUAAUAAACAUCUCAAAGAAUAUAAAUAAGGUAAUAAAUUAUCAUAACAUAAAUCAUAUUCAAUUGAGUACAACUCUUUAAUAUUUUAUAAUAUAUAUACUCUAGCACUAUUUAUUAUCACAAGUUAUAUACAGAUGGGUAAUAAUGCUAUUUAUUAAAUUUUAUCUAGCAUGAAAAUUAAUUAAUUAGAUAGGGAUAUUUUAGAAAGUAUCUUUUAAUGAUAGCAUUCAAACUUUUUAGAUCAAGUAAAAAGCUAAAACAAUUAGCUUAAUAACUUAAUAAUUUAAUAACUUAACUACUGAAAAUCUUUAUUAAGUUGAAAAAAACAAACAUACUUAAUGACUUAACUGAUUAAAAUUAAGUCAGUUAAGUCAUUAAGUCAAAAAAACAACCCUUAGUUUCCCUUUUAAGGUAAUUUGAUCAAGUAAAUAGUUUUAUCCUAUUAUAAAAAAAGAGAUCUUGUUAUUGUUUCCAUAACCUUUGAUUAAUAAAAAGCACUCUUUUAACAUGUUAUCGAAAUCACAUUGAUCUUUGUUUUCUCUUGUUUUGUUUCUCUAUUCUUUUUCUCUAAUGACGACCUCUUCUUUCUUUUUGUUUGUGCUCCUUUUCUAUCUUAGAAUUAGGGCAACAAAAAAUCUAGGGUGAGGAUCUUCCAAUUUAGGAAACUCCAAAUCACAAACUUCAAAGUAUCUUGCGUAAAACCUUCUUUGUCCAUGCUCCAAGAUUGCUAUAGCAACGGUGCUACAACAAUAACUUCAGCAUUUGCACUGUUCCAGACUUGUUUUAAUUCUUCUCUAAUCAAGUUCUUUCCUUAUCUUUACUAACCUAUUGCAGCCACAUUCCUUCCUUGAAAUUUGAGCUUUCGGUCACCUACAAUUAUGCAUAUGAUCUCAGUACACAAUUUAUUCUAAAUCAAACAAAACCUAUUAAAAGUAAAUUAAAAAUGAAUGUUUAUGCAAAGCCUUACAAAAAAUGCAUAAAAAACAUGUCAUUUACUCUCUAAGUAAUCAUGAUUUAAGUCUAAAAGUGUCAUGAUAACUCUCAUUUCAUAAAGUUAUCACACCCCCAAACUUAAACCAUUACUUGUCCUCAAGUAUUGACAAUAACACACACACUUCAAUCACAUAAUCAUACCACAAAUAACUUAACUCUGCUAUCAAAUUUGCAUGGAAUCUUCAACCCUCAGAUCACACUCUUAAUUAUGCAAAAUUGCUAUAGCAGUUUAAUUUUAGACUUAGGCCUCAUUUUGUCCAAAUUGUGUGUGUACACUUUGAUCAAGUGCAGACGUAUUGCAGCAUUGCAUGGACAUUACAUAUAAUUCAGAGAUAAAACAAAAGUAUAUUCGCAUAUGGGGGAGAAGUAGUCAUAAAUAGUCUCAAAAUAUGCUAUAGCAAUUUUUUUUUUUGUCACUUCAAAUUCUCUUCAAUGUAUCAUUGAGUUUUUAUAUGAAUGUCUAUCACUUGUAAUGAUGACAUCCAAUUACACAGCCAAUGUACAGAUCAGAGUUGUUGUAGCAUUAAUCUUAUCUAAAGAUAUCUUUUAACUCAAGGUUGAUCAUGGGGCUCAUGAACAGACCUGGCUAUUCAAUAUCUUAGACAGACGGCUUCCUUUUUUUUAUAUUCUAAAAACUAAAGAUCAGGUUGUGGAGAAGUUUAAAGCUUGGAAAACACUGGUAGAAAACCAAACUGGUAGGAAGCAAAAGACCUUAAGAACAGAUAAUGGCCUAGAGUUUUGCAACUGGGAGUUUGAGACUUUUUGUCAAAAGCAUGGCAUUUUGAGACAUAAAACAGUCAGAUUCACCCCUCAGCAAAAUGACUUAGCUGAGAGUUAUAGUAGACAAAACAAGAUGCAUGCUUAUCAACUCAAAGCUUCCAAAAUGUUUCUGGGCAGAAGCAGUCAGUACAACUUGUUAUUUGGUUAAUAGAAGCCCAUCAGCAGUUGUUGGGUAUAAAUUCAAAUGUUAUUGGUGUCAAUGUGCAAGUGUACACAACAAGUAAUAUAAUGAUGAGUAUUCAAGAUCGUCUACACAGGGAUUGAUGUUAUUAGAUUGAUGUUAUCAGACUUGCUACUGGAAUCUUAACAGUGUAGACUUUGUUUUAAAUUAAAAUAAAACAAUUAAUGAAACAAAUAUACUAAUUACAAUAAAAAUUCAAUAAAUAAAAUGCAACAAAGUAAAUUAUCACGUCUAACUCAAGGAUAAAACCAAUGGGAAUAUAAAGUAGUUGAGUGAUUAAACUCUUUUAAUGAUUUUGAUUAUGUUUCUAAUGUUUGGCUCGGUUGCUACAACAUCUGUUACAAUACUGGGCAGAAUCUUUAUGUAUCCUCAACUAUUGCAUAUUGGAUAUCUUAUAUCUAUAUGCAACCUAACAGUGAUCAGUUGUUAUGCCAACAUAAGAUAUAGCAUUACACGCCUAGGUUCUAUUUGCCUACAAGGUGAAUCCCUAUAUCUAGUUCAUCACUAAUUUUAGAUUAAGUAUGGCCCUUUUGGGAUCAAGUAAAAUUUAAUCCAGGAAACCCAAUCUAAAACUAAGUAUUGCUCUGAUAUGUUCUACUAAGAUAGGUCAUUUUGUGGCUCUUUCCUAACUUGUAUCAUUAAAUGGGUGAUCAAACGAAAUAAUGAGUAAAAAAUAAAUAUUAUAAAAAUAAAAUGCUACAGCAAACAUGCAGCAACACAUAUUUUCAGUCAAUAAACCAUCAAGAUUGUUUAUCACUCAACUAUAAAUAAAUUUAGUACAUGAUUUGCAAAAGAAAAAUAAAGAGCAAGGUUCGGCCAUGAAACGCAUCCCCAUGAAUAAAUAGAAAAUAAGAAAACAAGAGAAGAAUAAGAAGGACUGAGCUUCCAAUUAAUUUCUGCAAAUUUUCCUCUUGUGCAGCCCUUAAUCUCUCUCUUAAAUUCUGUUUUUCUUGUGUUUCUUUGUGGUUUUUCUCUUUGGGUGACGGCCCUCCCUUUUUCUUAUGAUGUGUACUCCUUUUAUAGUUGAAUAUUAGGGUAAACAGAAGCCUAGGUCGCGUGCCUUCUAGAUUAGGAAACUGCAGAUCUCAAUAUUCUAUAAAAUUUGCUCUGUCAUUGUUCCAAGAUUGCUACAACAAUGGCAAUGGUUGCACAACAACGACUACAGUAGCGGCAAUGUUCUAGAUUUUUUUCAAUUCUUCUAUAGCUAAGUUCUUUUCUAUCUUUUGUAAGCCUAUUGUAUUAGCAUUCCUUUCUUGAAAUUUGAGCUUUCGGUCCCCUACAAUUAUACAUAUGAUUUAAGAUUCUAAAUCAAAUAAAAUUUAUGAAGAAUAAACUAAAAUGAAUGAUUAUGCAAAAUAUACAAAAAUGCAAUGAAAACACAUCAUUUACUCUCUAAGUAGUAUUGAUUUAAGUUUAAAAGUGUUAUCAUAACUCUCAUUUUAUAGAGUUUUCAGCAGCUAUUGACUUUAAGACACCAAAAAAGGUAUGGUUUGGAAGACCGCCAAAGUAUGAAAAUCUUAGAACUUUUGGGUGCCCUGCCUAUAUACACAUCAAUCAAGGUAAGCUAAAUGCUAGAGCCUUAAAGGGAAUCUUUGUUGGAUACCCUGAUGGAGUCAAAGGGUACAGGGUCUGGUGUGGAGAAUAAAAGAAAUGCAUUAUCAGUAGAGAUGUAGUGUUCCAUGAGGCUGUAUUGUUGAAAGAAAGUGCAUUUGGUAAUACUGAUAUACUUGUUAAUAAUGAUGAUGUACAUCCCACCGAUACACCAACACUUAAGGUGGAGUUUUCUGGUCAUCAAAUAAAAGCAUCUAAUAAUGAAGACAAGAUGCAUACUGAAGUUCAAGACACUGAGUCACCAACCUUGCAUCAAUCUGAUCUACAAGUUUAUCAAUUGGCUAGAGAUAGGGUUAGAAGGCCAACCAGAGCUCCAGAUAGAUUUGGUUAUGCUGACUUAAUUGCUUUUGCAUUAGUAAGUGCUGAUGAGAUUGCAUUUGAGGAACCAAGAAGCUAUUAUGAAGCCAUUAAAGGUAAAGAUUGUGAUAAGUGGCUUGUAGACAUGCAAGAAGAGAUGGAUUCCCUGUAGAGAAAUAAAACAUAAACACUUGUGCCAGAUCCAGGAAACAGGAAGCUAAUCAGUUGUAAAUGCAUUUUAAAGAAGAAUGAGGGUAUUCCAGAUGUAAAGCCCUCUAGGUACAAAGCAAGACUUGUGGCUAGAGGGUAUAUAUAGAGAGAAGGCAUAGAUUUCAUUGAAAUUUUCUCUCUUGUUGUCAAACACAGGUCUAUAAGAAUCAAGUUAGCUAUGGUGGCUUUGCUGGAUAUGGAAUUGGAGCAAAUGGAUGUUAAAACAGCCUUCCUUCAUGGAAAUCUUGAGGAACAGAUACUGAUGAUACAACUUGAAGGUUUUCAGUACAAAGGGAAAGUGGAUUAUGUUUGUUUGUUGCAUAAGCCAUUACAUGGACUCAAACAAUCUCGUAGACAGUAGUAUGAGAGAUUUGAUGAGUUCAUGAUGAAUAAUGGCUAUCACAAAAGCAAGUAUGAUAAUUGUGUUUAUUUUGGUGGUUCAGAUCAAGGUAGAGCUCUAUACUUGUUUUUUUUUGUGGAUGAUGUUUCGUGUUAGAAAGUAUAUAUUUAUAAAGGAGAAAAUUAUCAUUUUACAUUUCAAGUCUUACUAACAUCCUUACUUUUAUGUAUUUAAGCUUCUUGUGAUUUAAUUAUGUGUGUUUUAUUUUAAUUAAGUAUUUUAUGUAUUUUAGGGGCAUCAUGAUCAUUUCACAAUGAACGAGAGAUCAGUCAGCAAAACAUCAAUUUUGAACUUAGAAUAGUCGAAAACCUUAGGCGGAACAUAAAAGGAAAAAUGAAACUGUUCACAUGUACGAUACUAUUCACAUGUACGGUACAGUCCAUGUUACUAUUCACGACACUGUUCACAUAUACGAAAUGAUGACGUGGCAUUGACUGAUGAGGUGUCAUGAUUCUAUUGGACUAAAAUUCUUAUGUACUAUUGAUCGGUGACAUGGCAGCAUGUCAGUGGACCAAAAAUCGUGUGUAUGAUACAUGCAUAUACACGAGAUUAUUUACAACCAAACUGCGUCACUAUUCAAGCCGCCUAACUGUUCAAACCGUGUGGUCAAAUCUUGUCACUCUUCAAACCGCGUGGUCAAGCCGCGUACUGUUGACUGAUGACGUGGCGUAAUCCUGAGCGUUCAAAAUGUUUUUAAUUCGAUGGCAAUGAUUUACUCAGUGUAUCUAUAAAAAGGGGGCUCUCCCCCUUAAUUUGGAAUCUCUGAAUUCAUUUUUGAGUUCAAUUUUCUGUAAUUCCUUCUCCAUCUUGUAUUUUUUACGUACUUUAAUAAAUUCUCAUUUUGCCCCUAGUUCAAUUAUGAGUAGCUAAUUUUCUUUCAAGCUUGGGUUGAAAGUGAAGUUUUAACAUGUGCCAUGGGCUUUAUGUGGUAAAUUUAUUUUCUCUUCCCCUCAAAUUGUGGUAAAUUUAUUUCCUCUUCCCCUCAAAUUAAGGCGGAUGUUUUGACUUUUCGUCGACAAAUAGUAAUAAUCUUGUCUAGAUAUCGCCCUGGUAUAAGGUUAUUAUUAUUUGGCACGAUAAGCCCUUAGCACUAUAUUGAUUAGAGCGUAGUUCAUGAGGAGUGGAUACCCCCCUCAUGAUUUAAUAUGCACUAAUAAGAAAUAUUUAGCCCAUGGUGUGUGUUGAUGCAGAUCUAGAUACCCAAGCGCUUCGAUUAUAAUAUUUUCCACUUUAAUUUAAUUCUGCCAUUUCAAUUUAAAUUUUAGGAUAUUCCAAAUCAUUUUUACCUUAAAUCCAACCACCAACUUAGAAAAUCAAUUCUACAUAUAAUUAAAAUCCACCUCCUUGUGGGAUCGACACUCGUCACCAUUGAUCUGUUCUACAAUAGAUUCGUGCGCUUGUGAGUUCAAUAAAAUUUGCACAAUAAGUUUUUGGUACCGUUACCGGGGAGGUAAAUUAUUUUAAUUCAUGAAAUUAAUUUUUGUAAAUAAUUUCUUUUAAUUAUUUUCUUGUAAUUGUUUUCUUUAUUUAAAAAAAAAAGGAAAAAAUUGAAUCUACAUUUUGAGGUAAGAAAUUUAUUUUCUUUUUCUCUUCUUUAAAAUUCUAUAAUUUAAUUUUCAAGUUAUUUUUCUUUGUAAUUUUUUGUUUAUCGUAUUAAUUUAUUUUAAUUUUUAGUUAUUUUAUUUCACGUAUUUCUUAGUGUGUUUUUAUAGAAAAGUUGUAACAGCGCAAUAAGAUUAGUAUCGUAAUUUCUCAUUUUUUUAUUUUUAUUUAUUUUGUUCCCAUUUUUUUUUGUGUUCUUUGCAUGCAUGGUCGAAGAUCAUUAUUACCUAAUCUUGAGCCUAUAGACCUUGAACUCGAAAAAAAUUGCGCACACACAAACACAUUGCAAUUAAAAAUAAAAGUGAAAUGAAUUUGCAACAACAACAAGCACCACAGGAGAGGGCAUUUAAGGAUUACUUUAGUCCCUUAGCUAAUUUGAGCACAUCAUGUAUAAGAUACCCAAAUGUAGCUGCUAGGAGUUUUGAACUAAAACCUAGUGUGCUAAAUUGUCUCCUAAUUUCUAUGGCCUAGAAAAUGAGGACCCAUAUAAUUAUCUGAAUGAUUUUCAUACUGUUUGUCAAACUUUUAAAUAUGAGAAUUUUUUAGACAAUGAUGUUAAACUUAGACUAUUUCCAUUUUCAUUAAAGGAUAGAGCUCGUUCAUGGCUCAAUAUAUUACCUGCUAAUAGCAUUACAUCACGGGAACAAAUGGUAACAAAAUUUUUGAAUAAAUAUUUCUCAGUGCAUAAAAUCAAUGCUAUUCGUAAGGAAAUUUAAGAGUUUACCCAGAGAGAAGACGAGCAAUUUUUUGAAGCAUGGGAGCGAUUCAAUGGGCUACUCUUGAAGUGUCCACAUCAUGGGUACGACAAAUGGCAUCAAUGCCAAUACUUUUUGGAGGGAUUAUUGCCGCAUGUGUAAGAAUGGCUAAUGGCAACAAGUGGAGGAGAGCUAAUGUCAAAAAGUGCAUAAGAGAUUUGGGAAUUCUUCCAGCGACAAGCGGAUAAUUCCCAACAACGGAGUCGAUCACUCAGGAAUACUAAAAGAAUUAAGGGAGUAAAUGAGGUUCGCAUUGGCGAGUCAAGUUCAGGAAUUAAAGAGGUCAAAAAGAUGGUUGAAGGUCUUUUUAGACAAAUAGUAUCGUUAACGACUGCUAAAUCAACAGAACUACAUGACCAUGACUCAUACUCAGAUCAAGCCAAUGCCAUAGGUAUAAUAAGAAAGCCAUCUAAUUACAACCCAUACGCCAACACAUAUAACCUUGGAUGGAGAGACCGCCCAAAUUUUUAUGAUCUCAAGGAUUCUAACAAAAUAGACCAGCAUCUCUAGGUCCACCAAUGCAACCAAUUCCUCAAGUUCCUCAAGCCUCUUCGCCACUAUUUAGACCAUACAAUCAAAAUCAGAUCUACUUUCAACCCAGACCAUGGGAAGAUUCAUUCCAGAAUCUCAGUAACUAUACCAUUGAUGAACUACGAAAUGAGAUGAGAGCAGGCUUCAACUCACAAGCCCAAUCAGUUUCAAACCUCGAGAAGAUGGUGGGACAACUUGCUUCUUCAGUUCAAACUUUGGCAAUGACUGUUGAGAAAAGUAAAUUUCCAAGUCAACCAGUGCCUAAUCCUAAAGGAGUGAAUAAAGUAAGUACCAGUUCACCACAGCAGCAUGGAGAGGUCAAAGUUGUCAUGACUUUGUGAAAAGGGAAAGAAGUUGACAACAAAGUGGAGAUGCUGGUGACAAAAACAAUUCAAAUUAUACCUGUAAAUGCUGAAGACUCAUCACCGGAAGAGAAAGAAAAAACCAACCCAUGAGAAUACGUUCCUAAAACUCCAUUUCCUCAAAGGUUAGCUAAAGGAAAUAAGGGAAAAUCCACAUGUGAGAUUCUUGAAAUCUUCAAAUAGGUAAGUGUUAACAUCCCUUUGCUUGAUACUAUAAAAAAAGUUCCAUCUUAUACCAAGUUUCUUAAAGACCUUUGUACUACAAAGAGAAAUAUUCAUGUUCAAAAGAAUGCCUUUUUAACAAAAAACAUUAGUUCUAUACUCCAACACAAAAUUCCUCUAAAAUGCAAAGACCCAGGCUCCCCCACUAGUGUAAAUCAGUUAACCUACUCAGUAUUUGUGAAAUUUAGACUGGGAGAAUUACACCCAACUCUAGUGGUGUUACAACUUGCAGAUCGGUCCACGAAAAUACCUCGUGGUAUUGUGGAGGACGUGCUUAUUUAGGUAGACAAGUUUUAUUUUCCUGUUGAUUUCAUUGUAAUUGACACUCAACCAAUCCAGGAUUCAAGGAAGCACAUCCCCAUUAUCCUAGGCCGACCUUUUUUGGCAAUUGCCGAUGCUCACAUUCAAUACAGGACUGGAAAUAUGCAGUUGUCCUUUGGUAACAUGACUAUGGAGCUAAACAUCUUCAACAUUGCCAAACAACCUCACAAUGCAGAUGAUGGAAUUGUUGAUGUGGAUUUAAUAGAAGAAAUAGUUGAUAAUACUUUUCUUUCAAACUUUAGUGAUGAUCCUUUACAAAUAUGUUUAACUCAUUUUGAUUUUGAUUUUGAUAUUGACAGAUCAGUCGAUGAGGUCAACAAUCUACUUGACUCAGCACCAUCCAUGGACACUAAUAAAUGGAAGUCAAUAGUUGAACAACUACCACUAUCAGAGAAGAAACUCAGCCCAUCAUUAGAAUCACCACCGAAACUCGAGUUUAAACCAUUACCCAACACUUUGGAAUAUGCAUUUUUGGGAGAAUAAAGUACUCUACCAGUAAUCAUCUCAUCAUCCAUAAAUGACAAACAUAAAGGUAAGUUGUUGGAUGUUUUAAAAGAGCACAAAGGAGCAUUAGGAUGGACCAUAGUCGGUAUAAAAGGUAUCACUACAAGAAAACUGGCAAUAGAUGACAUACAAUUUAUGACGGAUUUGACUUCUAUUAUUAUAGUACGACCGAAUCAUGAUAGAUUUUAGUUUGUCAUGAAUUGAUGAUGGUUUUGUGAUAGAAUUAUUGUCUAUCAAGAAUUUAUGCUAGAAUUGUGAUUGAAAUUUUUUCUAUCAAAAAAUUAUGAUAGAAAUAUUAAUUUGGCUGUAUUUGACCAAAACAGUGUGUUAUAAUUUUAUUGAAAGAAAAUUAUAAUUUUAUUGUGAUUGAAAUUUUAUUGAAAGAAAACAGUGUGUUAUAAUUUUAUUGUGAUUGAAAUUUUAUUGAAAGAAAAAGAAAACAGUGUGUUAUAAUUUUAUUAAUAAUCUAAAUGAUGUAAAAAAAAUUAAAUGAAGGAAUUGAAAUGAUGAGUUUUAAGAAAAUACUACAAAAUAUUCUAAGUUAAAAACCUCACUCAACACAUUCAUCACUCCCUCUCUCAACCUAAGAAAUUGAAACCCUAGAAGAUCAAACCCUCCUCACUCACGAUCAAACAAAAUUCCUACAUUCACAAAACAUUAACCCAAGUAAAAGAGCCGACCUUCGAAUCCCACCCAUAGGCCACAAGUCGACAUCCUGCUAAAGGUUCUCUUCGAUUCGCGAGCAUUUGAUCGAAAAUUACGAAAGAGCCGGUGUUGAUUUUUAGCUUCAAUUCCAACGAAAGGCGAAGGGGCUGGAAGAGGGAGGUAACCAGAUAGAUACAGCUAAUGACGAGUAAUGUGUUGUUGGUGAUGGCUGGUGAAUCGCGCUGGAAGAUAGUGAACAAUGGUGGAGGUUUUGCUGCUGUUUGGUAGUCGUGUUUGGUGAUUCUUGCAACAAAUCGGUGGUAUUUACGGUUGGGAUUUGAUGGGCGGGUCUUUAUGGUUCUGAUGGUGGUGGAGAUGGACAUAAAAGAUUAAAACCAGUAGCGGCAAUGGCUAUUGUGUGGUGGCUGGAAUAGGAGCUAAAGUUUUGAGCCUAGGUAACAUUUCUUCACUUUUUUAUUUCCUUUUUAUUAUGUUUUAGUUUUGAAUCAAUAAUUUUGAUUUCAUUAGUGUAGCUAUAAAUUCAUCUAUGUUUACAAUUUUGUGUUUCAUUCUGAAAAAGAAAAUAAAAGGAUAAAAAAUUUAAUUUUUGUAAUAAAAUUAUACUAUUAUCUUUGUUUGUGAAUAUGGCACCUUUGAUUUUCUCCCAGAAUAUGAUAAUUUUCUCCUUCUUUGCUCCUCCUUACUUCCCACUUGGCCUCUUAGCAUCCUUGUCUCUGUUGGGUUGUUAAAAACAUCCAUCUUGUUCCUUUAUUUAAUCUUAUACUAAUUCCAAAAAAAAGAAAAAAGGAUGCUUGAAUUGGGGAGGGUUUGUUCAUUGGAGGAGUCAUGGCAGUUUGCUGUGAUCUUGAAGUUGAUGUCAAUGGUCAAUGGUCAAGAGACUUUCAAUGGUCAAGGGACUUUGAUGGUGAUGAACCAAAUGAAGAAGAAAUCGUUCAUGCCCAGCCCAAAACUAAACAACGCAAGAAACGCUUUGGUCAGCGCAAACAAGUGCUGCACUCAAAAGUGUUGGAAGCAAAAUGGACAGCAGCAAUGUUCAAGAACGAUUGAAUGCAGUCUUUUGCCACCUUUUGCAGCAGCCAUGUGAAGCUAAACCCGUUCUUUAUAAGGUAGCCUUAUCUAAAGUGUUGGAAGCAAACCGGUUCUAUUCUUUUUUUUAAAAUUCUAAUACAUCUUUGUUGUAUAAAAGGUUUUGUUAACAAGCAGGCAGUUGCAAAAACAAGAAGCAGCAGAGCUAGUGAUCAUAGGAGGCAUGGUUUUGGACAUUCAUGCCACUCCAUCGAUCCCUGUGAACCCAAGAACCACUACACCAGGCAAGGUACAAUUAUACCCAUUUUUUUGUUUUCUAAAAAAGAUUUUAGUCCCAACGUUUUUUUUUAAAAAAAAGAUUUUUGAUGAGUGUUUGCAAUUUCUUGUCAAAAUUGUGUUAGUUCUUGAAAUGUAGCUUUAAAAAAUGUGUUCAUCAUUAGGUAUAUUGGGAAAAUAUCAGAAUUAGUGGUAUGUUCUGGAUUUUGCUUUCUCAUAUUUACUUACAUUAGGGGGUGUUUCUUUAUGCAGGUGAAUUAUGUGUUAGGGUGUGUAGCAAGGAAUGUUACGGAGUGCAUGUCAAAGCUUGGAGCUAAGCCUUACAUGAUUAGUGCUCUUGGACUUGACAUGGCUGGUGAUUUUGCUUUUUACUUUGUGGUAUCAUGAGAGCUUUUUAACAAUUUUCCUUGCAUGAUCCCUUCUAUUUUUCAUUUUGGUUUGCCACUAGAGGUUUCGUAUGAAAUCACCAACAAUUCAUAAUUUACUUUUGCAUUAGAAUAUUGAAUGGACAGUCUGGAAAGUUAUGUCUAUGCAUUGGAAAUUGGGGUACUUUUAUCUCAGUUUGUUGGAUUUGAAUAUCUUUUCUGUGGCGAUCGUAUAUCUCUUAACAAUUAUUUAUCAUAGCCAAACUAAUAUUUGUUCUAUGCAAUGGUCGUUACGGCUUUUCUGCGACUAACAGAGUAUUUGGAUUGAUUCUGCAUAGAUUGGGUUACUGGGUAUAGGUUGGAGUGUUGCUGUGUAUAUGGCUGGAAUUAAAGUGCGACUGGAAGAAGCUAGGUUACUGCAUAUGAGUUGGACUAAUAGUUGGAGUGUUGCAGGGUAUGUGGCUGGAAUUAGAGUGCUCUUGGAAGAUUGGAUUGCUGCUGGAAGUUUUACUGCAAGUCUUGUUGUUGGAAUACUUGAAUUAAUCUUUGGAAGUUUUGUUAAGUAACUUGGCUUGGUGGCUGGAAUUUUAAUUGCUUUUCUUGGAGGAUGAUUAGAAUUUAACCGUUUUUUUUAUACUUUGGGAUGGUUUUUUUAAUUUGGGAUAUUUUAUUAUUUAUUAAUGGUGAUCUCAUUGAAUAUUAGAUGUAUUUAUUUUGAAAUUAGUUUGUUGGAUUGAAUGGAUGUUAAUUAAUAUUAAAUUUUAUUGGUUUUUUUUAUGAAAUUAAAUAGGAAUUCAUCAACAAAUUUUAAUUGUAAUAUAUUUUUUAAAAAAAAUCAAAACUUUAUGACGGGAAAUAGCCAUCAUACAUUCUGUCAUAAAUAAUUUACUGCCAAAAUUGAAUAAUAAGUUUACAAAUGAUUAUUCAAUUUUCCGCCAAAAAUUUAAAAAAAAUGUGCAUAAAUAAAUUUAAAUUUUAUUUAAUUAUUUUUUAUAUUAAAAUAUUGUGUGACAGAUAUAUGACUGUGAAAAGCCAUCAUGAAUCAAUGACGAAAAAUAUUAUGUCAUAAAUUAAUGACAGUGACAUAGAUGACAUAUAAAUUGCCUGUCAUGCACCCCCUUUUAUGACAGUUAUUUUCCAUCAUCUAUUGCCUGUUUUCUUGUAGUGUAUAAACCCAGUAUACUGCAUGCAUUACAUUCACCUUGAUGAAAAUGCUAAACCUAUUAGGGAAAUGCAACAUCGGUUAAAUCCUAACAUGAAAGAAGUUGUUAGAACUGAAGUUCUUAAGCUAUUAGAUGCAGGUAUCAUUUACUCCAUUUCUGAUAGUUCAUGGGUCAGUCCUGUACAAGUUGUCCCAAAAAAGUCAGGAGUCACAGUAGUUACCAAUGCUGAUAAUGAAUUGAUACCCACUAGAGUGACUAUAAGAUGGCGUGUAUGCAUUAAUUAUAGAAAGUUGAAUUAUGUCACACGUAAAGACCAUUUUCCUUUACCAUUUUUCGAUCAAAUGCUUGAUAGAUUGGCAGGUCAUGAAUUUUAUUGCUUUCUAGAUGGCUACUCAGGAUAUAAUCAGAUUCCCAUAGCAUAAAAAGAUCAAGAGAAAACCACUUUCACUUGCCUUUUUGGCACUUUUGCAUAUAAGAGGAUGUCAUUUGGAUUAUGUAAUGCACCUGCUACAUUUCAACGAUGCAUGUUAAGCAUUUUUUCUAAUAUGGUUGAACGAUUCCUUAAAUUCUUUAUGGAUGACUUAUUUGAUCAAUGUAUAGAGAAGAAUUUGGUCUUAAAUUAGGAGAAGUGUCAUUUUAUGAUAAAAUAAGGUAUUGUUCUCGGUCACAUCAUUUCGAGUGAAGGUAUUGAGGUUGACAAAGCCAAGGUGGAUCUCAUUUCCAAUCUUCCUCCACCUAAAACAGUCAGAAAAGUAAGAUAUUUCCUUGGGCAUGCUGGUUUUUAUAGACGUUUCAUUAAAGAUUUUAGCAAAGUUUCUAGACCCUUAUGCAAUCUACUUGCAAAGGAUGUACCUUUUAUCUUUGAUGAUUCAUGUCUUGUGGCAUUUGAAAAAUUAAACCAGUUGUUGACAUCAUCACCCAUCAUUCAGUCCCCAAACUAGAACUUACCAUUUAAGCUCAUGUGUGAUGCAUCUGAUUAUGCAGUAGGAGCAGUAUUACGACAAAAAGUUGAUCGAAUUCCCCAUGUUAUUUACUAUGCUAGUAUGACAUUGAAUGAUGCUCAGUUGAACUAUUCAACCACUGAAGAAGAAAUGCUAGCAGUAGUGUUUGCAUUAGAAAAUUUUUGAUCUUAUCUCAUUAGUUGUAAAAUAAUUGUAUUCAUAGAUCAUGCUGCUCUUAAAUAUCUUCUCACAAAGAAAGAUGCAAAAGCUAGAUUAAUUUGUUGGGUGUUACUUUUCCAGGAAUUUGACUUGGAAUUUAAAGAUAAGAAAGGCAUAGAAAAUGUUGUGGCUGACCAUCUCUCUCGUCUCAAUUUUGACACAAUUACAGAACGAUUAACAUUGAAUGAGUCAUUUUCAGAUGAACAAUUAAUGAGUGUUGAAGUAUUACCGUGGUAUGCUGAUAUAGUUAAUUAUCUUGUUACAGGUCAACUUCCAGAGCAUUGGAUCAAGCAAGACAAGGCCAAAUUUUUUGUAGAAAUAAAGAAUUUCUUUUUGGAUGACCCUUAUCUGUUCAAGUAUUGUGCAGAUCAAAUUGUUAGACGAUGUGUCCCAGAAAGUGAAAUUCAGAAUAUUCUUUCAUUCUGCCAUGAACAAGCUUGUAGAGACCAUUUCAGCGCUAAGAAAACAGCUACUAAAGUUUUACAAUGUGGUUUCUAUUGGCCAAUUAUAUUUCGAGAUGCUUGCACUUUCUGUUCUUCAUGUGAUAGUGUGUUGUACAAAUUUUAUUGAACUCGCAAGUGCACGAAUCUAUUGUAGAAUAGAUCAAUAGUGACGAGUGUCGAUCCCACGAGGAGGUUGAUUUUAAUUGUGUGUAGAAUUAAUUUUUCGAAAUUGGUGGUUGGAUUUGUGGUAAAAGUAACUUAGAUUAUCCUAAAAUAUGAAUUAAAAUGACGAGGAUAACUUGAAGCGAACUCUAUUGAAAUACGGCACUUGGGUAUCUGGAUCUGUAUCAACAUGCACCAUGGGCUAAAUAUUCCUUAUUAGUGCCAAUUAAACCAUGAGGGGGGUAUCCACACCUCAUGAACCACACUCUAAUCAAUAUGGUGCUAAGGGUUUAUCGUGCCAAAUAAUAAUAACCUUGUACUAGGGAGUCGGUAAAACCAGAGCAGUAUCUAGACAAGAUUAUUAUUAUUUGUCGACGAAAAGUCAAAACAUCCACCAAAAUUAGAGGGGAAAAGAAAAUAAAUUUACCAAAUAAAGCUCAUGGCACAUGUUGAGACUUCACCUUCAACUAGGGGUAAAAUGGAAAUUUAUUAAAAUACAUAGAAAAUACAAGAUGGAGAAGGAAUUACAUAAAAUAGAGCCCAAAAAUGGAUUCAGAGAUAUCAAAUUAAAGGGGAGAGGUCUUCUUUUUAUAGAUACAUUAAGUAAAUCAUGGUCAUCGGAUUAAAAACAGUUUGGACGCUCAAGAUUGCGCCACGUCAUCAGUCAACAGUACGCGGUUUGACCACGCAGUUUGAACAGUCAACCGGUUUGAAUAGUGACACGAUUUGGUUGAAAAUAAUCCUCUGUAUAUGCAUGUACCGUACGCGUAACUUUUGAUCCACUAACAUGCUGCCACGUCACCGAUCAACAGUGCACAAGAAUUCUCUCCAAUGGAAUCGUGACACCUCAUCAGUCAAUGCCACAUCAUCAGUCAAUGUCACGUCAUCGAUCCGUCUAUGUGAACAGUAUCGUGAACAAUAACGUAGACAAUACCGUACAUGUGAACAAUGACAUUUUUCUUUUAAUGCUCCUCCUAAGGUUUUCGACUGUCCUGAGUUCAAAAGUGAUGUCCGUUUUACCGUCUGAUUUCUUGUUCAUUGUAAAAUGACCAUGAUAUCCCUAAAAUGCAUAAAAUACUUAAUUAAAAUAAAAUACACAUAAUUAAAUUACAAGAGACUAAAAUACAUAAAAGUAGAAGUGUUAGUAAAAUUUGAAGUGUAAAAUGACGAUUUUUUCCUUUAUAAAUAUACAUUUUCUAACACUCAACACACCCCCCAACUAGCUUAUAGCUAGUCCCUAGCAAAUAAAGCAAAAACAAAAUUCAAACCCAAAAUAUUUUUUUUAUUUUUUAUUUUUUUUAAACAAUCUUGUUUAUUCAAUCAGACCAAUGAUAACAAUUAAAUAAAAGUAUAAGCAUCAUCUCCAGUCUAAAGAAAUAUCACACCCACAUCAACCAUCCACAUGAAUCAGCCCAGUAGACUUUGUCACAGCUACUUUCAAGAAUGACAUGUUAAACCCCAAAAUCUCACUAGAAAUAGUGACAAUCUCACAAAGAAAUUAAACCCAACAAAAAGUCACUACAAUAAAUGGUAAUUGAGAGAAAAUAAUAAAGAAGUGAUAUCACAUGCUCUCACCAAAAUGAAAGAAAUAUGCCCUCAAGUCAAAUAAAAAUACUAGUCAACCCAAUUUAUUUAUUUAUUUGUUUAUUAUUUUUUUUAUGCACCACUACAUUUUUUUAGCCCAUAUAACUAGCUUCUACUUCAGACUAUAGUUCUCUAAAAUCAAGAAGGACUUUUAUUAGGAUGUAACGUAGGCUAGGAACAUGGCUAACAAAGGAGGGGAAAUAAGGAAAAUAAAGUGUAUGUUUGGGAAAAAUUGUAGAGAUUUUUUUUUUGAAGUUGCAAGGUGGAUUUCACCUUUUAUUGUUAUUUUUUUUAACAACAAUUUAUUUAUUUAUUUUCUUUUUUUUGCUUUUGUUUGGCACAACUUCACUAAACAAAAUAAUUACUUACUUCUCAAACAUAAAUAGGUGAUGGAACUUGUAAGAUAUUGGGUAAUACUCCAAAUCGGAGUGGGUCAAGAUGAGAAGUUUGACAAAGAAAAAGUUUUUUUUUUAAAGGUUCAAAAGGGUUAACUAUGGAUAUUUCACAAAAGGGAUGGCUAGAAAGGCUCAAACGGAUCAAAGAUGGUCUUUCCAUCGUCUUUUAGGGCUCCAAAUAAUCUUCCAUAUCUACAGUUAGAUGGGCCUUCAGAUGUAGCAACACACAUUUUUUUUUUAAUUUUACAAUUUUUUUAAGGGUUAACUCAAAAGAAAUCUUGAAAUCGUGUAUAAAAUAAUAAACUGUUAAGUUGUAUGAAGAAUGGGCAAAAUGGUUACUCUCCAAGAAAAAUGAUAGGCUCAAAAACUCACUUGGUACUUAUUAUAACAUGUUCAUUCCUUCAAACAACUCAUAUUUGUCUCCGACAUUAACAUGUAGAGUAGCUAACAUAGCGUAUCAUCACUUAAGACUAAAGAUAAUACAAAUACUAAAAUUUGAAAUUCAUCAUGUCAUCCAAUGUUAAAAGAAAUCACACAAAAUUUUUUUUCAAACAACAUUCUCCCCCCCAACCUAUUCUAAACAUGAAAGGAAAAUAUGCAUGCAAAAAUGUGAAUAUGAUGCAGAAAAACUAAUUAGAAAAGUUACACUUAAAAUGAUAGAAAAAGAAAAUAGUUUUUUUUUUAACUAAGAAGAUGCAUUUUUUUAACUAAUAGUUUUUUUUAACUAGGAAAAUAGUCAAAGCCAUCUUUGACUCAAAAAUUUGAAAAUGUAUAUUUAUAAAGGAAAAAUUAAAAAGAAUAAGUUAAAAAAAUGAAUAUCAAAGCUUAAUAAAGAAAAAGAAAAAGUCUGGAAAUUUUUUUUUUAACGAAGAAAAUGUGUUUCUAGAGUAACUACACUCCAUAUUCAGCCAUCUUCAACACAAAAAGUUAGCAACAGUUAGUUUCUACAACAAAAAAUCAAUAAAAACUUAACCAAGAUUCCACAAUUGUCGACUAUUCCCUCCUCCCAACCAGAACGAAACAUUGUCCUCAAUGUUUUAAAGGAAAAAAGUAGAGUUUAAAAGACAUCACCUCGGUGGUGCAACACAGAAGAAAAUAUUUACAGGCGGAGAGUUAAAUCUAAUUUGUACUUCUUACUGUGGCUACUGUUACCAUCAUUAUUUGGACGCUCCAACACAAAGGUCCAGGGGUUUGGCUUCAGUCUAUAAGCUUGUAACAAAUCAAGUAGCUCAUUAGCAGUGUGAGCGUAAAUAAAAAGCUUUUUCGCUGUGGAAGGAAUGAAAUAGUUUUUAAUUGCAUGGUUAAGAAAUGCAAUGAAGUCAUCAUAAAAGUUAUUGACAUUUAACAAACCGAUGGGUUUCUGUUGAAUGUGCAGAUGAGCCCAAGAUGCUAGUGUGAUAAGUGCCUCUAGUGUUGCAAGAUCUCCUGAAAGGAAAAUAAAAGCAUCAGCAUGAUUAAGCAUUUCAGUUAUUCUUUCUUGCAUACCUGAGAUGACUAACUCUUCUCCAGUCGAUGAGUCAGAAAAACUGCCCAAAGGUUUUAGGGCUCUUGGGAUGAUGCCUAACACUUGGCUUCCUCUUAUAAAAGCAGCUUCUUAGACCAAUUUUCAUAACCCUCGGUUACCUUCUCCAUACACCAAGUGUAAUUUUCUCUCUGCUAUGCUUUGACCAAGAUCUAUGGCUGCCUCAACGAACUCUUUAUGUUUGCCAUAGUUAAAUCCAGAAAGCACACAAAUGUUCUUGAAUUGUCUAUUGGGAGUAGCUGCCAUUGGAAUACUUCUCAAAAAUAAUUUGUGAGUGCUUGACAAAAAAUCAUAUUUAAUAAUCUUGGUGACAAUGGGUCACAACUGUGUAUAAGGUAGCAUGUCAGUGUCAAUUAAGGUGUAAAGCACAUGGCUCAUGAGUAAAAAAGGAAACAGUAAAAAGAAAAAGAAACAAUGAUAAAAUAAAAUUAUUAAAGAAAAUAAUGCAAAUGAUAAAACAACAGUGAGAUAAAAUAACAGUGAAGUAAAAGGAUAUUUACAGGUAGUUGCGACUGUGGCUCAAAUCUUCCUCUGGUUUUACGUCUAGAAAUGGCUUGAACGCCCUUUAUGGGUCGAGGAUAGGCUUCCCAUACAGUUUUCUUAUAAAUUGGCAAACAUGGUUGUUUAUAGUCAGAUUCCCGAGACCAUAUCGUGUAUGUUUUUUUAGAAUAAUGGCCAUAACUGGAGAAUCGCUCCUUGCACAUAUCCACUGGGAUACGUUUCAAGAGACAAAAGGAUAUCAUCCAAUGACUCCUUAUUCAAGUUAUCCCUAAUGAAUUGAAUCUUAUCUUCCCUGUUAUCAGACAUCAUUCCUAAAGAACAUGGGUUUUUAUUGCAUCUCAUUCUGGCACACUUAUGACAAGCAACAUAUAUUCUUCGAGUUCUUUGUUUUCUUGCAUAAUUUCCUUUACCACAACCAGGCAUGUAUGCAAUAAAUUUUGGAGGUAACUCACCUGCCAGUCGUACUUUAGACUCGAUUAACCAUCAGAUGUCAGCAGGUAUGUUAUUUGUUGAAUGUUAGAAAAUGCAUAUUUAUAAAGGAGAAAACCGUCAUUUUACAUUUCAAGUCUUACUAACAACCCUUACUUUUAUGUAUUUAAUCUUCUUGUGAUUUAAUUACAUAUGUUUUAUUUUAAUUAAGUAUUUUAUGUAUUUUAGGGGCAUUAUAGUCAUUUCACAAGAAAGGAGAAAUCAGACGGCAAAACGGACAUCACUUUUGAACUCAGGACGGUCAAAAACCUUAGGAGGAGCAUAAAAGGAAAAAUGGCACUAUUCAUAUGUACGGUACUAUUCACAUGUACGGUACUGUCUACGUUACUGUUCACGACACUGUUCACAUAGACGGAUGAUGACGUGGCAUUGACCGAUGAUGUGGCAUUGACUGAUGAGGUGUCACGAUCCUGUUGGACUAAAAUUCUUAUGUACUGUUGAUGGUGACGUGGCAGCAUAUCAGUGGACGAAAAAUCUCGUGUACGGUGCAUGCAUCACACAGGAUUAUUUUCAACCAAACCGCGUUACUGUUCAUUCGGGUCAAACCGCGUUACUGUUCAUCCGGGUCAAACCGCGUUACUGUUCAAAGUCGGGUCAAACCGUGUUACUGUUCAUCCGCGUGGUCAAACCGUGGACUGUUGACUGAUGACGUGGCGCAAUCCUGAGCGUCCAAACUGUUUUUAAUCCGAUGGCCAUGAUUUACUCCAUGUAUCUAUAAAAAGGGGGCCUCUCCCCCCUAAUUUGAUAUCUCUGAAUCCAUUUUUGGACUCUGUUUUCUGUAAUUCCCUCUCCAUCUUGUAUUUUCUUCGUAUUUUAAUAAAUUCCCAUUUUUCCCCUAGUUCAAUUAUGAGUGGCUAAUUUUCUUUCAAGCUUGGGUUGAAGGUGAAGUCUCAACAUGUGUCAUGGGCUUUAUUUGGUAAAUUUAUUUUCUCUUCCCCUCUAGUUUUUGUGGAUGUUUUGACUUCUCGUCGACAAAUAAUACUAAUCUUGUCUAGUACCGCCUUGGUUUCACCGGCCCUCUGGUACAAGGUUAUUAUUAUUUGGCACGAUAAGCCCUUAGCACCAUAUUGAUUAGAGCGUGGUUCAUGAGGUGUGGAUUCCCCCCUCAUGAUUUAAUUGGCAUUAAUACGAAUUAUUUAGCCCAUGAUGCAUGUUGAUACGGAUCCAGAUACCCAAGUACGUCAAUUUAAUAGAUUUUCUCUUCAAUUUAUUCUCUCCAUUGCAAUUCCAAUUUUAAAAUUUAUUCUCGCCAUUUUAAUUUAAGUCUUAGCAUAUUCCAAAUCAUUUCCACCAUAAAUCCAACAACCCAUUUACAAAAUUAAUUCUAUACACAUAAUUAAAAUCCACCUCCUUGUGGGAUCGACACUCGUCACCAUUAGUCUAUACUACAAUAGAUUCGUGCGCUUGCGAGUACAUUAAAAUUUGCACAACAAGUUUUUGGCGCCGUUGCCGGGGAGGUAAGUAAUUUUAAUUCAUAGAAUUAAUUUUAGUGAAUAAUUUCUUUUAUUUGUUUUCUUGUAUUUUUUUUUAUUAUUAAAAAAAAAAGUGAAUCUACAUUUAAAGGUUAGUAUUUCUUUUCUUUUUCUCUUCUUUAAAAUUCUGUAAUUUAAUUUUCAAUUUAUUUUUCUUUGUAAUUUUUUUGUUUAUUUUAUUAAUUUAAUUUUUAGUUAAUUUAUUUCACGUAUUUGUUUUUGUGUAUUUUUAUAGAAAGGUUUUAAUAGCGCAAUAAGGUUAGUAUCGUAAUUUCUCCCUCUUCUUUAUUUUUAUUUAUUUUGUUCCCAUCUUUAUUUUUUAUUUUAUUUGUUUUGCAUGCAUGGUCGAAGGUCAUUAUUACCCAAUCUUGAACCUAUAGACCUUGAACUUAAGAAAACACUUCGCACACACAAACAAGUAAAAAAUAAAAUGGAUUUGCAACCACAGGAGAGGCCAUUUAAGGAUUAUUUCAGUCCUUUAGCAAAUUUGAGCACAUCAUGUAUAAGAUACCCAAAUGUAGCUGCUAGGAGCUUUGAACUAAAACCUAGUGUGCUAAAUUGUCUCCCCACAUUCUAUGGCUUAGAAAAUGAGGACCCAUAUAAUCAUCUGAAUGAUUUUCAUGCUAUUUGUCAAACUUUUAAAUACGAGAAUUUUUCAGACGAUGAUGUUAAACUUAGAUUAUUCCCAUUGUCUUUAAAAGAUAGAUCUCGUUCAUGGCUUAAUACAUUGCCUGCCAAUAGCAUUUCAUCAUGGGAACAAAUGGUAACUAAAUUUUUGAAUAAAUAUUUCCCAGUGCAUAAAACCAAUGCUAUUCGCAGAGAAAUCUAAGAGUUUACCCAGAGAGAGGACGAGCAAUUUUUUGAAACAUGGGAGCGAUUCAAUGGGCUACUCUUGAAGUGUCCACAUCAUGGGUACGAGAAAUGGCACCAAUGUCAAUACUUUUUGGAGGGAUUACUACCGAAUGUGCAAGAAUGGCUAAUGGCAACAAGUGGAGGAGAGCUAAUGUCAAAAAGUGCAUCAGAAAUUUGGGAAUUCUUCCAGCGACAAGUAGAUAAUUCCCAACAACGGAGUCGAUCACUCAGGACUACUAGAAGAAUUAAAGGAGUGAAUGAGGUUCACAUUGGCGAAUCUAGCUCAGAAAUUAAAGAAGUCAAAGCAAUAAUUGAAGGUCUCUCUCGACAAAUAGCAUCGUUAUCGACUGCUAAAUCAACAGAGCCACAUGACCCUGACUCAUAUCCAGAUCAAGCCAAUGCCAUAGGUAUAAUGAGAAAGCCUUUAAACUACAACCCAUACUCCAACACAUAUAACCCUGGAUGGAGAGACCACCCCAAUUUUUCAUGGUCUCAAGGAUUCCAACAGAAUGGACCAGCAGCUCCAGCUCCACCAAUUCCACAAAAUCCUCAAGCCUCUCAACCACCAUUUAGACCAUACAAUCAGAACCAGAACCACUCUCAACCUAGACCAUGGGAGGAUGCAUUCCAGAAUUUCAGGAAUGUUACUCACUCCACGAUUGAGCAACAAAACCGCACCAUUGAUGGACUACGAAAUGAGUUGAGAGCAGGCUUCAACUCACAAGCUCAAUCAGUUUCAAGCCUCGAGAAGAUGGUGGGACAACUUGCUUCUUCAGUUCAGACCUUGGCAAUGACCGUUGAGAAAGGUAAGUUUCCAAGUCAACCAGUGCCUAACCCUAAAGGAGUGCAUGAAGCAAGUACCAGUUCACCACAGCAGCAUGGAGAGGUCAAAGCAGUAAUGACCUUACGAAAAGGAAAGGAAGUCGACAACAAAGUGGAGAUGCCGGUGACAAAAGAAAAUCAAAUUGUACCUGUGAAUGUUGAGGACUCACCACCGGAGGAAAAAGAAGAAACCAACCCACGAGAAUAUGUUCCUAAAGCUCCAUUUCCUCAGAGAUUAGCGAAAGGAAAGAAGGGAAAAUCCACAGGUGAGAUUCUUGAAAUCUUCAACCAGGUAAGUGUUAAUAUCCCUUUACUUGAUGCUAUAAAACAAGUUCCAUCUUAUGCCAAGUUUCUUAAAGACCUUUGUACUAAAAAGAGAAAUAUGCAUGUUCAAAAGAAGGCAUUUUUAACAGAAAACGUUAGUUCUAUACUCCAACAUAAAAUUCCUUAAAAAUGCAAAGACCCAGGCUCCCCCACUAUCUCAUGUAGUAUAGGGAACCACACAAUUGAGAAUGCUUUGUUGGAUUUAGGAGCUAGUGUAAAUCUGUUGCCUUACUCUGUAUUUGUGAAACUUGGAUUGGGAGAAUUACACCCAACUCCAGUGGUGUUACAGCUUGCAGAUCGGUCCACGAAAAUACCUCGUGGUAUUGUGGAGGACGUGCUUAUCCAGGUAGACAAGUUUUAUUUUCCUGUUGAUUUUAUUGUAAUUGACACUCAACCAAUACAGGAUUCGAGGAAGCACAUCCCCAUUAUUCUAGGUCGACCUUUCUUGGCAACUGCGGAUGCUCACAUUCAAUGCAGGACUGGAAAUAUGCAGUUGUCCUUCGGCAACAUGACUAUGGAGCUAAACAUUUUCAACAUUGCCAAACAACCUCACAGUGCAGAUGAUGGAAUUGUUGAUGUGGAUUUAAUUGAAGCAUUAGUUGAUGAUACUUUUGUUUCAAACCUUAGUGAUGAUCCUUUACAAACAUGUUUAACUCACUUUGGUUUGAAUUUUGAUAUUGACAGAUCGGUCGAUGAGGUCAACGCCCUGCUUGACUCCGCACCAUCCUUGGACACUAAUAAAUGGAAAUCAAGAGUUGAACAACUAGCACCAUCAGAGAAGAAACUCAUCCCAUCAUCAGAAUCACCACCGAAACUCGAGCUCAAACCAUUACCCAACACUCUGGAAUAUGCAUUUUUGGGAGAAGAAAGCACUCUACCGGUAAUCAUCUCAUCAUCCCUAAAUGACGAACAAAAAGGUAAGUUGUUGGAUGUUUUAAAAGAUCACAAAGGAGCAUUAGGAUGGACCAUAGCAGACAUUAAAGGUAUAAACCCAGUAGAUUGCAUGCAUUACAUUCACCCUGAUGAAAAUGCUAAAACUACUAGGGAGAUGCAACGUCGGUUAAAUCCUAAUAUGAAAGAAGUUGUUAGAACCGAAGUGCUUAAGCUAUUAGAUGCAGGUAUCAUUUACCCAAUUUCUGAUAGUUCAUCUGUCAGUCCUGUACAAGUUGUCCCCAAAAAGUCAGGAAUCACAGUAGUUACGAAUGCUGAUAAUGAAUUGAUACCCACUAGAGUAACUACAGGAUGGCGUGUUUGCAUUGAUUAUAGAAAGUUGAAUUCUGUCACACGUAAAGACCAUUUUUCUUUACCAUUUAUUGAUCAAAUGCUUGAUAGAUUAGCAGGCCAUGAAUUUUAUUGCUUUCUAGAUGGCUACUCAGGAUAUAAUCAGAUUCCCAUAGCACCAAAAGAUCAGGAGAAAACUACUUUCACUUGCCCUUUUGGCACAUUUGCAUAUAGGAGAAUGCCAUUUGGAUUAUGUAAUGCACCUGCUACAUUUCAACGAUGCAUGUUGAGCAUUUUUUCUGAUAUGGUUGAACGAUUCCUUGAAGUCUUUAUGGAUGAUUUUUCUGUCUUUGGUGACUCGUUUGAUCAAUGUUUACAUCAUCUAACACUAGUUCUGCAGAGAUGUAUCGAGAAGAACUUGGUCUUAAAUUGGGAGAAAUGCCAUUUUAUGGUAAAACAAGGUAUUGUUCUCGAUCACAUCAUUUCGAGCAAAGGUAUUGAGGUUGACAAAGCCAAGGUGGAUCUCAUUUCUAAGCUUCCUUCACCCAAAACAGUCAGAGAAGUAAGAUCUUUCCUUGGGCAUGCUGGUUUUUAUAGACGUUUCAUUAAAGAUUUUAGCAAAGUUUCUAGACCCUUAUGCAAUCUACUUGCUAAGGAUGUAUCUUUUGUCUUUGAUGAUUCAUGUCUUGUUGCGUUUGAAAAAUUAAAGCAUUUGUUGACAUCAUCACCCAUCAUUCAAGCCCCAAACUGGAACUUACCAUUUGAGCUCAUGUGUGAUGCAUCUGAUUAUGCAGUAGAAGCAGUAUUAGGACAAAGAGUUGAUCGAAUUCCCCAUGUUAUUUAUUAUGCUAGUAUGACAUUGAAUGAUGCACAGUUGAACUAUUCAACUACUGAAAAAGAAAUGCUAGCAGUAGUGUUUGCAUUGGAAAAAUUUCGAUCAUAUCUCAUUGGUUGUAAAAUAAUUAUAUUCACGGAUCAUGCUGCUCUUAAAUAUCUUCUCAAAAAGAAAGAUGCAAAAGCCAGACUAAUUCGUUGGGUGUUACUUUUGCAGGAAUUUGACUUGGAAUUCAAAGAUAAAAAAGGGACAGAAAAUGUUGUGGCGGACCACCUCUCUCAUCUCUAUUUUGACACAAUUACAGAAUCAUUACCAUUGAAUGAGUCAUUUCCAGAUGAACAAUUAAUGAAUGUGGAAGUAUUACCUUGGUAUGCUGAUAUAGUUAAUUAUCUUGUUACAGGUAAACUUCCAGAGCAUUGGACCAAGCAAGACAAGGCUAAAUUCUUUGUAGAGAUAAAGAAUUUCUUUUGGGAUGACCCGUAUUUGUUCAAGUAUUGUGCGGAUCAAAUUGUUAGACGAUGUGUCCCAUAAAGUGAAAUUCAGAAUAUCCUUUCAUUCUGCCAUGAACAAGCUUGUGGAGGCCAUUUCAGUGCUAAGAAAACAGCGACUAAAGUUUUACAAUGUGGUUUCUAUUGGCCAUCUAUAUUUCGAGACGCUUACACUUUCUGUUCUUCAUGUGAUAGGUGUCAACGAAUGGGAAGCAUUACAGGAAGGAACAUGAUGCCACUAAAUCCAAUUUUAGUGGUUGAGAUUUUUGACGUAUGGGGUAUCGACUUCAUGGGACCCUUUCCCCCGUAUUUUGGCCAUCAAUACAUAUUGGUUGCUGUUGACUACGUAUCGAAAUGGGUAGAAGCAAUUCCAUGUAGGACCAAUGAUCACAAGGUGGUAAUAGCAUUUUUAAAAAGCAACAUUGUUUCACGCUUUGGAUUCCCUCGAGCAAUAAUCAGUGAUGGUGGUGCCCACUUUUGUAACAAAGCAUUCAAAGCUCUUUUGACAAAGUAUUCAAUCACACACAAAGUGGCGACUCCGUAUCAUCCGCAAACCAGUGGCCAAGUUGAGAUCUCCAAUCGAGAAAUAAAGCACAUAUUAGAAAAGACGGUGAGGCCGGACAGAAAAGAUUGGUCAUUAAGACUUGAUGAUGCCUUAUGGGCAUAUAGAACGGCUUUCAAGACCCCGAUUGGGAUGUCACCCUACAGGCUAGUGUAUGGAAAAGCUUGCCACCUACCUGUGGAACUCGAGCAUCGUGCAUAUUGGGCCAUCAAGAAAUUCAAUUUUGACAUGCAGCAAGCCAGCUCAGAAAGAAGAUUACAGCUGGCAGAACUUGAAGAAAUUCGCAAUGAUGCGUACGAAAAUGCCAAGAUUUACAAGCAACGAAUGAAAGUCUUCCAUGACAAGCAAAUUAUGAGAAAAUCUUUCACUCCAGGUCAGAAAGUGCUUUUAUUCAAUUCUCGCUUGCACCUAUUCCCAGGUAAGUUACGCUCUCGUUGGUCUGGUCCCUUUAUUGUUCAUACUGUUUUUCCACAUGGGGCAAUUGAAAUUAAGGACCCAAAGAACGGUGUCACGUUUAAAGUUAAUGGUCAAAGAUUAAAGCCAUAUCUAGAAUACCAACCACGUGGAGAAGACACCGAAAUAAAUUUGAGUGACCCACCAGAUUUGAAUUGAUUUUUUUUCUUUCUUUUCGUUGAUUUGAUUUUGUUUUCUUUCUUUAUAUUAUUCUUUUGCUAAUUGAAAUUGUUUUUGCAUAAGUGUGUUUAUUUUACCAUUAAGUUUUCUCUUAUCAUUGUUAAUCAUGAGUCUCAUACUUAGACCGUUCCUCCUGAACAUUCUUAAACCACUUCAACGUGUCAAAACUCAUCUCAAAAGGCAGAUUCAAUUUUGUAAAACACAACGCAUUUGGGCUCUACAACCACCAGAGUUAGUAGCCUAUGUUGAGGGUUUAGAAAGCCAACUCAGAGACAUUGAGAGAAGUGUUUACGACAUCCAGUUGGAGCUUGAGGUAAAUUCAAUAAGAGGAUGAUUUUAAUUUUCUUUGUGUGUUUUAAUUUGUUUUUCUGUUUGUGUGCUUUAGUUUGUUACCCCGGUGAAGUGGCGGAUAACGGUACUCCGUGACAAUCAAGUCGGUUACUUCAGUUUCCCAUAAUAACUGAUAUUCUGAGGCGAAGGUAUGGACAGAAACGAGAUUCUAGCGAAGCUUCACAAGCGAUUCCCUUCACUUCCUCAGAAUGCCCUCCUUACGAUCUAUAAAGCUCGGUCCGAACGCAUGCGAUUACUCAUGAGGAAUAACAUACCUGCUGACAUCCGUUGGUUAAUCGAGGCUAAAGUACGAUCAGCAGGUGAGUUACCUCCAAAAUUUAUUGCAUACAUGCCUGGUUGUGGUACAGGAAAUUAUGCAAGAAAACGACGAGCUCGAAGAAUUUUUGUUGCUUGUCAUAAGUGUGCCAGAAUGAGUUGCAAUAGAAACCCAUGUUCUUUAGGAAUGGUGUCUGAUAACAGGGAAGAUAAGAUUCAAUUCAUUAGGGAUGGCUUGAAUAAGGAGUCAUUGGAUGAUAUCCUUUUGUCUCUUGAAACGCAUCCCAGUGGAUAUGUGCAAGGAGCGAUUCUCCAGUUAUGGCCAUUAUUCCAGAAAGAGCAUGCACGAUAUAGUCUUGGGAAUCUGACUAUAAACGACCCUGUUUGCCAGUUUAUAAGAAAACUGGAUAGGAAGCCUAUCCUCGACCCAUAGAGGGCGUUCAAGCCGUUUCUGGACGUAAAACCAGAGGAAGAUGUGAGCCACAGUCGCAACUACCUGUAAAUAUCCUUUUACUUUAUUGUUAUUUUAUUUCACUAUUGUCUUAUUGUUUGCAUUAUUGUCUUUAAUAAUUUUAUUACUGUUUGCUUUUUCCUUUUUAUUGUUUUCUUUUUGACUUGCGAGCCACGUGCUUUACGCGUUAUUUGACACUGACAUAUUACCUCAUACACAACCAUGACCCACUAUCACCGAGACUCUUAAAUGUGAUUUCUUUUUUGUCAAGCACUCACAAAUUGUUUUUGAGAAGUAUCACAAUGUCAGCUACUCCCAAUAGACAAUUCAAGAACAUUUGUGUGCUUUCCGGUUUUACCUAUGGCAAACAUAAAGAGUUCAUUGAGGCAGCCAUAGAUCUUGGUCGAAGCAUAGCAGCGAGAAAAUUACACUUGGUGUAUGGAGGAGGUAACCGAGGGUUAUCCAAAAUGGUCUCAGAAGCAGCUUUUAUCAGAGGAAGUCAAGUGUUAGGCAUCAUCCCAAGAGCCCUAAAACCUUUGGGCAAUUCGUCUGACUCAUCAACUGGAGAAAAGUUAGUCGUCUCAGGUAUGCAAGAAAGAAUAACUGAAAUGCUUAAUCAUGCUGAUGCUUUUAUUUUCCUUCAAGGAGAUCUUGCAACACUAGAGGCACUUAUCACGCUAGCAUCUUGGGCCCAUCUGCACAUCCACCAGAAACCCAUCGGUUUGUUAAAUGUCAAUAACUUUUAUGAUGGCUUUAUCGCAUUUCUUAACCAUGCAAUAAAAAACUAUUUCAUUCCCGCUAAUGUGAAAAAACUCUUUAUUUGUGCUCACACUGCUAAUGAGCUACUUGAUAUGUUACAAGCUUAUAAACCGGAGCCAGACCCCUGGACCUUUGUGUUGGAGCGCCCAAAUAAUGAUGGUAACAGUAGCCGCAGUAAGAAGUACAAAUUAGAUUUAACUCUCCGCUUGUAAAUAUUGUUUUCUGUGUUGCACCACCCAGGUGAUGUCUUCUAAACUCUACUUCUUUCAUUUCAAACAUUGAGGACAAUGUUUCGUUCUAGUUGGGGGGAGGGAAUAGUCGACAAUUGUGGAAUUUUGGUUAAGUUUUUACUAAUUUUUGUUGUAGAAACUACUGUUGCUAACUUUUUGUGUCGAAGAUGGCUGAAUAUAGAGUGUAGUGACUCUAGAAACGCAUCUUCAUCGUAAAAAAAAAAUUACAAAACUAAAAAAAAAAUUCAAACAUUUUCUUUUUCUUUAUUAUGUUUUUAUGUUUAUUUUUCUUCUUUUUAAUUUCUCCUCUAUAAAUAUACAUUUUCCAACUUGUGAGUCGAAGAUGGCUGAAUAUGGAGUGUAGUUCCUCUAGAAACGCAUCUUCUUUAAAAUAAAAAAAAAAAUUCGUUUUCUAUAAUUUUAUGUGUAAUUUUUCUAAUUAGUUUUUAUGCAUCAUUUUCACAUUUCUGCAUGCAUAUUUUCCUUUCAUGUUUAGAAUAGGUUGGGGGGUAGAAUGUUGUUUAAAAAAAAAAUUUGAUUUGUUUUAACAUUGGAUGACAUGAUUAAUUUCAAAUUUUAGUAUUUGUAUUAUCUUUGGUCUUAAGUGAUGUUACAUUAUGUUUGCUACUCUACAUGUUGAUGUCGGAGACAAAUAUGCGUUGCUUGAAGGAAUGAACAUGUCAUAAUAAGUACCAAGUGAGUUUUUGAGCCUAUUAUUUUUCUUGGAGAAUAACCCUUUUGCCCAUUCUUUAUAUAGCUUAACAGUUUAUUAUUUUAUAUACGAUCUUUAGAUUUCUUUUGAGUUAACCCUUAAAAAAAAAAAAAUGUGUGUUGCUACAUUGGGAGGCCCAUCUAACUAGUAGAUAUGGAUGAUUAUUUAGAGCCCUAAAAGACGAUGGAAAGGCCAUCUUUGCCCCGUUUGAGCCUUUUUAGCCAUCCAUUUUGUGAUAUAUCCAUAGUUAACCCUUUUGAGCCUUUAAAAAAAAAAAAACUUUUUCUUUGUCAACUUAUCAUCUUGACUCACUCCGAUUUGGAGUAUUACCCGAUAUCUUAUAAGUUCCAUCACCUAUUUAUGUUUGAGAAAAAUAUAAAUAAUUAUUUUGUUCAGUGAAGUUAUGCCAAAAAAAAAACAAAAAACAAAAAAACAAAAGUUGUUGUUUCAAAAGAAUAAAAAUAAAAAUAAUAGGUGAAAUCCACCUUGUAACUUCCAAAAAAAAAAAAAAUCCCUACAUUUUUCUCAAACAUACACUUUGUUUUCCUUAUUUCCCUUCUUUGUUAACCAUGUCCCUAGCCUACAUUACGUCCUAAUAAAAGUCCUUCUUGAUUUUAGGGAACUAUAGUUUGAAGUAGAAGCUAGUUAUAUGGGCUAAAAAGAUGUAGUGAUGCAUAAUCAAAAACAAAAAAAAAAGAUAAAUAAAGUGGGUUGACUAACAUUUUAUUUGACUUGAGAUUGUAUUAUUUCUAAGCUGAGGGCAUAUUUAUUUCAUCUUGGUGAGAGCAUGUGAUAUCACUUCUUUAUUAUUUUCUCUCUCAAUUACCAUUCAUUGGAGUGACUAUUUUUAUUGGGUUUAAUUUAUUUGUGAGAGUGUCACUACUUCCAGUGAGAUUUUGGGGUUUGACAUGUCAUUCUUGAAAGUAGCUAUAACAAAGUCUACUGGGCUAAUUCAUGUGGAUGGUUGAUGUGGGUGUGAUGUUGCUUUAGACUGGAGAUAAUGCUUAUACUUUUAUUUGAUUGCUAUCAUUAAUCUGAUUGAAUAAACACGAGUGUUUCUAAAAAAAAAAAAUUCAUUUUGAAUUUGAAUUUUGUUUUCGCUUUAUUUGCUAGGGACUAGCAAUAAGCUGGUUGGGGGGUGUGUUGAAUGUUAGAAAAUGCAUAUUUAUAAAGGAGAAAACCGUCAUUUUACAUUUCAAGUCUUACUAACAACCCUUACUUUUAUGUAUUUAACCUUCUUGUGAUUUAAUUACAUGUGUUUUAUUUUAAUUAAGUAUUUUAUGUAUUUUAGGGGCAUUAUAGUCAUUUCACAAUAAAGGAGAAAUCAGACGGCAAAACGGACAUCACUUUUGAACUCAGGACGGUCAAAAACCUUAGGAGGAGCAUAAAAGGAAAAAUGGCACUAUUCACAUGUACGGUACUAUUCACGUGUACGGUACUGUCUACGUUACUGUUCACGAUACUGUUCACAUAGACAGAUGAUGACGUGGCAUUGACCGAUGAUGUGGCAUUGACUGAUGAGGUGUCACGAUCCUGUUGGACUAAAAUUCUUAUGUACUGUUGAUGGUGACGUGGCAGCAUAUCAGUGGACGAAAAAUCUCGCGUACGGUGCAUACAUCACACAGGAUUAUUUUCAACCAAACCGCGUUACUGUUCAUCCGGGUCAAACCGCGUUACUGUUCAAAGUCGGGUCAAACCGUGUUACUGUUCAUCCGCGUGGUCAAACCGUGGACUGUUGACUGAUGACGUGGCGCAAUCCUGAGCGUCCAAACUGUUUUUAAUCCGAUGGCCAUGAUUUACUCCAUGUAUCUAUAAAAAGGGGGCCUCUCCCCCCUAAUUUGAUAUCUCUGAAUCCAUUUUUGGACUCUGUUUUCUGUAAUUCCCUCUCCAUCUUGUAUUUUCUUCAUAUUUUAAUAAAUUCCCAUUUUGCCCCUAGUUCAAUUAUGAGUGGCUAAUUUUCUUUCAAGCUUGGGUUGAAGGUGAAGUCUCAACACGUGUCAUGGGCUUUAUUUGGUAAAUUUAUUUUCUCUUCCCCUCUAGUUUUUGUGGAUGUUUUGACUUCUCGUCGACAAAUAAUACUAAUCUUGUCUAGUACCGCCUUGGUUUCACCGGCCCUCUGGUACAAGGUUAUUAUUAUUUGGCACGAUAAGCCCUUAGCACCAUAUUGAUUAGAGCGUGGUUCAUGAGGUGUGGAUUCCCCCCUCAUGAUUUAAUUGGCAUUAAUACGAAUUAUUUAGCCCAUGAUGCAUGUUGAUACGGAUCCAGAUACCCAAGUACGUCAAUUUAAUAGAUUUUCUCUUCAAUUUAUUCUCUCCAUUGCAAUUCCAAUUUUAAAAUUUAUUCUCGCCAUUUUAAUUUAAGUCUUAGCAUAUUCCAAAUCAUUUCCACCAUAAAUCCAACAACCCAUUUACAAAAUUAAUUCUAUACACAUAAUUAAAAUCCACCUCCUCGUGGGAUCGACACUCGUCACCAUUAGUCUAUACUACAAUAGAUUCGUGCGCUUGCGAGUACAUUAAAAUUUGCACAACAUUAUUCCUCAUGAGCAAUCGCAUGCGUUCGAACUGAGCUUUAUAGAUUGUAAGGAGGGCAUUCUGAGGAAGUGAAGGGAAUCGAUUGUGAAGCUUUGCUAGAAUCUCGUUUCUGUCCAUACCUUCGCCUCAGAAUAUUAGCUAUUAUGGGAAACUGAAGUAACCGACUUGAUUGUCACGGAGUACCGUUAUCCGCCACUUCACAAGGGUAACAAACUAAAGCACACAAACAAAGAAAAACAAACUAAAACACAUAAAGAAAAUUACAAUUGUCCUCUUAUUGAAUUUACCUCAAGCUCCAACUGGAUGUUGUAGACACUUCUCUCAAUGUCUCUGAGUUGGCUUUCUAAAUCUUCAACAUAGGAUACUAACUCUGGUGGUUGCAAAGCCCAAAUACGAUGUGUUUUACAUAAUCGAAUCUGCCUUUUGAGAUGAGAUUUUACACGUUGAAGUGGUUUAAGAAUGUCCAAGAGGAACUGUUUAGCUAUGGCAUUCAUGAUUAACAAUGAUAAGAGAAAACUUAAUGGUUAAACAAACACACUUAUGCAAAAAUAAUUUCAAUUAGUAAAAGAAUAAUAAAAAGAAAGAAAAAAAAUCAAAUCACUAAAAAGAAAGAAAAAAAAAACUCAAUUCAAAUCUAGUGGGUCACUCAAAUUUAUUUCGGUGUCCUCUCCAUGUGGUUGGUACUCUAGAUAUGGCUUUAAUCUUUGACCAUUAACUUUAAACGUGACACUGUUCUUUGGGUCCUUAAUUUCAAUUGCCCCCUGUGGAAAAACAGUAUGAACAAUAAAGGGGCCAGACCAUUGAGAGCGUAACUUACCUGGGAAUAGGUGCAAGCGAGAAUUGAAUAAAAGCAUUUUCUGACCUGGAGUGAAAGAUUUUCCCAUAUUUGCUUGUCAUGGAAGACUUUCAAUUGCUGCUUGUAAAUUUUGGCAUUUUCGUAUGCAUCAUUGCGAAUUUCUUUAAGUUCUACCAGUUGUAAUCUUCUUUCUGAGCUAGCUUGCUGCAUGUCAAAGUUGAAUUUCUUGAUGGCCCAAUAUGCACGAUGCUCGAGUUCCACAGGUAGGUGGCAAGCUUUUCCAUAUACUAGCCUGUAGGGUGACAUCCCAAUUGGGGUCUUGAAAGUCGUUCUAUAUGCCCAUAAUGAAUCAUCAAGUCUUAAUAACCAAUCUUUUCUGUCUGGCCUCAUCAUCUUUUUUAAUAUAUGCUUUAUUUCUCGAUUGGAGAUCUCAACUUGGCCAUUAGUUUGCGGAUGAUAUAGGGUCGCCACUUUGUAAGUGAUUGAAUACUUUGUCAAAAGAGCCUUGAAUGCUUUGUUACAAAAGUGGGCACCACCAUCACUGAUUAUUGCUCGAGGGAAUCCAAAGCGUGAAACAAUGUUGCUUUUCAAAAAUCCUAUCACCACCUUGUGAUCAUUAGUUCUACAUGGAAUUGCUUCUACCCAUUUCGAUACGUAGUCAACAACAACCAAUAUGUAUUGAUGGCCAAAAGAAGGGGGAAAGGGACCCAUAAAGUCGAUACCCCACACAUAAAAAAUCUCAACCACCAAAAUUGAAUUUAAUGGCAUCAUGUUCUUUCGUGUAAUGCUCCCUAUUCGUUGACACCUAUCACAUGAAGAACAGAAAGUGUAAGCAUCUUGAAAUAUAGUUGGCCAAUAGAAACCACAUUAUAAAACUUUAGUCGCUGUUUUCUUAGCGCUAAAAUGGCCUCCACAAGCUUGUUCAUGGCAGAAUGAAAGGAUAUUUUGAAUUUCACUUUCUGGGACACAUCGUCUAACAAUUUGAUCUGCACAAUACUUGAACAAAUACGGAUCAUCCCCAAAGAAAUUCUUUAUUUCUGCAAAAAAAUUGGCCUUGUCUUGCUUGGUCCAAUGCUCUAGAAGUUGACCUGUAACAAGAUAAUUAACGAUAUCAGCAUACAACGGUAAUACUUUCACACUCAUCAAUUGUUCAUCUGGGAAUGACUUAUUCAAUGUUAAUAGUUCUGUAAUUGUAUCAAAAUUGAGACGAGAGAGAUGGUCAGCCACAACAUUCGCUGUACCUUUUUUAUCUUUAAAUUCCAAGUCGAACUCUUGCAAAAAUAACACCCAACGAAUUAGUCUAGCUUUUGCAUAUUUCUUUGUGAGAAGAUAUUUAAGAGCAGCAUGAUCUGUGAAUAUAAUUAUUUUACAACCAAUGAGAUAAGAUCGAAAUAUCUCUAAUGCAAACACUAUUGCUAGCAUUUCUUUUUCAGUAGUUGAAUAGUUCAACUGUGCAUCAUUGAAUGUCAUAUUAGCAUAGUAAAUAACAUGGGGAAUUUGAUCAACUCUUUGUCCUAAAACUGUUCCUACUGCAUAAUCAGAUGCAUCACACAUGAGCUCGAAUGGUAAGCUCCAAUUUGGGGGCUGAAUGAUGGGUGAUGAUGUCAACAAUUGCUUUAAUUUUUCAAAUGCCACAAGACAUGAAUCAUCAAAGAUAAAAGGUACAUCCUUAGCAAGUAGAUUGCAUAAGGGUCUAGAAACUUUGCUAAAAUCUUUAAUGAAACGUCUAUAGAAACCAGCAUGCCCUAGGAAAGAUCUUACUUCUCUGACUGUUUUGGGUGGAGGAAGAUUAGAAAUGAGAUCCACCUUGGCUUUGUCAACCUCAAUACCUUCACUCGAAAUGAUGUGACCGAGAACAAUACCUUGUUUUACCAUAAAAUGGCACUUCUCCCAAUUUAAGACUAAGUUUUUCUCGAUACAUCUCUACAGAACUAGUGUUAGAUGAUGUAAACAUUGAUCAAACGAGUCACCAAAGACAGAAAAGUCAUCUAUAAAGACUUCAAGGAAUCGUUCAACCAUAUCAGAAAAAAUGCUUAACAUGCAUCGUUGAAAUGUAGUAGGUGCAUUACAUAAUCCAAAUGACAUUCUCCUAUAUGCAAAAGUGUCAAAAGGGUAAGUGAAAGUGGUUUUCUCUUAAUCUUUUGGUGCUAUGGGAAUCUGAUUAUAUCCUGAGUAGCCAUCUAGAAAGCAAUAAAAUUCAUGGCCUGCUAAUCUAUCAAGCAUUUGAUCGAUAAAUGGUAAAGGAAAAUAGUCUUUAUGUGUGACAGAAUUUAACUUUCUAUAAUCAAUGCAUACACGCCAUCCUGUAGUCACUCUAGUGGGUAUCAAUUUAUUAUCGGUAUUCGUAACUACUGUGACUCCUGACUUUUUAGGGACAACUUGCACAGGACUAACCCAUGAACUAUCAAAAGUGGGGUAAAUGAUACAUGCAUCUAAUAGCUUAAGGACUUCAGUUCUAACAACUUCUUUCAUGUUAGGAUUUAACCGACGUUGCAUUUCCCUAGUAUGUUUAGCAUUUUCAUCAAGGUGAAUGUAAUGCAUGUAGUCUACUGGGUUUAUACCUUUUAUGCCCGCUAUGGUCCAUCCUAAUGCUCCUUUGUGCUCUUUUAAAACAUCCAACCACUUACCUUUUUGUUCAUCAUUUAGGGAUGAUGAGAUGAUUACCGACAGAGUACUUUUUUCUCCCAAAAAUGCAUAUCCAAAGUGUUGGACAAUGGUUUGAGCUCGAGUUUCGGUGUUGAUUCUGAUGAUGGGAUGAGUUUCUUUUCUGAUGGUGCUAGUUGUUCAACUCUUGACUUCCAUUUAUUAGUGUCCAUGGAUGGUCCUGAGUCAAGCAGGGUGUUGACCUCAUCGACCGAUCUAUCAAUAUCAAAAUCCAAACCAAAGUGAGUUAAACAUGUUUGUAAAGGAUCAUCACUAAGGUUUGAAACAAAAGUAUUAUCAACUAAUGCUUCUAUUAAAUCCACAUCAACAAUUCCAUCAUCUACAUUAUGAGGUUGGUUGGCAAUGUUGAAGAUAUUCACCUCCAUAGUCAUGUUGCUGAAGGACAACUGCAUAUUUCCAGUCAUGCAUUGAAUGUGAGCAUCCUCAGUUGCCAAGAAAGGUCCUAAAUCCAAUAAAGCAUUCUCAAUUGUGUAGUUUCCUAUACUACAUGAGAUAGUGGGGGAGCUUGGGUCUUUGCAUUUUAGAGGAAUUUUGUGUUGGAGUAUAGAACUAACGUUUUCUGUUAAAAAGACCUUCUUUUGAACGUGAAUGUUUCUUUUUUUUUGUACAAAGGUCUUUAAGAAACUUGGCAUAAGAUGAAACUUGUUUUAAAGCAUCAAGUAAAUGGAUGUUAACACUUACCUGUUUGAAGAUUUCAAGAAUCUCACCUGUGGAUUUUCCCUUCUUUCCUUUAGCUAACCUCUGAGGAAAUGGAGCUUUGGGAACAUAUUCUCGUGGGUUGGUUUCUUCUUUCUCUUCUGAUGGUGAGUCCUCAAUAUUCACAGGUACAAUUUGAUUUUCUUUUGUUACCGGCAUCUCCAUUUUGUUGUCAACUUCUUUUUCUUUUCGCAAGGUCAUGACUGCUUUGACCUCUCCAUGCUGCUAUGGUGAACUGGUACUUGCUUCAUGUACUCCUUUAGGAUUAGGCACUGGUUGACUUGGAAAUUUACCUUUCUCAACAGUCAUUGCCAAGGUGUGAACUAAAGAAGCAAGUUGUCCCACCAUCUUCUUGAGGUUUGAAACUGAUUGGGCUUGUGAGUUAAAGCCUGCACUCAUCUUAUUUCGUAGUCCAUCAAUAGUGCAGUUCUGUUGUGCAAUCGUGGAGUGAGUAAGAUUCUUGAGAUUCUGGAAUAAAUCCUCCCAUGGUCUGGGUUGAAAGUAGUUCUGGUUCUGAUUGUAUGGUCUAAAUGGUGGCUAAGAGGCUUGAGGAAUUUGAGGAAUUGGUUGCAUUGGUGGAGCUGGAGCUGGAGCUGUUGGUCCAUUUUGUUGGAAUCCUUGAGACCAUGAAAAAUUUGAGUGGUCUCUCCAUCCAGGGUUAUAUGUGUUGGAGUAUGGGUUGUAAUUUGAUGGUUUUCUCAUUACCCCUAUCACAUUGGCUUGAUCUGGGUAUGAGUCGUGGUCAUGUGGUUCUGUUGAUUUAGCAGUCGUUAACGAUGCUAUUUGUCGAGAAAGACCUUCAAUUAUCGCUUUGACUUCUUUAAUUUCUGAACUUCACUCGCCAAUAUGAACCUCAUUUACUCCCUUAAUUCUUUCAGUGUUCCUGAGCGAUCGACUCCGUUGUUGGGAAUUAUCGGCUUGUCGCUGGAAGAAUUCCCAAAUCUCUGAUGCACUUUUUGACAUUAGCUCUCCUCCACUUAUUGCCAUUAGCCAUUCUUGCACAUUCGGCAAUAAUCCCUGCAAAAGGUAUUGGCAUUGGUGCCAUUUCUCGUACCCAUGAUGUGGCACUUCAAGAGUAGCCCAUUGAAUCGCUCCCACGUUUCGAAAAUUGCUCGUCUUCUCUCUAGGUAAACUCUGAGAUUUCCUUGGGAAUAGCAUUGGUUUUAUGCACUGGAAAAUAUUUAUUCAAAAAUUUAGUUACCAUUUGUUCCCAUGAUGUGAUGCUAUUAGCAGGCAAUGUAUUGAGCCAUGAACGAGCUCUAUCCUUUAAAGAAAAUGGGAAUAGUCUAAGUUUAACAUCAUCAUCUGAAAAAUUCUCAUAUUUAAAUGUUUGAUAAACAGUAUGAAAAUUAAUGAUUAUAUGGGUCCUCAUUUUCUAGGCUGUAGAAUGUUGGGAGACAAUUUAGCACACUAGGUUUUAGUUCAAAACUCCUAGCAGCUACAUUUGGGUAUCUUAUGCAAGAUGUGCUCAAAUUAGCUAAGGGACUGAAGUAGUCCUUAAAUGGCCUCUCCUGUGGUACUGCUUGUUGUUGCAAAUCCAUUUUAAUUUUAUUUGCAACAUGUUUGUGUGUGCGAAGUGUUUUUUCUAGUUCAAGGUCUAUAGGUUCAAGAUUAGGUAAUAAUGGUCUUCGACCAUACAUGCAAAGAACACAAAAAUAAAUGGGAACAAAAUAAAUAAAAACAAAGAAGAAGGAGAAAUUAUAGUACUAACCUUAUCACGUUGUUACAACCUUACUAUAAAAACACACUAAAAAAAUUUCGUGAAAUAAAUUAACUAAAAUUAAAAUAAAUUAAUAAGAUAAACAAAAAAAAUUACAAUGAAAAAUAACUUGAAAAUUAAAUUACAAAAUUUUAAAGAAGAGAAAAAGAAAAGAAAUUCUUACCUCUUAAAUGUAGAUUCACUUUUUUUUUUAUAAAAAAAUUACAAGAAAACAAUUAAAAGAAAUUAUUCACAAAAAUUAAUUGUACGAAUUAAAAUAACUUACCUCCCCGGCAACGGCGCCAAAAACUUGUUGUGCAAAUUUUAUUGAACUCGCAAGUGCACGAAUCUAUUGUAGAAUAGAUUAAUGGUGAUGAGUGUCAAUCCCAUGAGGAGGUUGAUUCUAAUUUUGUGUAGAAUUAAUUUUUCUAAAUUGGUGGUUGGAUUUGUGGUAAAAGUAACUUAGAUUAUCCUAAAAUUUGAAUUAAAAUUUGAAUUAUUGUACUAGGGAGCCGGUGAAACCAGGGCGGUAUCUAGACAAGAUUAUUAUUAUUUGUCAACGAAAAGUCAAAACAUCCAUAAACAUUAGCGGGGAAGAGAAAAUAAAUUUACCAAAUAAAGCUCAUGGCACAUGUUGAUACUUCACCUUCAACCCAAGUUUGAAAGAAAAUUAGCUACUCAUAAUUGAACUAGGGGCAAAAUGGAAAUUUAUUAAAAUACGUAGAAAAUACAAGAUGGAGAAGGAAUUACAGAAAAUAGAACCCAAAAAUGGAUUCAGAGAUAUCAAAUUAGGGGGGAGAGGUCCCCUUUUUAUAGAUACAUUGAGUAAAUCAUGGCCAUCGAAUUAAAAACAGUUUGGACGCUCAGAAUUGCGCCAUGUCAUUAGUCAACAGUACGUGGUUUGACCACGCGGUUUGAACAGUCAACCGGUUUGAUUAUCGACACGGUUUGGUUGAAAAUAAUCCUGUGUAUAUGCAUGUACCGUACGCGUAAUUUUUGAUCUACUAACAUGCUGUCACGUCAGUGAUCAACAGUGCAUAAAAAUUCUCUCCAAUGGAAUCGUGACACCUCAUCAGUCAAUGCCACAUCAUCGAUCCGUCUAUUGAACAGUGUCGUGAACAGUAACGUAGACAAUACCAUACAUGUGAAUAGCACUGUACAUGUGAACAGUGACAUUUUCCUUUUAUACUCCUCCUAAGGUUUUCAACUGUCCUGAGUUCAAAAGUGAUGUCUGUUUUGUCGUCUGAUUUCUCGUUCAUUAGGAAAUGACCAUGAUACCUCUAAAAUACAUAAAAUACACAUAAUUAAAUUACAAGAGACUAAAAUACAUAAAACUAAAAGUGUUAGUAAAACUUGAAGUGUAAAAUGACGAUUUUCUCAUUUAUAAAUAUACAUUUUCUAACACUCAACAAGGUGUCAACGAAUGGGGAGCAUUACAUGAAGGAAUAUGAUGCCACUAAAUCUAAUUUUAGUGGUUGAGAUUUUUUAUGUAUGAGAUAUCGAUUUCAUGGGACCAUUUCCCCUUUCUUUUGGCCAUCAAUACAUAUUGGUUGUUGUUGACUAUGUAUCGAAAUAGGUAGAAGCAAUUCCAUGUAGAACCAAUGAUCACAAGGCGGUGAUAGGAUUUUUUAAAAAUAACAUUGUUUAAUGCUUUGGAUUCCCUCAAGCAAUAAUCAGUAAUGGUGGUGCCCACUUUUGUAACAAAGCAUUCAAAGCUCUUUUGACAAAGUAUUCCAUCACUCACAAAGUGGCGACCCGAUAUCAUCCGCAAACCAGUGGCCAAGUUGAGAUCUCCAAUCAAGAAAUAAAGCACAUAUUAGAAAAGAUGGUGAGGUCAAACAUAAAAGAUUUGUCAUUAAGACUUGAUGAUGCAUUAUAGGCAUAUAGAACGGCUUUCAAGACCCCGAUUGGGAUGUCACCCUACAGUCUAGUGUAUGGAAAAGCUUGCCACCUACUUGUGGAACUCGAACAUCGUGCGUACUGGGCCAUCAAGAAAUUCAACUUUGACAUGCAGCAAGCUAGCUCAUAAAGAAGAUUACAGCGAGUAGAACUUGACGAAAUUCACAAUGAUGCAUAUGAAAAUGCCAAGAUUUACAAGCAGCGAAUGAAAGUCUGUCAUGACAGGAAAAUUAUGAGAAAAUCUUUCACCCUAGGUUAGAAAGUGCUUUUAUUCAAUUCUCGCUUGCACCUAUUUGUAUGUAAGUUAUGCUCUCGAUGGUCUGGCCCCUUUAUUGUUCACAUUGUUUUUCCACAUGGGGCAAUUGAAAUUAAGGACACAAAGAAUGGUGUCACUUUUACAGUUAAUGGUCAAAGAUUAAAGUCAUAUCUAGAGUACUAACCACAUGGAGAGGACUCUGAAAUAAAUUUGAGUGAUCCACCAUAUUUGAAUUGAGAUUUUUUUUUCUUUUCGGUGAUUUGAUUUUUUUCUCUUUUUACUAUUCUUUUUCUAAUUGAAAUUAUUUUUACGUAAGUGUGUUUGAUUAACCAUUAAGUUUUCUCUUAUCAUUGUUAAUCAUGAGUGUCUCAACUAAACAGCUCCUCUUGAACAUUCUUAGACAAAUUCAACGUGUAAAAUCUCAUACCAAAAGGCAAAUUCGAUUUUGUAAAACACAUCAUAUUUGGGCUCUACAACCACCAGAGUUAAUAUCCCAUGUUGAGGAUUUAGAAAGCCAACUCAAAGACAUUGAGGGAGGUGUCUACAAUAUCCAGUUGGAGUUUGAGGUAAAUUCAAUAAGAGGACGAUUGUAAGUUUCUUUGUGUGUUUUAGUUUGUUUUUAGGAAAUUUACACUCGUCCACCUGUUUGUUUUGCCUUUUUCAAAAAUACACAAACACUUUUUUUUUUAGCGCGCCACCUGAAGUUUGCUUUUUGUUGCAUUCUUCCACUUCUGCCUAAUUUUCAUUAGUGGAUUUAACGGAAUGUUAACGAAAUGACGUUUUUACCCCUUAAAAUUACAAUUUAACCCAAAAUAAAUGGAAAUUGGAGAUAAAUUGGAUGGAUUUAAUUUUUUUCAAAGGUGGAUGCUAGAAAUUGGAGGAAAAUAGUGUUUGUUGCUUGCUAGAUUUAGAAAAUUUGUAUUUAUUUCAGUGAACUCAAAGAUUUAGAAUACGUUCCUCUAAGGUAAAGAGACCGGAUCUCUGUCGUUAGUUGUAUUUUCUCUUCUCCCUCCAUCCAUUCAGAAUACUAUUUCUGGAAUCCUGAUCUAGUAUUAUCUAUGAGCCUUUAUAUCUGUUGCUAAGCUUGCUUAAAGAUUACAUUAAUUGCUUGGAUCCGAGAGCUUUACAAUGGAAAUUAUUUACAGAUUUUUGUAGAAAGGGAAAAUUUCAAGACAGGAAUAGUUUUCCUUGAUGUUUUGAUCCUGAUUCCCAGAGAGAGAGAGAGAGAGAGAUUUACAAAAAAUUUCUGUAAGCCAAGUUCUGCCUAAAAAAAAAUUACAUAGCUUUGAAUUUAAACAACUGAAGCUUGAAUUGUGGCAAGUCUGUAGCUUCAACUCUAGCGAAACUGUAGAGUCUUUAUGAGGCUGUGGCUUCACAUGCGAGGUUGGUGGAGCGAGUCCUUCUGCACAUGUAAGGGAGAACAUCUUCUUUAUGAUUUUUGUCUUCAUGUGUAGCUGGAGGACAGCAUCUUAAAGUCUUUGUGUUUAAGAAUGGAUGGAUGUAAAUUUAGCAAAAUUUAUAAAUUAGACUUCAACAUUCAAUUAAUAAUUUAGAAUUAAUUCAGUACGUGGCAUUGUUACCAGAUCGAUGCAGAACUUAAUCUGCCUUUGUGACCAGAUCCUUUUUCCUUCCCUGGGUUUCAUAAAACUGCUACGUUCCUCUAAGGUAAAGAGAUCAGAUCUCUGUCCUUAGUUGUAUUUUCUCUUCUCCCUCCAUCCAUUCAGAAUACUAUUUCUGGGAUCCAGAUCUAGUAUUAUCUAUAAGCCUUUAGAUCUGUUGCUAAGCUUGCUUAAAGAAAAUUUUUAAUAUUAUUUUGGUAUAUCGGCUGGAAAACUGAACGUGCGUGAUAUUGAUCUGUUCUAAGUCAAGUGGCUUAAACUUUACUGACUCAGUGAACUCUGACGAACAGUCAAAAUUGUCUGAAGCCACGAUCCAAUCCUGGCUUUCUUCAAGAGGCCUCCUUGCCCCAAGUAAAGACGUAACUAAAGCCCAAAGUACUUUCCUCGCCGAAAGGGCCAAAGCCCAAUCCCUGUUGGCCAGUGCCAAAACCGAGGAUGAGUAUUUCAAAGUUAUGUAGCAACUUCUUGCUACAAGAUCUGAGCCAUCCGUUGCAAGUUCUUCAUCAAGCUCCUCUGGAGAAGCUGAGCCGUUCAUUUCCCUCGGAGAUGAAAACGAAGAUGACUGCUUCGGAAUAUUUUCUCCUUUAAAGCAUUAAAGCUUUGUAAAAAAAAAAAAGAGUAAAGAUUGUCUUAUUUCCUUAUUGUCUUAUUUCCUUGUAAUUAUCAACUGAUUUUUCCUUUUGUAUUUAUCUUUUGGUUUUUGGGUGGUGAGUGUUACCUCUGUGUGCCUUGGUAGUAUUUGGUCGUAAGUCCCGAUUUGAUUGAAGGGCAGUAAAACCAAUUCUUAGCCUUGGAUUGUAGCCAUACCUACAGGACUAAAACUAGAAUAUAGGUUUUUAUCCAUGGAUUCUCUGCUCUGUAGAGCAUCGUCAUUUUCUAGCUCUUCUUCAGGAAGAACUAGUGAUUCAAAGAAUGUUGUAAAUUCGGAAGAAUUUGUAAUUGAAGAUUUUAAUAAAGCAAUUGAUAAUUGGGAAUUACCAAAAGUUAAUAAAGAAAUGAUUUACAAGACAAAAAAGCUUGAUUUCUUUAAGAAUGAUUAUGUUAUAAAAACUGAAGAACGUGAUAUAACCCUUUCAAAGCCUUUUGAAACAAUCAAUUUGUUUUCAAGACAAUCUUUAAAGAAAUUAAAAGAUAAAAAUUUUAAUUAUGUUCGCAUCGGCUUAAUACAAGUCGGCAUAAAACCCCUUACUAAAGAAGGUCUUAAUACCUCCAUUCUUGUUGUACUGAGAGAUGGUCGAUUCAUCUCUUUUGACGAUUCUUUACUAAGUAGUAUAGAAUCAAGUCUUUGUAAAGGUCCUAUUUCAUUUAAUUGUUAUCCAAAUAUAACAAUCUCUUUAAAAGACAAAAACAUUUUAAAAAGCAUGAUUUUACAAAUCAAGACCCAUAAUUAUCACAUGAUUGAGGGAUCUGUCCCUAUUGCCUUGAUUUAUAAAAUCUCAUACAAAGCCAUGAUUUCAGCAUUUAGUACACAACAUAAAUUCCAGUGAAAAAGAGAUGAAACUCUUCUCUUGCAGACUGACCUGUCUAAAGCAAUACUGUUAUUCCAAAACCAAUCCAGUGGAAAGACAUUAAUCUUCCAGAUGAAUGGAUUCUUGAAGGAGCUACUGCUCCAGUAAUUCCAAAACAACUUAAGCCAAAUACAAAGUUGCAAAAUGUGAUUCAGUAUUCUGAUGGUAAAGUCAAAUUAUCCUUUAGGAGAUCUACAUCUUCUAGAUUCUCCGAUAAAGAUUCGUGUUCAAGUAUUCCCUCAUUGAAAGGAAAUUUUCAAAAGUCCCUUCUAUUGUAAAUCUCCCUUUCCAACCAGUAAAAAGUCAACCUAGGUUUUCCACCUUGGAUAUACCUAGUUCCUCUAUCCACACUGUUGACUAUACCACUAGUGUUCCACACCCAAUCUACACUAGCAGUCAACACGAACAAAGCCAGGAAGAGAAAGAACCUUCUCCUCCAACCUCUCCUACGUUUUCUGCUGUCACAGAAAAUGUGAUUAGUGUCAUUGAAAAAGACUUUGAAUUGGACAAAACUCUUCUUCAUAAUGAUUUUUAUUCUGACACUAAUAAAAAAAAAGACUUUAGUUUUUUAAACAUUUCUUAAAACAAAGAAAAGAAAUUCAAGAAACUUAUUAUGAGUUUGUAAAUUUGCAUAAAGUUCAUAGAUUAUUUUUUGAUUGGUUUGAGAUGUAUGCUUCAGAUAACAACAUUUCAUAUCCUUUUAAAGAAUCAAAUCUCAUUACUGUUAGAAAGAAAACCACUGAGUGGAACCUCUCUGGUAGUGGUAGAGUCAUAGAAUCUGAGCAUCCACCUCUUAGAAGUCUAAUCAUUGAACAUGGUGAGCCUCUUAUUGAGAUUAAAGCCUCACCCUAUAAAAUCCAUAAAGAUCCAGAAUCAGAUUUAGAUAGCAUUAUCCAACAAAAUAAUUUUUGUGAUGCUAAUCUAAAUACUAUAGGAAAACAGUUGACUAGAAUAGAAAACCAAUUCCAGAAGUCAACCAUAGCUAUUUCUCUUGUUUCGUCAAAAUCGGAUUCUGACAAAAAACUUAAAGAACUUAUUUUCAAACCUUUUCAGAUUUUGAAAACUAGUCAAAAGCUUGUUCAAGAAUCAAAAUCAGAUUUUGCUAAAGCUAUUAGAGACCAAUUAGAUAGAAUAUAAGCUUUUUUUUCUUCUUCUAAGGUCCAGAUAGCCCCAGAUAGUGCCCAAUCUUACUAGAACAGGACAAUGUUUCUAUAGCCUCUUCUGAUAUAGAAGCAUUUAUAGAGGAGCCUAUUUCCAAAGCCAACAAAAUCCAUUGGGAACUAGCCCUACCUAUUCUCAAGUCUCCACCUGACUUGGCCAUAGACAACAGGCCUGCUGCAUUAAAUCAAUCUCGAUUUAAUGCAUCCUCUAUCUAUGAAUGGAACAUUGAUGGUAUGUUAGAAUAUAACAUCCUAGGUUUAUUGCAACAGAUGACGAUGGCAGCUAAUGCCUAUAAAACUCAGUCGGGAACUUCUGACAAAGCCAUUGUAGAAAUUCUCAUUGCUAGUUUUACUGGUCAACUUAAAGGUUGGUGGGAUCAUCUUCUCACCAAACAACAAUAAUUAGAUAUCCUUAAUUCUAUUCAAGUGGAUGAAAAUGGAGCCCCCAUUCUUGAUGAAUUCAAUAGUNNNNNNNNNNNNNNNNNNNNNNNNNNNNNNNNNNNNNNNNNNNNNNNNNNNNNNNNNNNNNNNNNNNNNNNNNNNNNNNNNNNNNNNNNNNNNNNNNNNNNNNNNNNNNNNNNNNNNNNNNNNNNNNNNNNNNNNNNNNNNNNNNNNNNNNNNNNNNNNNNNNNNNNNNNNNNNNNNNNNNNNNNNNNNNNNNNNNNNNNNNNNNNNNNNNNNNNNNNNNNNNNNNNNNNNNNNNNNNNNNNNNNNNNNNNNNNNNNNNNNNNNNNNNNNNNNNNNNNNNNNNNNNNNNNNNNNNNNNNNNNNNNNNNNNNNNNNNNNNNNNNNNNNNNNNNNNNNNNNNNNNNNNNNNNNNNNNNNNNNNNNNNNNNNNNNNNNNNNNNNNNNNNNNNNNNNNNNNNNNNNNNNNNNNNNNNNNNNNNNNNNNNNNNNNNNNNNNNNNNNNNNNNNNNNNNNNNNNNNNNNNNNNNNNNNNNNNNNNNNNNNNNNNNNNNNNNNNNNNNNNNNNNNNNNNNNNNNNNNNNNNNNNNNNNNNNNNNNNNNUCAUCUUAGAGAUAAGAAUGUUGAGUUACUACAUAACCUGGAUGUAGGAAACUUAGUAAAUUCCAAAGUUAUAAAACCACUUUCUUCACUAGACUCUUUUUAAGAGAUGAUGCCAAUCACAUCACUUGGAAAGAGAAAUUCCUUACAGGAUUACCUACCCUAUUAGGAGAAAAGGUUAGGAAUUCCAUCAAAGCCCUUUAUGACAACCGUAUUCCUUAUGACGAACUCACCUAUGGUGAAUUAGUCAGUUUUGUUAACAAUGAAGAUUUAAAGAUUUGUCAAGAUUUGAAACUUCAGAAACGUCUAAAAUAGGAGCUUAGGAAAUCUAAGCAAGAAUUAGGCAGUUUCUGUAAGCAAUUCAAUUAUGACCCCUUUAAAACUUCUACCUCUAAAGAUUGUAAUGGUAAGUGUUCUUCAAAACCUUACAAAAAAUAUUACAAAUCCAAAAGUCAUAAAAAAUCUUUCCAAGAUUUUAGAGAACCUCCUUAUAAGAAACCUUUGAGGCCUUAUAGGAAACCUAAUUUCUCUAAAAAGAAAGACUUUAGAGCCAAGCAAAAAACCCCUUUUUAAAGACUUUGAAAUUGACACUAUUGCCCUUUUCAAUACUGGUGCCGAUCUAAAUUGUAUUAAAGAAGACAUUGUCCCUAAAAGAUUUCAUGAAAAAACAAAUGAAAGACUCUCAGCCGCCAACAAUUCAAAAUUGAAAGUUAAAUCUAAAGUUGAAGCCUCAGUUCAUAAUAAUGGUUUUAAAUUCAGGACCUCCUUUCUUUUAACGAAUGAUAUCCAUCAUACCGUUAUAUUAGGAAUUCCCUUCAUAAACCUUAUUACCCCUUAUACUGUCAAUUAUGAUAGCAUAUCCUUUAAAGCCAAGACAAAGAAACUUAUUUUUCCUUUCAUUGAAAAGCCCAAAAUAAGAAAUUUAAAUAUUAUUAAAGCUUGUCCUGUUUACCAGAACCAAAUUAACACCCUUCUCAAAUCUAAACAAAAUGACUUGAUUUGUUUAAAAAAGAAUUUGAGUUUACAAAGAAUUGAAAACCAAUUACAAAGUGAAUUUGUAAAAAGGAAAAUCUAAAGACCUCAUCGAAAAGGAAAUAUGUGCUGAUUUACCAUCUGCUUUUUGAAAUAGAAAACAACAAUUGGUAGAUUUGUCUUAUGAAAAUUCUUUUGAUGAAAAACAAAUACCUACUAAAGCCCGUCCAAUCCAAAUGAAUAUGGAAUUGGAACAACACUGUAAAGAAGAAAUAAAAGACUUAGAGUCAAAAGGGCUCAUUAUAAAAUCUAGAUCUCCAUGGUCUUGUGCUGCUUUCUAUGUCAACAAAAAUUCUGAAAUAGAAAGAGGAACACCUAGACUUGUAAUAAAUUAUAAACCCCUUAAUAAAGCAUUAAAAUGGAUUAGGUAUCCUAUACCUAAUAAAAAGAAUUUACUCCAAAAACUACAUUAUGCUUUCGUAUUUUCAAAAUUUGAUAUGAAAUCGGGAUUUUGGUAGAUUCAAAUUCAUCCUAAAGACCGUUAUAAAACUGCUUUCACCGUUCCUUUUGGACAGUAUGAAUGGACUGUCAUGCCAUUCAGUUUAAAAAAUGCACCCUCAGAAUUCCAAAGAAUUAUGAAUGACAUUUAUAAUCCUUUUUCUAGUUUUUGCAUUGUAUAUAUUGAUGAUGCAUUAAUCUUUUCCCAAACUAUUGAACAACAUUUCAAACAUUUAAAGACCUUCUACCUUGCCACUAGAAAAGCCGGCUUAGCCAUUUCCAGUUCUAAAGUUUCCUUGUUUCAAACAAAAAUCAGGUUUCUAGGUCAUUACAUUUCCAAAGGAACCAUUACUCCUAUUGAGCGAUCUCUUAUGUUUGCUAACAAAUUUCCUGAUAAAAUCCUUGACAAAACCCAACUACAAAGAUUUCUAGGAAGUUUAAAUUAUGUUCUUCAUUUCUGUCCUAAUAUCAACAGAAUGUCAAAACCCUUACAUGAUCGCUUAAAAAAGAACCCUGUUGCAUGGACUAAUGAGUAUACUAAAGCUAUUAAACUAAUAAAGAAUUCUGUUAAAAAUAUUCCAUGUUUAUUUCUUGCAAAUCCUGCACUACCUAAAAUUGUUGAAACUGAUGCAUCAGAUUUAGGUUAUGGAGGUAUAUUAAAACAAAAAGAUAAUAAUAAAGAACAAAUAGUACAGUAUGUUUCUGCUCAUUGGAAUAAAUGUCAAAAAAAUUACUCUACUAUUAAAAAAGAGAUUCUUUCCAUUGUAUUAUGCAUUUCUAAAUUUGAAAGUGAUUUAUUAAAUAAAUAUUUUUUACUUAGAAUCGAUUGCAAAGCUGCAAAACAUGUUUUGGAAAAGAUGUUCAAAAUAUUGCUUCAAAACAUAUUUUUGCACGAUAGCAAGCCAUUUUAAGUGUUUUUUAUUUUGAUAUUGAAUUUAUUAAAGGAGAUACAAAUUCUAUCCCUGAUUUUCUAGCCAGAGAAUUUCUUCAAAAUAGAUAAUGCCGCCUGUUGAGUGUUAGAAAAUGCAUAUUUAUAAAGGAGAAAACCGUCAUUUUACAUUUCAAGUCUUACUAACAACCCUUACUUUUAUGUAUUUAACAUUCUUGUGAUUUAAUUACGUGUGUUUUAUUUUAAUUAAGUAAUUUAUGUAUUUUAGGGGCAUUAUAGUCAUUUCAUGAUAAAGGAGAGAUCAGACGGCAAAACGGACAUCACUUUUGAACUCAGGACGGUCGAAAACCUUAGGAGGAGCAUAAAAGGAAAAAUGACACUAUUCACAUGUACGGUACUAUUCACGUAUACGGGACUGUAUACGUUACUGUUCACGGCACUGUUCACAUAGACGGAUCGAUGACGUGGCAUUGACCGAUGAUGUGGCAUUGACUGAUGAGGUGUCACGAUCCUGUUGGACUAAAAUUCUUAUGUACUGUUGAUGGUGACGUGGCAGCAUAUCAGUGGACGAAAAAUCUCGCGUACGGUGCAUACAUCACACAGGAUUAUUUUCAACCAAACCGCGUUACUGUUCAUCCGGGUCAAACCGCGUUACUAUUCAAAGUCGGGUCAAACCGUGUUACUGUUCAUCCGUGUGGUCAAACCGUGGACUGUUGACUGAUGACGUGGCGCAAUCCUGAGCGUCCAAACUGUUUUUAAUCCGAUGGCCAUGAUUUACUCCAUGUAUCUAUAAAAAGGGGGCCUCUCCCCCCUAAUUUGAUAUCUCUGAAUCCAUUUUUGGGAUCCAUUUUCUGUAAUUCCUUCUCCAUCUUGUAUUUUCUUCGUAUUUUAAUAAAUUCCCAUUUUGCCCCUAGUUCAAUUAUGAGUGGCUAAUUUUCUUUCAAGCUUGGGUUGAAGGUGAAGUCUCAACAUGUGUCAUGGGCUUAAUUUGGUAAAUUUACUUUCUCUUCCCCUCUAAUUUUUGUGGAUGUUUUGACUUCUCGUCGACAAAUAAUACUAAUCUUGUCUGGUACCGCCUUGGUUUCACCGGCCCUCUAGUACAAGGUUAUUAUUAUUUGGCACGAUAAGCCCUUAGCACCAUAUUGAUUAGAGCGUGGUUCAUGAGGUGUGGAUUCCCCCCUCAUGAUUUAAUUGGCAUUAAUACGGAUUAUUUAGCCCAUGAUGCAUGUUGAUACGGAUCCAGAUACCCAAGUACGUCAUUUCAAUCUAAUUCUCGUCAAUUUAUUCUCGCCAUUUCAAUACCAAUUUUAGAAUUUAUCCUCGCCAUUUUAAUUUAAGUUUUAGCAUAUUCCAAAUCAUUUCCACCAUAAAUCCAAUCACCCAUUUACAAAAUUAAUUCUACACAAUUAAAAUCCACCUCCUCGUGGGAUCGACACUCGUCACCAUAGAUCUAUACUACAAUAGAUUCGUGCGCUUGCGAGUACAUUAAAAUUUGCACAACAAGUUUUUGGCGCCGUUGCCGGGGAGGUAAGUAAUUUUAAUUCAUAGAAUUAAUUUUUUUGAAUAAUUUCUUUUAUUUGUUUUCUUGUAUUUUUUUAUUAAAUUAAAAAAAAGAAAAAAAAAGUGAAUCUACAUUUAAAGGUUAGUAUUUCUUUUCUUUUUCUCUUCUUUAAAAUUCUGUAAUUUAAUUUUCCAUUUAUUUUUCUUUGUAAUUUUUUUUAUUUAUCUUAUUAAUUUAAUUUUUAGUUAAUUUCUUUCACGUAUUUAUUUUUGUGUAUUUUUAUAGAAAUGUUGUAAUAGCGUAAUAAGGUUAGUAUCGUAAUUUCUCCCUCUUCUUUAUUUUUAUUUGUUUUGUUCCCAUCUUUAUUUUUUGUUCUGUUUGCAUCUUUAUUUUUAUUUUAUUUAUUUUGCAUGCAUGGUCGUAGGUCAUUAUUACCUAAUCUUGAACCUAUAGAUCUUGAACUAGAAAAAACACUUCGCACACAAAAGCACAUUAAAAAUAAAUUUGGAAUGGAUUUACAAGCACCACAAGAGAGGCCAUUUAAGGACUAUUUUAGUCCCUUAGCUAAUUUGAGCACAUCAUGCAUAAGAUACCCAAAUGUAGCUGCUAGGAGUUUUGAAUUAAAACCUAGUGUGCUAAAUUGUCUCCCCACAUUUUAUGGCCUAGAAAAUGAGGAUCCAUAUAAUCAUCUGAAUGAUUUUCAUGCUAUUUGUCAAACUUUUAAAUACGAAAAUUUUUCAGAUGAUGAUGUAAAGCUUAGAUUAUUCCCAUUUUCUUUAAAGGAUAGAGCUCGUUCAUGGCUUAAUACAUUGCCUGCCAAUAGCAUUUCAUCAUGGGAACAAAUGGUAACUAAAUUUUUGAAUAAAUAUUUCCCAGUGCAUAAAACCAAUGCUAUUCGCAGGGAAAUCUCGGAGUUUACCCAGAGAGAGGACGAGCAAUUUUUCGAAACAUGGGAGCGAUUCAAUGGGCUACUCUUGAAGUGUCCACAUCAUGGGUACGAGAAAUGGCACCAAUGUCAAUACUUUUUGGAGGGAUUACUACCAAAUGUGCAAGAAUGGCUAAUGGCAACAAGUGGAGGAGAGCUAAUGUCAAAAAGUGCAUCAGAAAUUUGGGAAUUCUUCCAGCGACAAGCGGAUAAUUCCCAACAACGGAGUCGAUCACUCAGGAAUACUAGAAGAAUUAAAGGAGUAAAUGAGGUUCAAAUUGGCGAGUCAACUUCGGGAAUCAAAGAAGUCAAGGAGAUGGUUGAAGGUCUUGCUCGACAAAUAGCAUCGUUAUCGACUGCUAAAUCAACAGAACCACAUGACCAUGACUCAUACUCAGAUCAAGCCAAUGCCAUAGGUGUAAUGAGAAAGCCAUCAAAUUACAACCCAUACUCCAACACAUAUAAUCCUGGAUGGAGAGACCACCCCAAUUUUUCAUGGUCUCAAGGAUUCCAACAGAAUGGACCAGCAGCUCCAGCUCCACCAAUGCAACAAAUUCCUCAAGUUCCUCAAGCCUCUCAGCCACCAUUUAGACCAUACAAUCAGAAUCAGAAUUUCUCUCAACCCAGACCAUGGGAGGAUUCAUUCCAGAAUCUCAAGAAUCUUACUCACUCCACGAUUGAGCAACAAAACCGCACCAUUGAUGGACUACGAAAUGAGUUGAGAGCAGGUUUCAACUCACAAGCUCAAUCAGUUUCAAGCCUAGAAAAGAUGGUGGGACAACUUGCUUCUUCAGUUCAGACCUUGGCAAUGACUGUUGAGAAAGGCAAGUUUCCAAGUCAACCAGUACCUAAUCCUAAAGGAGUGCAUGAAGCAAGUACCAGUUCACCACAGCAGCAUGGAGAGGUCAAAGCAGUCAUGACCUUACGAAAAGGAAAAGAAGUCGACAACAAAGUGGAGAUGCCAGUAAUAAAAGAAAAUCAAAUUGUACCUGUGAGUGUUGAUGACUCAUCACCGGAGGAGAAAGAAGAAACCAACCCACGAGAAUACGUUCCCAAAGCUCCAUUCCCCCAGAGGUUAGCUAAAGGCAAGAAGGGAAAAUCCACAGGUGAGAUUCUCGAAAUCUUCAAACAGGUAAGUGUUAACAUCCCUUUGCUUGAUGCUAUUAAGCAAGUUCCAUCUUAUGCCAAGUUUCUUAAAGACCUUUGUACUAAAAAGAGAAACAUGCAUGUUCAAAAGAAGGCAUUUUUAACAGAAAACGUUAGUUCUAUACUCCAACAUAAAAUUCCUUUAAAAUGCAAAGACCCAGGCUCCCCCACUAUCUCAUGUAGUAUAGGGAACCACACAAUUGAGAAUGCUUUGUUGGAUUUAGGAGCUAGUGUAAAUUUGUUGCCUUAUUCAGUAUUUGUGAAACUUGGACUUGGAGAAUUACACCCAACUCCAGUGGUGUUACAGCUUGCAGAUCGGUCCACGAAAAUACCUCGUGGUAUUGUGGAGGACGUGCUUAUCCAGGUAGACAAGUUUUAUUUUCCUGUUGAUUUUAUUGUAAUUGACACUCAACCAAUACAGGAUUCAAGGAAGCACAUCCCCAUUAUUCUAGGCCGACCUUUCUUGGCAACUGCAGAUGCUCACAUUCAAUGCAGGACUGGAAAUAUGCAGUUGUCCUUCGGCAACAUGACUAUGGAGCUAAACAUUUUCAACAUUGCCAAACAACCUCACAGUGCAGAUGAUGGAAUUGUUGAUGUGGAUUUAAUUGAAGCAUUAGUUGAUGAUACUUUUGUUUCAAACCUUAGUGAUCCUUUACAAACAUGUUUAACUCACUUUGGUUUGGAUUUUGAUAUUGACAGAUCGGUCGAUGAGGUCAAUGCCCUGCUUGACUCAGCACCAUCUAUGGACACUAAUAAAUGGAAGUCAAGAGUUGAGCAACUAGCACCAUCAGAGAAGCAACUCAUUCCAUCGUCAGAAUCACCACCGAAACUCGAGCUCAAACCAUUGCCCAACACAUUGGAAUAUGCAUUUUUGGGAGAAGAAAGUACUCUGCCGGUAAUCAUCUCAUCAUCCCUAAAUGACGAACAAAAAGGUAAGUUGUUGGAUGUUUUAAAAGAGCACAAAGGAGCAUUAGGAUGGAUCAUAGCAGACAUUAAAGGUAUAAACCCAGUAGACUGCAUGCAUUACAUUCACCUUGAUGAAAAUGCUAAAUCUACUAGGGAAAUGCAACGUCGGUUAAAUCCUAAUAUGAAAGAAGUUGUUAGAACUGAAGUCCUUAAGCUAUUAGAUGCAGGUAUCAUUUACCCCAUUUCUGAUAGUUCAUGGGUCAGUCCUGUACAAGUUGUCCCCAAAAAGUCAGGAGUUACAGUAGUUACGAAUGCUGAUAAUGAAUUGAUACCCACUAGAGUGACUACAAGAUGGCGUGUAUGCAUUGAUUAUAGAAAGUUGAAUUCUGUCACACGUAAAGACCAUUUUCCUUUACCAUUUAUUGAUCAAAUGCUUGAUAGAUUAGCAGGCCAUGAAUUUUAUUGCUUUCUAGAUGGCUACUCAGGAUAUAAUCAGAUUCCCAUAGCACCAAAAGAUCAAGAGAAAACUACUUUCACUUGCCCUUUUGGCACAUUUGCAUAUAGGAGAAUGCCAUUUGGAUUAUGUAAUGCACCUGCUACAUUUCAACGAUGCAUGUUGAGCAUUUUUUCUGAUAUGGUUGAACGAUUCCUUGAAAUCUUUAUGGAUGACUUUUCUGUCUUUGGUGACUCGUUUGAUCAAUGUUUACAUCAUCUAACACUAGUUCUGCAGAGAUGUAUUGAGAAGAACUUGAUCUUAAAUUGGGAGAAAUGCCAUUUUAUGGUAAAACAAGGUAUUGUUCUCGGUCACAUCAUUUCGAGCAAAGGUAUUGAGGUUGACAAAGCCAAGGUGGAUCUCAUUUCUAAUCUUCCUCCACCUAAAACAAUCAGAGAAGUAAGAUCUUUCCUUGGGCAUGCUGGUUUUUAUAGACGUUUCAUUAAAGAUUUUAGCAAAGUUUCUAGACCCUUAUGCAAUCUACUUGCUAAGGAUGUACCUUUUAUCUUUAAUGAUUCAUGUCUUAUGGCGUUUGAAAAAUUAAAACAGUUGUUGACAUCAUCACCCAUCAUUCAGGCCCCAAACUGGAGCUUACCAUUUGAGCUAAUGUGUGAUGCAUCUGAUUAUGCAGUAGGAGCAGUAUUAGGACAAAGAGUUGAUCGAAUUCCCCACGUUAUUUACUAUGCUAGUAUGACAUUAAAUGAUGCACAGUUGAACUAUUCAACUACUGAAAAAGAAAUGCUAGCAGUAGUGUUUGCAUUGGAAAAAUUUCGAUCAUAUCUCAUUGGUUGUAAAAUAAUUAUAUUCACGGAUCAUGCUGCUCUUAAAUAUCUUCUCACAAAGAAAGAUGCAAAAGCCAGACUAUUUCGUUGGGUGUUACUUUUGCAGGAAUUUGACUUGGAAUUCAAAGAUAAGAAAGGGACAGAAAAUGUUGUGGCGGACCAUCUCUCUCGUCUCCAUUUUGACACAAUUAUAGAACAAUUACCAUUAAAUGAGUCAUUUCCAGAUGAACAAUUAAUGAGUGUGGAAGUAUUACCUUAGUAUGCUGAUAUAGUUAAUUAUCUUGUUACAGUUAAACUUCCAGAGCAUUGGACCAAGCAAGAUAAGGCUAAAUUCUUUGCAGAGAUAAAGAAUUUCUUUUGGGAUGACCCGUAUUUGUUCAAGUAUUGUGCAGACCAAAUUGUUAGACGAUGUGUCCCAGAAAGUGAAAUUCAGAAUAUCCUUUCAUUCUGCCAUGAACAAGCUUGUGGAGGCCAUUUCAGUGCUAAGAAAACCGCGACUAAAGUUUUACAAUGUGGUUUUUAUUGGCCAACUAUAUUUCGAGAUGCUUACACUUUCUGUUCUUCAUGUGAUAGGUGUCAACGAAUGGGGAGCAUUACGCGAAGGAACAUGAUGCCACUAAAUCCAAUUUUAGUGGUUGAGAUUUUUGACGUAUGGGGUAUCGACUUCAUGGGACCCUUUCCCCCGUCUUUUGGUCAUCAAUACAUAUUGAUUGCUGUUGACUAUGUAUCAAAAUGGGUAGAAGCUAUUCCAUGUAGGACCAAUGAUCACAAGGUGGUGAUAGCAUUUUUAAAAAGCAACAUUGUUUCACGCUUUGGAUUCCCUCGAGCAAUAAUCAGUGAUGGUGGUGCCCACUUUUGUAACAAAGCAUUCAAAGCUCUUUUGACAAAGUAUUCAAUCACACACAAAGUGGCGACCCCGUAUCAUCCGCAAACCAGUGGCCAAGUUGAGAUUUCCAAUCGAGAAAUAAAGCACAUAUUAGAAAAGACGGUGAAGCCAGACAGAAAAGAUUGGUCAUUAAGACUUGAUGAUGCCUUAUGGGCAUAUAGAACGGCUUUCAAGACCCCGAUUGGGAUGUCACCCUACAGGCUAGUAUAUGGAAAAGCUUGCCACCUACCUGUGGAACUCGAGCAUCGUGCAUAUUAGGCUAUCAAGAAAUUCAAUUUUGACAUGCAGCAAGCCAGCUCAGAAAGAAGAUUACAGCUGGCAGAACUUGAAGAAAUUCGCAAUGAUGCAUACAAAAAUGCCAAGAUUUACAAGCAACGAAUGAAAGUCUUCCAUGAUAAGCAAAUUAUGAGAAAAUCGUUUACUCCAGGUCAGAAAGUGCUUUUGUUCAAUUCUCGCUUGCACCUAUUCCCAGGUAAGUUACGCUCUUGUUGGUCUGGUCCCUUUAUUGUUCAUACUGUUUUUCCACAUGGGGCAAUUGAAAUUAAGGACCCAAAGAACGGUGUCACGUUUAAAGUUAAUGGUCAAAGAUUAAAGCCAUAUCUAGAGUACCAACCACAUGACGAAGACACCGAAAUAAAUUUGAGUGACCCACCAGAUUUGAAUUGAUUUUUUUUCUUUUCGUUGAUUUGAUUUUUCUUUCUUUCUUUUUAUUAUUAUUCUUUUGCUAAUUGAAAUUGUUUUUGCAUAAGUGUGUUUAUUUUACCAUUAAGUUUUCUCUUAUCAUUUUUAAUCAUGAGUCUCAUACUUAGACCGUUCCUCCUGAACAUUCUUAAACCACUUCAACGUGUCAAAACUCAUCUCAAAAGGCAGAUUCAAUUUUGUAAAACACAACGCAUUUGGGCUCUACAACAACCAGAGUUAGUAGCCUAUGUUGAGGGUUUAGAACGCCAACUCCGAGACAUUGAGAGAAGUGUUUACGACAUCCAGUUGGAGCUUGAGGUAAAUUUAAUAAGAGGACGAUUUUAAUUUUCUUUGUGUGUUUUAAUUUGUUUUUCUGUUUGUGUGCUUUAGUUUGUUACCCCGGUGAAGUGGCGGAUAACGGUACUCCGUGACAAUCAAGUUGGUUACUUCAGUUUCCCAUAAUAACUGAUAUUCUAAGGCGAAGGUAUGGACAGAAACGAGAUUCUAGCGAAGCUUCACAAGCGAUUCCCUUCACUUCCUCAGAAUGCCCUCCUUACGAUCUAUAAAGCUCGGUCCGAACGCAUGCGAUUACUCAUGAGGAAUAACAUACCUGCUGACAUCCGUUGGUUAAUCGAGGCUAAAGUACAAUCGGCAGGUGAGUUACCUCCAAAAUUUAUUGCAUUCAUGCCUGGUUGUGGUAAAGGAAAUUAUGCAAGAAAACGACGAGCUCGAAGAAUUUCUGUUGCUUGUCAUAAGUGUGCCAGAAUGAGUUGCAAUAAAAACCCAUGUUCUUUAGGAAUGGUGUCUGAUAACAGGGAAGAUAAGAUUCAAUUCAUUAGGGAUGGCUUGAAUAAGGAGUCAUUGGAUGAUAUCCUUUUGUCUCUUGAAACGCAUCCCAGUGGAUAUGUGCAAGGAGCGAUUCUCCAGUUAUGGCCAUUAUUCCAGAAAGAGCAUGCACGAUAUAGUCUUGGGAAUCUGACUAUAAACGACCCUGUUUGCCAGUUUAUAAGAAAGCUGGAUAGGAAGCCUAUCCUCGACCCAUAGAGGGCGUUCAAGCCGUUUCUGGACGUAAAACCAGAGGAAGAUGUGAGCCACAGUCGCAACUACCUGUAAAUAUCCUUUUACUUUAUUGUUAUUUUAUUUCACUAUUGUCUUAUUGUUUGCAUUAUUGUCUUUAAUAAUUUUAUUACUGUUUGCUUUUUCCUUUUUACUGUUUUCUUUUUGACUUGCGAGCCACGUGCUUUACGCGUUAUUUGACACUGACAUAUUACCUCAUACACAACCAUGACCCACUAUCACCAAGAUUCUUAAAUGUGAUUUCUUUUUUGUCAAGCACUCACAAAUUGUUUUUGAGAAGUAUCACAAUGUCAGCUACUCCCAAUAGACAAUUCAAGAACAUUUGUGUGCUUUCUGGAUUUACAUAUGGCAAACAUAAAGAGUUCGUUGAGGCAGCCAUAGAUCUUGGUCGAAGCAUAGCAGCGAGAAAAUUACACUUGGUGUAUGGAGGAGGUAAUCGAGGGUUAUCAAAAAUGGUCUCAGAAGCAGCUUUUAUCAGAGGAAGUCAAGUGUUAGGAAUCAUCCCAAGAGUCUUAAAACCAUUGGACAGUUCGUCUGACUCAUCAACUGGAGAAGAGUUAGUCGUCUCAGGUAUGCAAGAAAGAAUAACUGAAAUGCUUAAUCAUGCUGAUGCUUUUAUUUUCCUUCCAGGAGAUCUUGCAACACUAGAGGCACUUAUCACGCUAGCAUCUUGGGCCCAUCUGCACAUCCACCAAAAACCCAUCGGUUUGUUAAAUGUCAAUAACUUUUAUGAUGGCUUUAUCGCAUUUCUUAACCAUGCAAUAAAAAACUAUUUCAUUCCCGCUAAUAUGAAAAAACUCUUUAUUUGUGCUCACACUGCUAAUGAGCUACUUGAUCUGUUACAAGCUUAUAAACCGGAGCCAGACCCCUGGACCUUUGUGUUGGAGCGCCCAAAUAAUGAUGGUAACAGUAGCCGCAGUAAGAAGUACAAAUUAGAUUUAACUCUCCGCUUGUAAAUAUUAUUUUCUGUGUUGCACCACCCAGGUGAUGUCUUCUAAACUCUACUUCUUUCCUUUGAAACAUUGAGGACAAUGUUUCGUUCUGGUUGGGGGGAGGGAAUAGUCGACAAUUGUGGAAUUUUGGUUAAGUUUUUACUAAUUUUUGUUGUAGAAACUAACUGUUGCUAACUUUUUGUGUCGAAGAUGGCUGAAUAUGGAGUGUAGUGACUCUAGAAACGCAUCUUCAUCGUAAAAAAAAAAAAAUUAAAAAACUAAAAAAACAAAAUAAAAAUUUCAGACAUUUUUUUUUCUUUAUUAUAUGUUUAUGUUUAUUUUUCUUCUUUUUAAUUUCUCCUCUAUCAAUAUACAUUUUCCAACUUUUGAGUCGAAGAUGGCUGAAUAUGGAGUGUAGUUCCUCUAGAAACGCAUCUUCUUUAAAAAAUAAAAAUAAAAAAUUAUUUUCGUUUUCUAUCAUUUUACGUGUAACUUUUCUAAUUAGUUUUUAUGCAUCAUUUUCACAUUUCUGCAUGCAUAUUUUCCUUUCAUGUUUAGAAUAGGUUGGGGGGUAGAAUGUUGUUUAAAAAAAAAAAUUGUGUGAUUUGUUUUAACAUUGGAUGACAUGAUUAAUUUUAAAUUUUAGUAUUUGUAUUAUCUUUGGUCUUAAGUGAUGUUACGCUAUGUUUGCUACUCUACAUGUUGAUGUCGGAGACAAAUAUGCGUUGCUUGAAGGAAUGAACAUGUCAUAAUAAGUAUCAAGUGAGUUUUUGAGCCUAGCAUUUUUCUUGGAGAGUAACCCUUUUGCCCAUUCUUUAUACAGCUUAACAGUUUAUUAUUGUAUACACGAUCUCUAGAUUUCUUUUGAGUUAACCCUUAAUAAAAAAAAGAAAAAAAAAGUGUGUUGCUACAUUUGGAGGCCCAUCUAACUAGUAGAUAUGGAAGGUUAUUUAGAGCCCUAAAAGACGAUGGAAAGGCCAUCUUUGAUCCGUUUGAGCCUUUCUAGCCAUCCCUUUUAUUAAAUAUCCAUAGUUAACUCUUUUGAGCCUUUAAAAAAAAAAAAAAAAAAAACAUUUUCUUUGUCAACUUAUUAUCUUGACCCACUCCGAUUUGGAGUAUUAUCCGAUAUCUUAUAAGUUCCAUCACCUAUUUAUGUUUGAGAAAAUGUAAAUAAUUAUGUUGUUCAGUGAAGUUAUACCAAAAAAAAAAAAGCAAAAAAAAAAAAACAACAAAACAAAAGUUGUUGUUUCAAAAAAAAUAAAAAUAACAAUAAUAGGUGAAAUCCACCUUGCAACUUCCAAAAAAUAAAAAAAAUAAUAAAAAAAUUCUUUGCAUUUUUCUCAAACAUACACUUUGUUUUCCUUAUUUCCUUUCUUUGUUAACCAUGUCCCUAGCUUACGUUACAUCCUAAUAAAAGUCCUUCCUGAUUUUAGGGAACUAUAAUCUGAAGUAGAAACUAGUUAUAUGGGCUAAAAAGAUGUAGUGAUGCAUAAUUAAAAAAAAAAAGAUAAAUAAAGUGGGUUGACUAACAUUUUAUUUGACUUGAGAUCGUAUUAUUUCUAAGCUGAGGGCAUAUUUAUUUCAUCUUGGUGAGAGCAUGUGAUAUCACUUCUUUAUUAUUUUCUCUCUCAAUUACCAUUCAUUGGAGUGACUAUUUUUAUUGGGUUUAAUUUAUUUGUGAGAGUGUCACUACUUCCAGUGAGAUUUUGGGGUUUGACAUGUCAUUCUUGAAAGUAACUAUAACAAAGUCUACUGGGCUAAUUCAUGUGGAUGGUUGAUGUGGGUGUGAUGUUACUUUAGACUGGAGAUAAUGCUUAUACUUUUAUUUGAUUGCUAUCAUUAAUCUGAUUGAAUAAACACAAGUGUUUCUAAAAAAAAAAAAAAAAAUCAUUUUGAAUUUGAAUUUUGUUUUCGCUUUAUUUGCUAGGGACUAGCAAUAAGCUGGUUGGGGGGUGUGUUGAGUGUUAGAAAAUGCAUAUUUAUAAAGGAGAAAACCGUCAUUUUACAUUUCAAGUCUUACUAACAACCCUUACUUUUAUGUAUUUAACAUUCUUGUGAUUUAAUUACGUGUGUUUUAUUUUAAUUAAGUAAUUUAUGUAUUUUAGGGGCAUUAUAGUCAUUUCAUGAUAAAGGAGAGAUCAGACGGCAAAACGGACAUCACUUUUGAACUCAGGACGGUCGAAAACCUUGGGAGGAGCAUAAAAGGAAAAAUGACACUAUUCACAUGUACGGUACUAUUCACGUAUACGGGACUGUAUACGUUACUGUUCACGGCACUGUUCACAUAGACGGAUCGAUGACGUGGCAUUGACCGAUGAUGUGGCAUUGACUGAUGAGGUGUCACGAUCCUGUUGGACUAAAAUUCUUAUGUACUGUUGAUGGUGACGUGGAAGCAUAUCAGUGGACGAAAAAUCUCGCGUACGGUGCAUACAUCAUACAGGAUUAUUUUCAACCAAACUGCGUUACUGUUCAUCCGGGUCAAACCGCGUUACUAUUCAAAGUCGGGUCAAACCGUGUUACUGUUCAUCCGCGUGGUCAAACCGUGGACUGUUGACUGAUGACGUUGCGCAAUCCUGAGCGUCCAAACUGUUUUUAAUCCGAUGGCCAUGAUUUACUCCAUGUAUCUAUAAAAAGGGGGCCUCUCCCCCCUAAUUUGAUAUCUCUGAAUCCAUUUUUGGGAUCCAUUUUCUGUAAUUCCUUCUCCAUCUUGUAUUUUCUUCAUAUUUUAAUAAAUUCCCAUUUUGCCCCUAGUUCAAUUAUGAGUGGCUAAUUUUCUUUCAAGCUUGGGUUGAAGGUGAAGUCUCAACAUGUGUCAUGGGCUUAAUUUGGUAAAUUUACUUUCUCUUCCCCUCUAAUUUUUGUGGAUGUUUUGACUUCUCGUCGACAAAUAAUACUAAUCUUGUCUGGUACCGCCUUGGUUUCACCGGCCCUCUAGUACAAGGUUAUUAUUAUUUGGCACGAUAAGCCCUUAGCACCAUAUUGAUUAGAGCGUGGUUCAUGAGGUGUGGAUUCCCCCCUCAUGAUUUAAUUGGCAUUAAUACGGAUUAUUUAGCCCAUGAUGCAUGUUGAUACGGAUCCAGAUACCCAAGUACGUCAUUUCAAUCUAAUUCUCGUCAAUUUAUUCUCGCCAUUUCAAUACCAAUUUUAGAAUUUAUCCUCGCCAUUUUAAUUUAAGUUUUAGCAUAUUCCAAAUCAUUUCCACCAUAAAUCCAAUCACCCAUUUACAAAAUUAAUUCUACACAAUUAAAAUCCACCUCCUCGUGGGAUCGACACUCGUCACCAUAGAUCUAUACUACAAUAGAUUCGUGCGCUUGCGAGUACAUUAAAAUUUGCACAACACCGCCCAAGAAGAAAGACAAAGGAAAAGCUGUUCUUAAAGACAUUGAAUCACAUCCGACCUCCAAAGAACCCCAAUCAACCCCCUCUAAAGAAAAAUUACUUUCUUCUGCCAUGCCCAUCAAAUCCUGGAUUGAAAUGGUUGAAGAACAAGAAGCCCAGUAUAAAGCCAUUACCUCCGAAGACCAAGUAAAAGAAUGGAUGAACUCCAUUACAAAUUCUCCAGAGCUUAUGCUCGUAUUACAAAAUAUUUCCCAAACUAAAGCCCUUUCUCAAGUCUCUGAGAAAGAAAAACCUAUUUCUAAAGCAUUAUCAAAACCUUCUUCCUCUAAAGAAAUUGUUUUAUGUGAAAGCUCUUUUUCACAAAUUGUUAUUUCUCAAUCAAAGCUUUCACAAAAAUCCUCGGAUUGGUUUAAUAAAGCCUAUCAACAAAAUGUUUUAUCAAUGGAGGAUGGGUUUUAUCAUUCUGAUCUAUUUCAAGCAAUUUCAAAGAUUUUCCCGAAAGGCUGGUUUUUCAAACCAUGGAAUUUAUCAAUACCCCAGUCUUUCUACCAAAGCAUUCUUGAGUUCACUGAGUCAGUAAAGUUUAAGCAUUUCUUCCUUAGUGAAGCUCAUUCUGAGCCAGCCUAUUCCACAGCUACCAUUCUUAAAGUCUUAAGCCCAAAUCAGUGGGGUGACCAACUCCACAAGCCAAAAACUUUUCCCGCCAAUUUCCAAAGACGUUUAAACCAUUGCCCAUCUUUCUCCUACUGGGAUUAUCAACAGCCCUGGUUUAACACCUUUUUUAUCCAAAACCCCAAAAGAUCUCACUCUUGGUUAUUUUUCUUUAAUUCAAAAAUAACCGUCCAAAGCCUUCCAAACUGGUUCCAAAUUUGGUGGAACUACUUUGGGCCAAGCCUAGAAAUUUUAACCCCAAAUGCCAUCAAAUAUUUAAAUCUUUUUAAAGCCCAUUAUGUUCCUUCUGAGUCUGAGAAGAGGUUUCCUCCUUUUCUCUGUUUCUGUACAAACUUUUUCCUUCCCUGGGUUUGGAUGUGGAAUUUCCAAUACCACACCAUAGACACCCAACUAGUCCUACAAAGAACCUUCAAAGUCAAAUGGUGGUCUAAAUUUGACGAACAGUCAAAAUUGUCUGAAGCCACGAUCCAAUCCUGGCUUUCUUCAAGAGGCCUCCUUGCCCCAAGUAAAGACGUAACUAAAGCCCAAAGUACUUUCCUCGCCGAAAGGGCCAAAGCCCAAUCCCUGUUGGCCAGUGCCAAAACCGAGGAUGAGUAUUUCAAAGUUAUGUAGCAACUUCUUGCUACAAGAUCUGAGCCAUCCGUUGUAAGUUCUUCAUCAAGCUCCUCUGGAGAAGCUGAGCCGUUCAUUUCCCUCAGAGAUGAAAACGAAGAUGACUGCUUCAGAAUAUUUUCUCCUUUAAAGCAUUAAAGCUUUGUAAAAAAAAAAAAGAGUAAAGAUUGUCUUAUUUCCUUGUUGUCUUAUUUCCUUGUAAUUAUCAAUUGAUUUUUCCUUUUGUAUUUAUCUUUUGGUUUUUGGGUGUCCCUUGGACACAAGUGAGAGCGCACAUGUCUCUUCACCCAACUUUUGCUUCACCCCUUAAAGUCAAAAGCACCUCCUUUAGUAAAAUCAUUUUACCAAAGCUAAAGGUCCCAGCCAUGUGAAGCUUCUCGAAUUUCUCCAAAGCUGUUGUUGCCUUUCAUGAUGUUGUCCUCCAGCUACACAUGAAGACAAAAAUCAUAAAGAAGAUGUUGUCCCUUACAUGAGCAGAAGGACCCGCUCCACCAACCUCGCAUGUGAAGCCACAACCUCAUAAAGACUCUAUAGUUUCGCUACAGUUGAAGCUACAGACUCACCAUAGUUCAAGCUUCAGUUGUUUAAAUUCAAAGCUAUGUAAUUUUUUUUAGGCAGAACUUGGCUUACAGAAAUUUUUUGUAAAUCUCUCUCUCUCUCUCUCUCUGGGAAAUCAGGAUCAAGACAUCAAGGAAAACUAUUCAUGUCUUGAAAUUUUCCCUUUCUACAAAAAUCUAUAAACAAUUUCCAUUGUAAAGCUCUCGGAUCCAAGCAAUUAAUGUAAGCAUCUCUCAUUUAAUCUAUUUAAAGUUUAACUUCAAUUCAAUGCAUGUUUAAAUUUCUGUAUUUUAUUUAAAGUUUUUAAAUUUCAUAAAACUGCUACGUUCCUCUAAGGUAAAGAGACCAGAUCUCUGUCCUUAGUUGUAUUUUCUCUUCUCACUCCAUCCAUUCAGAAUACUAUUUCUGGGAUCUAGAUCUAGUAUUAUCUAUGAGCCUUUAGAUCUGUUGCUAAGCUUGCUUAAAGAAAAUUUUUAAUAUUAUUUUGGUAUAUCGGCUGGAAAACAGAACGUGCAUGAUAUUGAUCUGUUCUAAGUCAGAUUUGGUCACAAAGGCAGAUUAAGUUCUGUAAAGCUCUCGGAUCCAAGCAAUUAAUGUAAGCAUCUUCAUUAUUAAUUGAAUAUUGAAGUCGAAUUUAUAAAUUUUGCUAAAUUUACAUCCAUCCUUCGAUCCUAUUUCCUUACUGGUAUCAGUAAGGACGACCAUCUCUCAGACAAUAAGGAAAUAAGAUAAUUUGUAUCUCCUUCAGUAUCUCCUCUAUAAAUGCUUCUAUAUAAGAUUUUAAUAAAGCAAUUGAUAAUUUGGAAUUACCAAAAGUUAAUAAAGAAAUGAUUUACAAAACAAAAAAGCUUGAUUUCUUUAAGAAUGAUUAUGUUAUAAAAACUGAAGAACAUGAUAUAAUCCUUUCAAAGCCUUUUGAAACAAUUAAUUUGUUUUCAGAAUAAUCUUUAAAGAAAUUAAAAGAUAAAAAUUUUAAUUAUGUUCACAUCGGCUUAAUACAAGUCGACAUAAAACCCCUUACUAAAGAAGGUCUUAAUACCUCCAUUCUUGCCGUACUGAGAGAUGGUCGAUUCAUCUCUUUUGACGAUUCUUUACUAAGUAGUAUAGAAGUCUAAUUUACGCCAAUCCUAUAUUUCCUUACUGGUAUCAGAGCCAGGGGGAGGAUAGUGUAAUAUAGGAUAGAGACUUUGUGUUUAAAGACUUGUGUUUUGGUUGAACAUUGUUUGUGUGGUGAGUGUUACCUCUGUGUGCCUUGGUAGUGUUUGGUCGUAAGUCUCGAUUUAAUUGAAGGGCAGUAAAACCAAUUCUUACUGGCUAGUAAGGGGUUUUAUGCCAAAUUGUAUUAAGCCGAUGUGAACAUAAUUAAAAUUUUUAUCUUUUAAUUUCUUUAAAGAUUGUUCUGAAAACAAAUUAAUUGUUUCAAAAGGCUUUGAAAGGGUUAUAUCACGUUCUUCAGUUUUUAUAACAUAAUCAUUCUUAAAGAAAUCAGGUUUUUCUCUCUCAGAGACUUGAGAAAGGGCUUUAGUUUGGGAAAUAUUUUGUAAUGCGAGCAUAAGCUCUGGAGACUUUGUAAUGGAGUUCAUCCAUUCUUUUACUUGGUCUUCAGAGGUAAUGGCUUUAUACUGGGCUUCUUGUUCUUCAACCAUUUCAAUCCAGGAUUUGAUGGGCAUGGCAGAAGAAAGUAAUUUUUCUUUAGAGGGGGUUGAUUGGGGUUCUUUGGAGGUCGGAUGUGAUUCAAUGUCUUUAAGAACAGGUUUUCCUUUGUCUUUCUUCUUGGGCGGCAUUAUCUGUUUUGAAGAAAUUCCCUGGUUAGAAAAUCAGGGAUAGAAUUUGUAUCUCCUUUAAUAAAUUCAAUAUCAAAAUUAAAAACACUUAAAAUGGCUUGCCAUCGUGCAAAAAUCUGUUUUGAAGUAAUAUUUUGAACAUCUUUUUCCAAAACAUGUUUUGCAGCUUUGCAAUCGAUUCUAAGUAAAAAUUUUUGAUUUAAUAAAUCACUUUGAAAUUUAGAAAUGCAUAAUACAAUGGAAAGAAUCUCUUUUUUAAUACUAGAGUAAUUUCUUUGACAUUCAUUCCAAUGAGCAGAAACAUAUUGUACUAUUUGUUCUUUGUUAUUAUCUUUUUGUUUUAAUAUACCUCCAUAACCUAAAUCUGAUGCAUCAGUUUCAAUAAUUUUAGGUAGUGCAGGAUUUGCAAGAAAUAAAUGUGGAAUAUUUUUAACAGAAUUCUUUAUUAGUUUAAUAGCUUUAGUAUGCUCAUCAUCCAUGCAACAGGGUUCUUUUUUAAGCGAUCAUGUAAGGGUUUUGACAUUCUGUUGAUAUUAGGACAAAAAUCAAGAACAUAAUUUAAACUUCCUAUAAAUCUUUGCAGUUGGGUUUUGUCAAGGAUUUUAUCAGGAAAUUUGUCAGCAAACAUAAGAGAUCGCUCAAUAGGAGUAAUGGUUCCUUUGGAAAUGUAAUGACCUAGAAACCUGAUUUUUGUUUGAAACAAGGAAACUUUAGAAAUGGAAAUGGCUAAGCCGGCUUUUCUACUGGCAAGGUAGAAGGUCUUUAAAUGUUUGAAAUGUUGUUCAAUAGUUUGGGAAAAGAUUAACACAUCAUCAAUAUAUACAAUGCAAAAACUAGAAAAAAAGAUUAUAAAUGUCAUUCAUAAUUCUUUGAAAUCCUGAGGGUGCAGUGCAUUUUUUAAACCGAAUGCCAUGACAGUCCAUUCAUAUUGUCCAAAGGAACGGUCUUUAGGAUGAAUUUGAAUCUGCCAAAAUCCCGAUUUCAUAUCAAAUUUGAAGCCAUACCUACUGCCCUUCACUGAGUCAGUAAAACAUCCAUCCAUUCCUGAAGAAGAGCUAGAAAAGGACGAUGCUCUACAGAGCAGAGAAUCCAUGGAUAAAAACCUAUAUUCUAGUUUUAGUCCUGUAGGUAUGGCUACAAUCCAAGGCUAAGAAUUGGUUUUACUGCCCUUCAAUCAAAUGAUUCAAAGAAUAUUGUAAAUUCGGAAGAAUUUGUAAUUGAAGAUUUUAAUAAAGCAAUUGAUAAUUGGAAAUUACCAAAAGUUAAUAAAGAAAUGAUUUACAAAACAAAAAAGCUUGAUUUCUUUAAGAAUGAUUAUGUUAUAAAAACUGAAGAACGUGAUAUAACCCCUUCAAAGCCUUUUGAAACAAUUAAUUUGUUUUCAGAACAAUCUUUAAAGAAAUUAAGUGGCUCUGAUACCAGUAAGGAUAGAGACUUUGAAAGGCUUAUAGUGUAAUAUAGGAUAUAGACUUUGUGUUUAAAGACUUGUGUAUUAGAGCUCAAAGAUUUAGAAUGCUUAGAACAGAUCUAGUAUUUUCUAUUCUAGUCAACUGUUUUCCAAUAGUAUUUAGAUUAGCAUUACAAAAAUUAUUCUGUUGGAUAAUGCUAUCUAAAUCUGAUUCUGGAUCAGAUUUAGAUUGAUCAGAAACAUUAUCAAUUGCUUUAUUAAAAUGGAGGUGUUACCUUUGUGUGCCUUGGUAGUAUUUGGUCGUAAGUCCUGAUUUGAUUGAAGGGCAGUAAGUAGGCAACAACAGCUUACUAAGUAGUCACAAAUUCCUUACAAAUUCUUAAGCAUUAUCAAAACCUUCUUCCUCUAAAAAAAAAAAAAGAGUAAAGAUUGUCUUUCAAAAAAUAAAUACAAAUUUUCUAAAUCUAGCAAGUAACAAACACUAUUUUCCUCCAAAAAAAUAAAUACAAAUUUUCUAAAUUUAGCAAGCAACAAACAUUAUUUUCCUCCAAUUUCUAGCAUCUACCUUUGAAAAAAAUUAAAUCCAUCCAAUUUAUCUCCAAUUUCUAUUUAUUUUGGGUUAAAUUAUAAUUUUGAGGGGUAAAAGGUCAUUCCGUUAAAUUUGAUAACUUAAAUUAGACGGAAGUGGAAGAAUGCAACAAAAAGUAUACUUCAGGUGGCGCGCUGAAAAAAAAAAGUGUUUGUGUAUUUUUGAAAAAGACAAAACAAACAGGUGGACGGUUGUAAAUUUUCCUUUGUUUUUUCUAUUUGUGUGAUUUAGUUUGUUACCCCGAUGAAGUGGCGGAUAACGGUACUCCGUGACAAUCAAGUCGGUUACUUCAAUUUCCCAUAAUAACUGAUAUUCUGAGACGAAGGUAUGGACAGAAACGAGAUUCUAGCAAAGCUUCACAAUCGAUUCCCUUCACUUCCUCAGAAUGUCCUCCUUACAAUCCAUAAGCUAGGUCCGAACGUAUGCUAUUGCUUACGAGGAAUACCAUACCUAUUGACAUCCACUGGUUAAUCGAGGUCAAAGUACGAUUGGCAAGUGAGUUGCCUCCAAAAUUUAUUACAUACAUGCCUGGUUGUGGUAAAGGAAGUUAUGAAAGAAAACGAAGAGCUCGAAGAAUUUUUCUUGCUUGUCAUAAGUGUGCCAGAAUGAGAUGCGAUAAAAAACCAUGUUCUUUAGGAAUGGUGUCUGAUAACUGUUGAGUGUUAGAAAAUGCAUAUUUAUAAAGGAGAAAACCGUCAUUUUACAUUUCAAGUCUUACUAACAACCCUUACUUUUAUGUAUUUAACCUUCUUGUUAUUUAAUUACAUGUGUUUUAUUUUAAUUAAGUAUUUUAUGUAUUUUAGGGGCAUCAUAGUCAUUUCACAAUAAACGAGAAAUCAGAUGGCAAAACGGACAUCACUUUUGAACUCAGGACGGUCGAAAACCUUAGGAGGAGCAUAAAAGGAAAAAUGGCACUGUUCACUUGUACGGUACUAUUCACGUGUACGGUACUGUAUACGUUACUGUUCACGACACUGUUCACAUAGACGGACCGAUGACGUGGCAUUGACUGAUGAGGUGUCACGAUCCUGUUGGACUAAAAUUCUUAUAUACUGUUGAUGGUGACGUGGCAGCAUAUCAGUGGACGAAAAAUCUCGCAUACGGUGCAUGCAUCACACAGGAUUAUUUUCAACCAAACCGCGUUACUGUUCAUCCGGGUCAAACCGCGUUACUGUUCAAAGUCGGGUCAAACCGUGUUACUGUUCAUCCGCGUGGUCAAACCGUGGACUGUUGACUGAUGACGUGGCGCAAUCCUGAGCGUCCAAACUGUUUUUAAUCCGAUGGCCAUGAUUUACUCCAUGUAUCUAUAAAAAGGGGGCCUCCCCCCCCCCUAAUUUGAUAUCUCUGAAUCCAUUUUUGGGAUCCAUUUUCUGUAAUUUCUUCUCCAUCUUGUAUUUUCUUCGUAUUUUAAUAAAUUCCCAUUUUGCCCCUAGUUCAAUUAUGAGUGGCUAAUUUUCUUUCAAGCUUGGGUUGAAGGUGAAGUCUCAACAUGUGUCAUGGGCUUAAUUUGGUAAAUUUAUUUUCUCUUCCCCUCUAGUUUUUGUGGAUGUUUUGACUUCUCGUCGACAAAUAAUACUAAUCUUGUCUAGUACCGCCUUGGUUCCACCGGCCCUCUAGUACAAGGUUAUUAUUAUUUGGCACGAUAAGCCCUUAGCACCAUAUUGAUUAGAGUGUGGUUCAUGAGGUGUGGAUUCCCCCCUCAUGAUUUAAUUGGCAUUAAUACGGAUUAUUUAGCCCAUGAUGCAUGUUGAUACGGAUCCAGAUACCCAAGUACGUCAAUUUAAUAGAUUUUCUCUUCAAUUUAUUCUCUCCAUUGCAAUUCCAAUUUUAGAAUUUAUUCUCGCCAUUUUAAUUUAAGUAUUAGCAUAUUCCAAAUCAUUUCCACCAUAAAUCCAACUACCCAUUUACAAAAUUAAUUCUAUAUAUAAUUAAAAUCCACCUCCUCGUGGGAUCGACACUCGUCACCAUAGAUCUAUACUACAAUAGAUUCGUGCGCUUGCGAGUACAUUAAAAUUUGCACAACAAGUUUUUGGCGCCGUUGCCGGGGAGGUAAGUAAUUUUAAUUCAUAGAAUUAAUUUUUGUGAAUAAUUUCUUUUAUUUGUUUUCUUGUAUUUUUUUUUUAUUAUUAAAAAAAAAGAAAAAAAAAGUGAAUCUACAUUUAAAGGUUAGUAUUUCUUUUCUUUUUCUCUUCUUUAAAAUUUUGUAAUUUAAUUUUCCAUUUAUUUUUCUUUGUAAUUUUUUUGUUUAUCUUAUUAAUUUAAUUUUUAGUUAAUUUCUUUCACGUAUUUAUUUUUGUGUAUUUUUAUAGAAAGGUUGUAAUAGCGCAAUAAGGUUAGUAUCGUAAUUUCUCCCUCUUCUUUAUUUUUAUUUGUUUUGUUCCCAUCUUUAUUUUUUGUUUUGUUUGCAUCUUUAUUUUUAUUUUAUUUAUUUUGCAUGCAUGGUCGUAGGUCAUUAUUACCUAAUCUUGAACCUAUAGACCUUGAAUUAGAAAAAACACUUCGCACACACAAACACGUUAAAAAUAAAAUGGAUUUACAAGCACCACAGGAGAGGCCAUUUAAGGACUAUUUUAGUCCCUUAGCUAAUUUGAGCACGUCAUGCAUAAGAUACCCAAAUGUAGCUGCUAGGAGUUUUGAAUUAAAACCUAGUGUAUUAAAUUGUCUCCCCACAUUUUACGGCCUAGAAAAUGAGGAUCCAUAUAAUCAUUUGAAUGAUUUUCAUGCCAUUUGUCAAACAUUCAAAUAUGAGAAUUUUUCAGAUGAUGAUGUUAAACUUAGACUAUUCCCAUUUUCUUUAAAAGAUAGAGCUCGUUCAUGGCUUAAUACAUUGCUUGCUAAUAGCAUUGCAUCAUGGGAACAAAUGGUUACAAAAUUUUUAAAUAAAUAUUUCCCAGUGCAUAAAACCAAUGCUAUUCGCAGGGAAAUCUCGGAGUUUACCCAGAAAGAUGACGAGCAAUUUUUCGAAACAUGGGAGCGAUUCAAUGGGCUACUCUUGAAGUGUCCACAUCAUGGGUACGAGAAAUGGCACCAAUGCCAAUACUUUUUGGAGGGAUUAUUGCCGAAUGUGCAAGAAUGGCUAAUGGCAACAAGUGGAGGAGAGCUAAUGUCAAAAAGUGCAUCAGAGAUUUGGGAAUUCUUCCAGCGACAAGCGGAUAAUUCCCAACAACGGAGUCGAUCACUCAGGAAUACUAGACGAAUUAAGGGAGUAAAUGAGGUUCAAAUUGGCGAGUCAACUUCGGGAAUCAAAGAAGUCAAGGAGAUGGUUGAAGGUCUUGCUCGACAAAUAGCAUCGUUAUCGACUGCUAAAUCAACAGAACCACAUGACCAUGACUCAUACUCAGAUCAAGCCAAUGCCAUAGGUGUAAUGAGAAAGCCAUCAAAUUACAACCCAUACUCCAACACAUAUAACCCUGGAUGGAGAGACCACCCCAAUUUUUCAUGGUCUCAAGGAUUCCAACAGAAUGGACCAACAGCUCCAGCUCCACCAAUGCAACAAAUUCCUCAAGCCUCUCAGCCACCAUUUAGACCAUACAAUCAGAACCAGAACCACUCUCAACCUAGACCAUGGGAGGAUGCAUUUCAGAAUUUCAGGAAUGUUACUCACUCCACGAUUGAGCAACAGAACCGCACCAUUGAUGGACUACGAAAUGAGUUGAGAGCAGGCUUCAACUCACAAGCUCAAUCGGUUUCAAGCCUCGAGAAGAUGGUGGGACAACUUGCUUCUUCAGUUCAAACCUUGGCAAUGACCGUUGAGAAAGGUAAGUUUCCAAGUCAACCAGUGCCUAAUCCUAAAGGAGUACAUGAAGCAAGUACUAGUUCACCACAACAGCAUGGAGAGGUCAAAGCAGUAAUGACCUUGCGAAAAGGAAAAGAAGUCGACAACAAGGUGGAGAUGCCAGUGACAAAAGAAAAUCAAAUUGUACCUGUGAAUGUUGAGGACUCAUCACCGGAGGACAGAGAAGAAACCAACCCACGAGAAUAUAUUCCGAAAGCUCCAUUUCCUCAGAGGUUAGCUAAAGGAAAAAAGGGAAAAUCCACAGGUGAGAUUCUUGAAAUCUUCAAACAGGUAAGUGUUAACAUCCCUUUGCUUGAUGCUAUUAAACAAGUUCCAUCUUAUGCCAAGUUUCUUAAAGAUUUGUGUACUAAAAAGAGAAAUAUGCAUGUUCAAAAGAAGGCUUUUUUAACAGAAAACGUUAGUUCUAUACUCCAACAUAAAAUUCCUUUAAAAUGCAAAGACCCAGGCUCCCCCACUAUCUCAUGUAGCAUAGGGAACCACACAAUUGAGAAUGCUUUGUUGGAUUUAGGAGCUAGUGUAAAUUUGUUGCCUUAUUCAGUAUUUGUGAAACUUGGACUUGGAGAAUUACACCCAACUCCAGUGGUGUUACAGCUUGCAGAUCGGUCCACGAAAAUACCUCGUGGUAUUGUGGAGGACGUGCUUAUCCAGGUAGACAAAUUUUAUUUUCCUGUUGACUUCAUUGUAAUUGACACUCAACCAAUACAGGAUUCAAGGAAGCACAUCCCCAUUAUUCUAGGCCGACCUUUCUUGGCAACUGCGGAUGCUCACAUUCAAUGUAGGACUGGAAAUAUGCAGUUGUCCUUCGGCAACAUGACUAUGGAGCUGAACAUCUUCAACAUUGCCAAACAACCUCACAGUGCAGAUGAUGGAAUUGUUGUUGAUGUGGAUUUAAUUGAAGCAUUAGUUGAUGACACUUUUCUUUCAAACCUUAGUGAUGAUCCCUUACAAACAUGUUUAACUCACUUUGGUUUUGAUUUUGAUAUUGACAGAUCAGUUGAUGAGGUCAACGCCCUGCUUGACUCAGCACCAUCUAUGGACACUAAUAAAUGGAAGUCAAGAGUUGAGCAACUAGCACCAUCAGAGAAGCAACUCAUUCCAUCAUCAGAAUCACCACCGAAACUCGAGCUCAAACCAUUGCCCAACACUUUGGAAUAUGCGUUUUUGGGAGAAGAAAGUACUCUGCCGGUAAUCAUCUCAUCAUCCCUAAAUGACGAACAAAAAGGUAAGUUGUUGGAUGUUUUAAAAGAGCACAAAGAAGCAUUAGGAUGGACCAUAGCAGAUAUUAAAGGUAUAAACCCAGUAGAUUGCAUGCAUUACAUUCACCUUGAUGAAAAUGCUAAAACUACUAGGGAGAUGCAACGUCGGUUAAAUCCUAACAUGAAAGAAGUUGUUAGAACUGAGGUCCUUAAGCUAUUAGAUGCAGGUAUCAUUUACCCCAUUUCUGAUAGUUCAUGGGUCAGUCCUGUGCAAGUUGUCCCCAAAAAGUCAGGAAUCACAGUAGUUACGAAUGCUGAUAAUGAAUUGAUACCCACUAGAGUAACUACAGGAUGGCGUGUUUGCAUUGAUUAUAGAAAGUUGAAUUCUGUCACACGUAAAGACCAUUUUCCUUUACCAUUUAUCGAUCAAAUGCUUGAUAGAUUAGCAGGCCAUGAAUUUUAUUGCUUUCUAGAUGGCUACUCAGGAUAUAAUCAGAUUCCCAUAGCACCAAAAGAUCAGGAGAAAACUACUUUCACUUGCCCUUUUGGCACAUUUGCACAUAGGAGAAUGCCAUUUGGAUUAUGUAAUGCACCUGCUACAUUUCAACGAUGCAUGUUGAGCAUUUUUUCUGAUAUGGUUGAACGAUUCCUUGAAGUCUUUAUGGAUGACUUUUCUGUCUUUGGUGACUCGUUUGAUCAAUGUUUACAUCAUCUAACACUAGUUCUGCAGAGAUGUAUCGAAAAGAACUUGGUCUUAAAUUGGGAGAAAUGCCAUUUUAUGGUAAAACAAGGUAUUGUUCUCGGUCACAUCAUUUCGAGCAAAGGUAUUGAGGUUGACAAAGCCAAGGUGGAUCUCAUUUCUAAUCUUCCUCCACCCAAAACAGUCAGAGAAGUAAGAUCUUUCCUUGGGCAUGCUGGUUUCUAUAGACGUUUCAUUAAAGAUUUUAGCAAAGUUUCUAGACCCUUAUGCAAUUUACUUGCUAAGGAUGUACCUUUUAUCUUUAAUGAUUCAUGUCUUAUGGCGUUUGAAAAAUUAAAACGGUUGUUGACAUCAUCACCCAUCAUUCAGGCCCCAAACUGGAGCUUAUCAUUUGAGCUAAUGUGUGAUGCAUCUGAUUAUGCAGUAGGAGCAGUAUUAGGACAAAGAGUUGAUCGAAUUCCCCAUGUUAUUUACUAUGCUAGUAUGACAUUAAAUGAUGCACAGUUGAACUAUUCAACUACUGAAAAAGAAAUGCUAGCAGUAGUGUUUGCAUUAGAGAAAUUUCGAUCUUAUCUCAUUGGUUGUAAAAUAAUUAUAUUCACAGAUCAUGCUGCUCUUAAAUAUCUUCUCAUAAAGAAAGAUGCAAAAGCCAGACUAAUUCGUUGGGUGUUACUUUUGCAGGAAUUUGACUUGGAAUUCAAAGAUAAGAAAGGGACAGAAAAUGUUGUGGCGGACCAUCUCUCUCGUCUCCAUUUUGACACAAUUAUAGAACAAUUACCAUUAAAUGAGUCAUUUCCAGAUGAACAAUUAAUGAGUGUGGAAGUAUUACCUUGGUAUGCUGAUAUAGUUAAUUAUCUUGUUACAGGUAAACUUCCAGAGCAUUGGACCAAGCAAGACAAGGCUAAAUUCUUUGCAGAGAUAAAGAAUUUCUUUUGGGAUGACCCGUAUUUGUUCAAGUAUUGUGCGGAUCAAAUUGUUAGACGAUGUGUCCCAGAAAGUGAAAUUCAGAAUAUCCUUUCAUUCUGCCAUGAACAAGCUUGUGGAGGCCAUUUCAGUGCUAAGAAGACAGCGACUAAAGUUUUACAAUGUGGUUUCUAUUGGCCAUCUAUAUUUCGAGACGCUUACACUUUCUGUUCUUCAUGUGAUAGGUGUCAACGAAUGGGAAGCAUUACACGAAGGAACAUGAUGCCACUAAAUCCAAUUUUAGUGGUUGAGAUUUUUGACGUAUGGGGUAUCGACUUCAUGGGACCCUUUCCCCCUUCUUUUGGCCAUCAAUACAUAUUGGUUGCUGUUGACUACGUAUCAAAAUGGGUAGAAGCAAUUCCAUGUAGGACCAAUGAUCACAAGGUGGUGAUAGCAUUUUUGAAAAGCAACAUUGUUUCACGCUUUGGAUUCCCUCGAGCAAUAAUCAGUGAUGGUGGUGCCCACUUUUGUAACAAAGCAUUCAAAGCACUUUUGACAAAGUAUUCAAUCACACACAAAGUGGCGACCCCGUAUCAUCCGCAAACCAGUGGCCAAGUUGAGAUCUCCAAUCGAGAAAUAAAGCACAUAUUAGAAAAGACGGUGAGGCCGGACAGAAAAGAUUGGUCAUUAAGACUUGAUGAUGCCUUAUGGGCAUAUAGAACGGCUUUCAAGACCCCGAUUGGGAUGUCACCCUACAGGCUAGUGUAUGGAAAAGCUUGCCACCUACCUGUGGAACUCGAGCAUCGUGCAUAUUGGGCCAUCAAGAAAUUCAAUUUUGACAUGCAGCAAGCCAGCUCAGAAAGAAGAUUACAGCUGGCAGAACUUGAAGAAAUUCGCAAUGAUGCAUACGAAAAUGCCAAGAUUUACAAGCAACGAAUGAAAGUCUUCCAUGAUAAGCAAAUUAUGAGAAAAUCGUUCACUCCAGGUCAGAAAGUGCUUUUGUUCAAUUCUCGCUUGCACCUAUUCCCAGGUAAGUUACGCUCUCGUUGGUCUGGUCCCUUUAUUGUUCAUACUGUUUUUCCACAUGGGGCAAUUGAAAUUAAGGACCCAAAGAACGGUGUCACGUUUAAAGUUAAUGGUCAAAGAUUAAAGCCAUAUCUAGAAUACCAACCACGUGGAGAAGACAACGAAAUAAAUUUGAGUGACCCACCAGAUUUGAAUUGAUUUUUUUUUCUUUCUUUUCGUUGAUUUGAUUUUGUUUUCUUUCUUUAUAUUAUUCUUUUGCUAAUUGAAAUUGUUUUUGCAUAAGUGUGUUUAUUUUACCAUUAAGUUUUCUCUUAUCAUUGUUAAUCAUGAGUCUCAUACUUAGACCGUUCCUCCUGAACAUUCUUAAACCACUUCAACGUGUCAAAACUCAUCUCAAAAGGCAGAUUCAAUUUUGUAAAACACAACGCAUUUGGGCUCUACAACCACCAGAGUUAGUAGCCUAUGUUGAGGGUUUAGAAAGCCAACUCAGAGACAUUGAGAGAAGUGUUUACGACAUCCAGUUGGAGCUUGAGGUAAAUUCAAUAAGAGGACGAUUUUAAUUUUCUUUGUGUGUUUUAAUUUGUUUUUCUGUUUGUGUGCUUUAGUUUGUUACCCCGGUGAAGUGGCGGAUAACGGUACUCCGUGACAAUCAAGUCGGUUACUUCAGUUUCCCAUAAUAACUGAUAUUCUGAGGCGAAGGUAUGGACAGAAACGAGAUUCUAACGAAGCUUCACAAGCGAUUCCCUUCACUUCCUCAGAAUGCCCUCCUUACGAUCUAUAAAGCUCGGUCCGAACGCAUGCGAUUACUCAUGAGAAAUAACAUACCUGCUGACAUCCGUUGGUUAAUCGAGGCUAAAGUACGAUCGGCAGGUGAGUUACCUCCAAAAUUUAUUGCAUACAUGCCUGGUUGUGGUAAAGGAAAUUAUGCAAGAAAACGACGAGCUCGAAGAAUUUCUGUUGCUUGUCAUAAGUGUGCCAGAAUGAGUUGCAAUAAAAACCCAUGUUCUUUAGGAAUGAUGUCUGAUAACAGGGAAGAUAAGAUUCAAUUCAUUAGGGAUGGCUUGAAUAAGGAGUCAUUGGAUGAUAUCCUUUUGUCUCUUGAAACGCAUCCCAGUGGAUAUGUGCAAGGAGCGAUUCUCCAGUUAUGGCCAUUAUUCCAGAAAGAGCAUGCACGAUAUAGUCUCGGGAAUCUGACUAUAAACGACCCUGUUUGCCAGUUUAUAAGAAAACUGGAUAGGAAGCCUAUCCUCGACCCAUAGAGGGCGUUCAAGCCGUUUCUGGACGUAAAACCAGAGGAAGAUGUGAGCCACAGUCGCAACUACCUGUAAAUAUCCUUUUACUUUAUUGUUAUUUUAUUUUACUAUUGUCUUAUUGUUUGCAUUAUUGUCUUUAAUAAUUUUAUUACUGUUUGCUUUUUCCUUUUUACUGUUUUCUUUUUGACUUGCGAGCCACGUGCUUUACGCGUUAUUUGACACUGACAUAUUACCUCAUACACAACCAUGACCCACUAUCACCGAGACUCUUAAAUGUGAUUUUCUUUGUCAAGCACUCACAAAUUAUUUUUGAGAAAUAUCACAAUGUCAGCUACUCCCAAUAGACAAUUCAAGAACAUUUGUGUGCUUUCUGGAUUUACAUAUGGCAAACAUAAAGAGUUCGUUGAGGCAGCCAUAGAUCUUGGUCGACGUAUAGCAGAGAGAAAAUUACACUUGGUGUAUGGAGGAGGUAACCGAGGAUUAUCAAAAAUGGUCUCAGAAGCAGCUUUUAUCAGAGGAAGUCAAGUGUUAGGCAUCAUCCCAAGAGUUCUAAAACCAUUGGGCAGUUCGUCUGACUCAUCAACUGGAGAAGAGUUAGUCGUCUCAGGUAUGCAAGAAAGAAUAACUGAAAUGCUUAAUCAUGCUGAUGCUUUUAUUUUCCUUCCAGGAGAUCUUGCAACACUAGAGGCACUUAUCACGCUAGCAUCUUGGGCCCAUCUGCACAUCCACCAGAAACCCAUCGGUUUGUUAAAUAUCAAUAACUUUUAUGAUGGCUUUAUCGCAUUUCUUAACCAUGCAAUAAAAAACUAUUUCAUUCCCGCUAAUGUGAAAAAACUCUUUAUUUGUGCUCACACUGCUAAUGAGCUACUGGAUCUGUUACAAGCUUAUAGACCGGAGCCAAACCCCUGGACCUUUCUGUUGGAGCGUCCAAAUAAUGAUGGUAACAGUAGCAGCAGUAAGAAGUACAAAUUAGAUUUAACUCUCCACCUGUAAAUAUUUUCUUCUGUGUUGCACCACCCAGGUGAUGUCUUCUAAACUCUACUUCUUUCAUUUCAAACAUUGAGGACAAUGUUUCGUUCUGGUUGGGGGGAGGGAAUAGUCGACAAUNNNNNNNNNNNNNNNNNNNNNNNNNNNNNNNNNNNNNNNNNNNNNNNNNNNNNNNNNNNNNNNNNNNNNNNNNNNNNNNNNNNNNNNNNNNNNNNNNNNNNNNNNNNNNNNNNNNNNNNNNNNNNNNNNNNNNNNNNNNNNNNNNNNNNNNNNNNNNNNNNNNNNNNNNNNNNNNNNNNNNNNNNNNNNNNNNNNNNNNNNNNNNNNNNNNNNNNNNNNNNNNNNNNNNNNNNNNNNNNNNNNNNNNNNNNNNNNNNNNNNNNNNNNNNNNNNNNNNNNNNNNNNNNNNNNNNNNNNNNNNNNNNNNNNNNNNNNNNNNNNNNNNNNNNNNNNNNNNNNNNNNNNNNNNNNNNNNNNNNNNNNNNNNNNNNNNNNNNNNNNNNNNNNNNNNNNNNNNNNNNNNNNNNNNNNNNNNNNNNNNNNNNNNNNNNNNNNNNNNNNNNNNNNNNNNNNNNNNNNNNCAUUUUUCUUGGAGAGUAACCCUUUUGCUCAUUCUUUAUACAGCUUAACAGUUUAUUAUUGUAUACACGAUCUCUAGAUUUCUUUUGAGUUAACCCUUAAUAAAAAAAAAAAAAAGUGUGUUGCUACAUUUGGAGGCCCAUCUAACUAGUAGAUAUGGAAGGUUAUUUAGAGCCCUAAAAGACGAUGGAAAGGCCAUCUUUGAUCCGUUUGAGCCUUUCUAGCCAUCCCUUUUAUUAAAUAUCCAUAGUUAACCCUUUUGAGCCUUUAAAAAAAAAAAAAAUUUUCUUUGUCAACUUAUCAUCUUGACCCACUCCGAUUUGGAGUAUUACCCGAUAUCUUAUAAGUUCCAUCACCUAUUUAUGUUUGAGAAAAUGUAAAUAAUUAUGUUGUUCAAUGAAGUUAGUUCAAAAAAAAAAGCAAAAAAAAAAAAAAACAACAAAACAAAAGUUGUUGUUUCAAAAGAAUAAAAAUAACAAUAAUAGGUGAAAUCCACCUUGCAACUUUCAAAAAAAAAAAAAAAUUCUCUGCAUUUUUCUCAAACAUACACUUUGUUUUCCUUAUUUCCUUUCUUUGUUAACCAUGUCCCUAGCCUACGUUACAUCCUAAUAAAAGUCCUUCCUGAUUUUAGGGAACUAUAAUCUGAAGUAGAAGCUAGUUAUAUGGGCUAAAAAGAUGUAGUGGUGCAUAUAUAAAAAAAAAAAAAAUUGGGUUGACUAACAGUUUUUAUUUGACUUGAGAUCGUAUUAUUUUUAAGCUGAGGGCAUAUUUAUUUCAUCUUGGUGAGAGCAUGUGAUAUCACUUUUUCAUUAUUUUCUCUCAAUUAUCAUUCAUUGGAGUGACUAUUUUUAUUGGGUUUAAUUUCUUUGUGAGAGUGUCACUACUUCCAGUGAGAUUUUGGGGUUUGACAUGUCAUUCUUGAAAGUAGCUAUAACAAAGUCUACUGGGCUGAUUUAUGUGGAUGGUUGAUGUGGGUGUGAUGUUACUUUAGACUGGAGAUAAUGCUUAUACUUUAUUUGAUUGCUAUCAUUAAUCUGAUUGAAUAAACACAAGUGUUUCUAAAUUUAAAAAAAAAAAUCAUUUUGAAUUUGAAUUUUAUUUUCGCUUCAUUUGCUAGGGACUAGCAAUAAGCUGGUUCGGGGGUGUGUUGAGUGUUAGAAAAUGCAUAUUUAUAAAGGAGAAAACCGUCAUUUUACAUUUCAAGUCUUACUAACAACCCUUACUUUUAUGUAUUUAACCUUCUUGUUAUUUAAUUACAUGUGUUUUAUUUUAAUUAAGUAUUUUAUGUAUUUUAGGGGCAUCAUAGUCAUUUCACAAUAAACGAGAAAUCAGAUGGCAAAACGGACAUCACUUUUGAACUCAGGACGGUCGAAAACCUUAGGAGGAGCAUAAAAGGAAAAAUGGCACUGUUCACUUGUACGGUACUAUUCACGUGUACGGUACUGUAUACGUUACUGUUCACGACACUGUUCACAUAGACGGACCGAUGACGUGGCAUUGACUGAUGAGGUGUCACGAUCCUGUUGGACUAAAAUUCUUAUAUACUGUUGAUGGUGACGUGGCAGCAUAUCAGUGGACGAAAAAUCUCGCAUACGGUGCAUGCAUCACACAGGAUUAUUUUCAACCAAACCGCGUUACUGUUCAUCCGGGUCAAACCGCGUUACUGUUCAAAGUCGGGUCAAACCGUGUUACUGUUCAUCCGCGUGGUCAAACCGUGGACUGUUGACUGAUGACGUGGCGCAAUCCUGAGCGUCCAAACUGUUUUUAAUCCGAUGGCCAUGAUUUACUCCAUGUAUCUAUAAAAAGGGGGCCUCCCCCCCCCUAAUUUGAUAUCUCUGAAUCCAUUUUUGGGAUCCAUUUUCUGUAAUUCCUUCUCCAUCUUGUAUUUUCUUCGUAUUUUAAUAAAUUCCCAUUUUGCCCCUAGUUCAAUUAUGAGUGGCUAAUUUUCUUUCAAGCUUGGGUUGAAGGUGAAGUCUCAACAUGUGUCAUGGGCUUAAUUUGGUAAAUUUAUUUUCUCUUCCCCUCUAGUUUUUGUGGAUGUUUUGACUUCUCGUCGACAAAUAAUACUAAUCUUGUCUAGUACCGCCUUGGUUCCACCGGCCCUCUAGUACAAGGUUAUUAUUAUUUGGCACGAUAAGCCCUUAGCACCAUAUUGAUUAGAGUGUGGUUCAUGAGGUGUGGAUUCCCCCCUCAUGAUUUAAUUGGCAUUAAUACGGAUUAUUUAGCCCAUGAUGCAUGUUGAUACGGAUCCAGAUACCCAAGUACGUCAAUUUAAUAGAUUUUCUCUUCAAUUUAUUCUCUCCAUUGCAAUUCCAAUUUUAGAAUUUAUUCUCGCCAUUUUAAUUUAAGUAUUAGCAUAUUCCAAAUCAUUUCCACCAUAAAUCCAACUACCCAUUUACAAAAUUAAUUCUAUAUAUAAUUAAAAUCCACCUCCUCGUGGGAUCGACACUCGUCACCAUAGAUCUAUACUACAAUAGAUUCGUGCGCUUGCGAGUACAUUAAAAUUUGCACAACAAUAACAGAGAAGAUAAGAUUUCAAUUCAUUAGAGAUGACUUGAAUAAGAAGUCAUUGAAUGAUAUCCUUUUGUCUCUUGAAACGCAUCCCAGUGGAUAUGUACAAGAAGCGAUUCUCCAGUUAUAGCCAUUAUUCCAGAAAGAGCAUGCACAAUAUAGUCUCGAAAAUCUGGCUAUAAACGACCAUAUUCGCCAGUUUAUAAGAAAACUAGAUGGAAAGCCUAUCCUUAACCUAUAGAGGGCGUUCAAGCCAUUUCUAGACUUAAAACUAGAGAAAGAUGUGAGCCACAGUCGCAACUACCUGUAAAUAUCUUUUUACUUCACUGUUAUUUUAUCAUUUGCAUUAUUGUCUUUAAUAAUUUUAUUUUAUCAUUGUUUUUUUUCCUUUUUAUUGUUUUCUUUUUUACUCUCAAGCCAUGUGUUUUACGCGUUAAUUGACACUGACAUGCUACCUCAUACACAGUUGUGACCUACUGUCACCAAGAUUCUUAAAUAUGACUUUUUGUUAAGCACUCACAAAUUAUUUUUGAAAAGUAUCCCAAUGGCAGCUACUCCCAAUAAACAAUUCAAGAACAUUUGUGUGCUUUCUGGAUUUAACUAUGGCAAACAUAAAGAGUUCGUUGAGGCAACCAUAGAUCUUGGUCGAAGCAUAGCAGAGAGAAAUUACAUUUGGCGUAUGGAGGAGGUAAUCGAGGGUUAUCAAAAUUGGUCUCAGAAGCUGCUUUUGUCAGAGGAAGCCAAGUGUUAGGCAUUAUCCCAAGAGCCCUAAAACGUUUGAGCAGUUUGUCUGACUCACCGACUGCAGAAUAGUUAGUCGUCUCAGGUAUGCAAGAAAGAAUAACUGAAAUGCUUAAUCAUGUUGAUACUUUUAUUUUCUUACCAUGAGAUCUUGUAACUCUAGAGGGACUUAUCACAUUAGCAUCUUGGGCUCAUCUGCAUAUUCACCAGAAACCCAUCGGUUUAUUAAAUGUCAAUAACUUUUAUGAUGGCUUCAUCGCAUUUCUCAACCAUGCAAUAAAAAACUAUUUCAUUCCUUCUACAGCGAAAAACUUUUUAUUUGUGCUCACACUGCUAAUGAGCCACUUGAUCUGUUACAAGCUUAUAGACCAGAUCCAGACCCCUGGACCUUUGUGUUGGAGCGCUCAAAUAAUAAUGGUAACAGUAGCCGCAGUAAGAAGUGCAAAUUAGAUUUAACUCUCCGCUUGUAAAUAUUUUCUUCUGUGUUGCACCAUCUAGGUGAUGUCUUCUAAACUCUAUUUCUUUCUUUUAAAACAUUGAGGACAAUGUUUUGUUCUGGUUGGGGGAGGGAAUAAUUGACAAUUGUGGAAUCUUGGUUAAGUUUUUACUGAUUUUUUGUUGUAGAGACUAACCGUGGCUAACUUUUUGUGUUGAAGAUGGUUGAAUAUGGAGUGUAGUUACUGUAGAAACGCAUCUUUGUCUAAAAAAAAACAAAAAAAAAUUCCAGACAUUUUCUUUUUCUUUGUUAAGCUUUGAGAAGCAUUUUUUUUCUAACUUCUUUUUUCUGAUUUCUCCUUUAUAAAUAUACACUUUCAAAUUUUUGAGUCGAAUAUGGCUGAAUAUAGAGUGUAGUGACUCUAGAAACGCAUCUUCUUAAUUAAAAAAAAAUUCUUUUUCUAUCAUUUUUAGUGUAACUUUUCUAAUUAGUUUUUCUGCAUCAUUUUCACCUUUCUAUAUUUUCUUUUCAUGUUUAGAAUAGGUUGGGGGGUAGAAUGUCGUUUGAACCUAAAAAAAAAAUGUAUGUAUUUUUUUAACAUUGGAUGACAUGAUUACUUUCAAAUUUUAGUAUUUGUAUUAUCUUUGGUCUUAAGUGAUAUUACGCCAUAUUUGCUACUCUACAUGUUGAUGUCGGAGACAAAUAUGAGUUGCUUGAAGGAAUGCACAUGUCAUAAUGAAUGCCAAGUGAGUUUUUUAGCCUAUUAUUUUUCUUGGAGAGUAACCCCUUUUUGCCCAUUCUUCAUACAACAAAGCAGUUUAUUAUUUUAUACAUGAUACUUAGAUUUCCUUUGAGUCAAUCCUUAAAAAAAAGUUAAAUAAAAUAAAAAAAAGAGAGAAAAAAGUGUGUGUUGCUACAUCUGGAGGUCUAUCUAACUAGUAGAUAUUGAAGAUUAGUUAUAGCCCUAAAAAACGAUAGAAAUGCCAUUUUUGACCCGUUUGAGCCUUUCUAGCCAUCCCUCUUGUGAAAUAUCCAUAGUUAACCAUUUUGAGCCUUAAAAAUAAAAAAAAAAACACUUUUCUAUGUCCACUUAUCAUCUGGACCCACUCUAAUUUGGAGAAUUACUCGAUAUCUUACAAGUUCCAUCACUUAUUUAUGUUUGAGAAAAAUGUAAAUAAUUAUCUUAUUCAGUUAAGUUGUGCCAUACAAAAAAAAGAAAAGAAAAAAUUGUUUAAAAAAAAAGAGAAAAAAAUAAAAAAAGAGAAAAAAUAACAAUAAUAAUUAAUAAGCGAAAUGUACCAUGUCCCUAGCCUACGUUACGUCCUAAUAAAAGUCCUUCUUGAUUUUAGGGAUCUAUAGUAUGAAAUAUAAGCUAGUUUUAUGGGCUAAAAAGAUGUAGUGAUGUAUAAAAAAAUAAAAAAAUAAAUUGGGUUGACUAGCAUUUUGUUUGACUUAAAGAUCAUGUUAUUUCUAAGUUGUGGGCAUAUUUCUUUCAUCUUGGUGAGAGCGUGUGAUAUUGCGUCCUUAUUAUUUUUCUCUCAAUUUAUCAUUUAUUGGAGUGACUAUUUUUAUUGGGAUUAAUUUCUUUGUGAGAGUGUCAUUACUACUGGUGAGCUUUUGGGGUUUGACAUGUCAUUCUUGAAAGUGGCUUGAUUACUAUAACUAUGACAAAUUCUACUGAACUGAUGCAUGUGGAUGGUUGAUGUGGGUGUAAUAUUUCUUUAGACUAGAGAUAAUGUUUAUACUUUUAUUUGAUUGUUAUCAUUAGUCUGAUUCAAUAAACACGAGUGUUUAAAAAAAAUUCGAUUUGAAUUUUGUUUUCGUUUUAAUUGCUAGGGACUAGCAAUAAGCUGGUUGGGGUUGUGUUUAGUGUUAGAAAGUGUAUAUUUAUAAAAGAGAAAAUUGUCAUUUUACAUUUAAAGUCUUACUAACAUCCUUACUGUUAUGUAUUUAAGCUUCUUGUGAUUUAAUUAUGUGUAUUUUAUUUUAAUUAAGUAUUUUAUGUAUUUUAAGGGCAUUAUGGUCAUUUCACAAUGAACGAGAGAUAAGACAGCAAAACGAAAAUGAGUUUUGAACUUAGGACAGUCGAAAACCUUAAGAGGAGCAUAAAAGAAAAAAUGACACUGUUCACAUGUACGGUAGUAUUCACAUGUACGGUACUGUCCAUGUUACUGUUCACGACAUUCUUUACAUAUACGGAAUGAUGAUGUGACAUUGACUGAUGAGGUGUCAUGAUUCUAUUGGACUAAAAUUCUUAUGUACCGUUGAUCGGUGACAUGACAGCAUGUCAGUGGACCAAAAAUCGUGUAGGAUACAUGCAUAUACAUAAGAUUAUUUACAACCAAACUACGUCACUAUUCAAGCCGCCUGAUUGUUCAAACCACGUACUGUUGACUGAUGACGUGGUGCAAUCUUGAGCGUUCAAAAUAUUUUUAAUACGAUGGCCAUGAUUUACUCAGUGUAUCUAUAAAACAAGAGGCUCUUCCCCCCUAAUUUGGCAUCUCUGAAUUCAUUUUUGAGUUCAAUUUUCUGUAAUUCCUUCUCCAUCUUGUAUUUUCUAUGUGUUUUAAUAAAUUCUCAUUUUGCCCCUAGUUCAAUUAUGAGUAGUUAAUUUUCUUUCAAGCUUGGGUUGAAGGUGAAGUCUCAACAUGUGCCAUGGGCUUUAUUUGGUAAAUUUAUUUUCUCAUCCCUUCUAAUUAAGGUAGAUGUUUUGACUUUUCGUCGAUAAAUAGUAAUAAUUUUAUCUAGAUACCGUUCUGGUUUAAUCGGCUCCCUAGUACAAGGUUAUUAUUAUUUGACGUGAUAAGCCCUUAGCACCAUAUUGAUUAGAGCGUGGUUCAUGAGGAGUGGAUACCCCCCUCAUGAUUUAAUUGGCAGUAAUAAAGAAUAUUUAGCCCCUGGUGCGUGUUGAUGCAGAUCCAGAUACCCAAGCACUUCAAUUAUAAUAUUUUUCACUUUAAUUUAAUUCUACCAUUUCAAUUUAAAUUUUAGGAUAUUCCAAAUUAUUUUUACCUUAAAUCCAACCACCAACUUAAAAAAUUAAUUCUACACAUAAUUAAAAUCCACCUCCUCAUGGGAUCGACACUUGUCACCAUUGAUCUAUUCUACAAUAGAAUUGUGCGCUUGCGAGUUCAAUAAAAUUUGCACAACAGAUGAUAUGCUAAUUGCAAGCAAACAAAAAUAAAUUGAAGAAUCUACUGAAUAGUGAGUUUGAAAUGAAGGAUCUAGGAAGUGCAAAAAGAAUCCUUGGUAUAGAGAUAUUAAAAAACAGGGCUGCUGGUACUUUGUUUCUAAGCCAAGAAAAAUAUAUCAAGAAGGUUUUGGAAAGGUUUGAUAUGCACAAUAGCAAAUCUGUUUUGACACCUCUUGGUUCUCAAUUCAAAUUGUCAGCAGCUCAACUCUUAAAGGCUGAAAGGGCUCAAAUGGAUGGGAUACCAUAUGUACAGGUUGUGGGAAGCCUGGUGUGCACAAUGGUUUGCACCAGGCCAGAUAUAGCCUUUGCUGUGAGUGUGGUCAGUAGGUUUCUGAGUUGUCCAAAUAAAACUCAUUAGGGUGCUGUUAAAUGGAUUAUGAGGUAUCUUAGGGCUCUUUUACAUAUGGUCUUCUAUAUGGGAAGUCAAGAAGUGGUGUAAGUGUGCGCAAGCGCAUACAUAAAAGACCCUGCAUUACAAAGUUAAAAAUAUUCUUGUUAGUUUUGUUUACCAGUAAUGUUGACUGGGGAACAAAUCUCUUUUAUCAUGGAUAAUAUGUAGAGAGAUGAGAGAGUAGUGUUGUGUUAUAAAUAUUAACUGUCAAACAAAAUAUUAUUUCUUAAGAGAUCUGACUUUCUCGACAGAGUUCUCAAAAAACAAUAAUUGUCAAGAAACAUGUUGACCGUUGAUAAGGCUUUUAACUAACUGCCUUAAGUAACAACUUUAAUAAAUAUUACUUUUUCAGAUUUCAAUAAGUUGUAGUUGGCAAAACAAAAUAUAACAUUUAAUCAUUAAAUAUUAUCCAAGUCCAACCCAACAAAAUAAAAUCAAGGAGCAUUAACAGAGGUCAACUAGCCCCCACCCCCCGGCAUAUUUUUUACAGUUUCUUGUGAUUGUACUUGUUACAACUACCAUCUCAUAGUUAUUGAAGAGGUCACUUUAGAUUCGGAAGGAGAUGGGAAACAAGUCAAAAUUAGACCACAAAGAAGAUAGUUUUCAGAGGAAAUUAAAAAGGAAUUAUAAGACUCAUAUUAUGUAAAUGAGCGGCCUACAACACAUCAGAGUUGCAAAGUACUAAAAAGCUUGCAAUAAGGACCCAAAAGAGAAAGAGAGAGAGAGACAUAAAAUUAGCAUCUCUAAACAAAAUGCUGAAUAAUAGUUUGAGAAAUAUUUGUUUUUUCUACUUUUCCAUAGUGAUGGGACUGGGAAUUAAGAUCAAGUAAAGAAAAUUAGGCAUAAUUAUUGUAAAAAAAUAAAAAACCAUCAAAACAUAGCAGACAGAGAGAUCACCAACAGCAAGCAUGGAUAUGAAAUUAAAACAACUCAACAAAAAGUUAAUUAUUUUAGUAAGUAGACUGAACUAACUAUAUGCUUCCUGCCAAUAUAAUAACUAUAAGAACCUGACGGUCAUGAACACCAAAGCUUGUGAUUUUCGCCAGCUAGGAGCCCACCUACACUGAAGUCUAUAGGUACAACAAUACCCAAAAUAAUAAUAAAAGCCAUGAAUGGAGUUUUCAAAAGUUCAUAAUUCGGUUUUAGAACAAUUGAUGGAUAAACCUAAAAAUUCGAAGUACACCAGUCAGUUUGAAGUACUUCAUACAGCUUUCAUAUAUAAAAUAUAAAUGUGAAAUAACAUGUUCACAGUGGAGACCAGUCAGUUGCUGGAGAAACUAUUGCCUUGCUUUACAUAUACAGAGCAUCCCAUGCUCAUUAUCAUGGAAUGGUGUCCUACGGCCUACUACUCAAAUUAUGGACAAUUACACAAGUACCGAUCAAAGCUUUUGUUCGCAAUCUUAAAACAGAUCACAUAAAGUUCAUUAAAAAAAAGGGCCAACCUAAGUGAAUCCGGAACUUUGCCAGAGAAGUUGAAUAAAAUGAUCUCUAGCGUUUUCAAAGAAGAAAGUUUUCCCAAGGAAGCAGGCAACUCACCCGAAAAAUCAUUACCAGAAAGGUAUAGAUGGUUGAGCUUAAAGCCUCAAAGCCACAAGACUUAAACAAAAAACAAAAUCAAUACCUAAAGAAAAGUGCAACCUUCCAAAUAAACAUGAAUUUCUCAACAUCGGCAACAACCCAAAAAUUAAAAUUACAAAAAAUAAUCAUAAGCUAAAAUUAAAAAAAAAAACCAUUGAAUAAUUGACAAAAAAAAUAUUAAGCCAUUACCAAUUGUUAAAAUAAACCUCUCUGCCCUUAAAGUCGUUGAAAUCCUCCUCUACAAUUCUAGGCAUAGGCGAACAUUCUAUAGCAAACAAAUUAACUAGCUUCUCAACAAUUAUCUCAAAUUCAAGCAAAUGGGUUUCGAGUGUGAACAAAAAAAGUGAAAUUUGAAUAGGAAAAAAAAAACUCCGACGAAAGAAGCCUCAAUUAGGGUUUCGCUUUGCUUUUCAUUAUCUGUUUGAAUUAAUUGAAUUGAGUUUGUAAAUGGACAACUGGAAACAAAAGAGAUCGAGAAGAGAAAAAGGAAAAAGAGAAAGAGAAAGCAAGAUAGUGAUAGGGUUUGGUUCAGAUAUUUGCGUGCAUAAACGAAAUAAAGUUUCCAAGUCUGGGUUAUAUUUUGCUUUUGUUAUUUUAAUUUUGUUUUUUAAUUCAUUAACGCUGUUAUAUCUUAAUUCUACAAGGUCUAAUGGUGUAUUGUCCAUAUGUUAUAGCUUUGAAUUUUAAAAGUCUUAGGUUCGAGUUGGAGUUAAAGCAAAUUUUAAUGAUUUUUCUUUUAAUCUCUGAUAUUUCAAUGUCAACAAUAACUGAUAUUUAAUUUAUUGACACAUUAAUAUUAAAUAAUUUAUGAUACUUAUUUAUUAAAAAUGAAAAAUGGUGCAUAUGAACAUAAUUAAUGAUAUUUUUUAUAAUGUGUCAGUAAUUAUGUGUCAGUAAAAAUCAUUUUUUUUAGUAGUGAAGGUGGCGAGUGUGAAGAAUUGUGUUGUGAAUUUGGGGACUAAAAUGCAAUCGAAAGAGAGUUAUGGGCCAUAGUCCAAAUCGCAUUCAGUGUAGGGGUGAUAUGCAAAUAAUUUGCUAAUGUGGCAAAGUUUGUUAUGGUCGUUAGAAGCGUUUUUGGAAAAUUUCCAGAACCCUCUGUAUAAAAGGGCUGAUGAACAAACUCUGAUAUGCGCGUGUUUUCUCUUUCUUUUCUCAUCCAAAUUCUGUAAUUGUUGCUUUAAUUGAAAACUUGUAAUCUCCUCUGUAACGUGUGAUCGAGGUGUAAUCAGUUUGAGAAAUAAAAGCUUGUGAGUUUUUCCUUCAAACAGUAUCGUUUUGGUUAAGCUCAUUAGUUGUUAUGUGCCUCUGUGUUUGGCGUUUUUCUUCUCUGAUUCUUGAUCUGUUUCUUAAAUCUUUUUCUGGUAAUUUGUUCUCAAAAUUAACAUUUAGUCUUUUUAUUAAUUGAAAAAAAAAAAGAAAAUUCACUCAAUGAAGGGGUCGUAACCCGCCUUACCCGAAGUAACACUAGGCAUAAAGCCAAGAGCACAAAUUGGCAACAUCUUGAGGACCCCAUUAUGUUUGAAACUGGAAAGGAAAAUACAAAUAAUUAUAGAUCAUAGAGGAAUAUAUGAUUAAAUAAAGACUUUAGUUGAAAUAGUCAAGGCAAAAAUGUGUGCGUAUAUAUAUAUAUAUAUAGCUCGCGCCUCUCUCUAUAGACUUCUGCAAUUUUUUUUUCUUGAAUAAUUUCUCAUGGAAUGAACACGUAACUUAUACAAUCCAUUAAAAAAUCCAAUUGUCAAUAAAAUAAAUAAACAAAGUUUACAAAUGAAUUUAACUUAAAAAGAAAAGAAGACUAUAACAUAGGUGGUCCAUAUAACAUUUUGAAGAUAACGUGCUUUAGCCUAGAGCACAUCUGGUGACGAUGCCAUUAUAUGAGCAGAUUACAAAGUCAAUGUAUCCUGCAAUGGGAUCAAUAAAAAAAUUAAGGAGGAAAGAACAUUUCCCGGCCAGCUAAAGGGCAUUUGAGGCCUUAGCCAAUUCUUUUUACAAGGCCUCUUAACAGUAAUAUAAAAAUUACUUAAAAUGUUUCACAAAUUUUCUGUUGAUAGAAAGAUUUCGGGCCAAUGGAAGAUUGUUGCAACUGAUGAAAUAAGUUACUUCUAUUAUGCGUAUGAAAUAAGCCACUAAAUAAACAUGCAACUAAGUGUUUAAUAAACUAUGUUGUUGUGAUUGCCGUAAGUUUUAAAAGCAAAAUAUUUUCGUUUGGUAAAUUUUAUUCCUAAAGUGUUUGUUUUAUUGUACAAUGACUAAAAUGGACAUAAUUUGAUUUUUAUUUUUCUAGAGAAAAUUUGAUAAAUUUUCCAGAAACUUUUUUUCUUCUUUUAAACCACACAAAUUUAAUUAAAUUAAAAAAAAUCAACUCAUUAAAAUAUAAGGAAAUUAAUAAUAGUUAUAAAAAAAAUCUUACUAUAAUGUGCGUGCGUGUAUCUGUGUGUGUGUGUAAUAGAAAUUAAGUAAUAUGAAGUGGUGAUAAGAGUUAGCUUUAGAUCAAAAUUAUAUGGUGCUAUAAAUAGUUUAAAACAUUGUAAAAGUCUAUUUACGAUGUCGUAAAUCCUUUCUAGUUUUUUUUCCUAGACUUUGAUUCUAAAUUGAAUUUUUUUUUUAUUGUGGUAAUAUGUUAGAUUUAUGAUUUUUAUAUUAUUGUUUAUGGAAAAAUAUGGUAUAAUUUUUUUAUUAAAAUAAUAAGCUUAUUCUAGAGUGUAGCGACUUAUUUUGUAAUUUUCUUUUAAAAAGUAUUCCCUUAUUCCCUUCUAAAAGGUCGAUAAUAUUUUCACCCCCAAUUUUUGUAAAGCUACCCCACUUCUAGAAAGUAAUUACAUAAAGAUCACAUUAUUUUUUAAAAAUUUCAAAUAAAAAAGAAUUUUUAGAACUAAUUAAUUAAAUUUAUGUUAAUUUAUAUUUUUGUGUCUUACAUAUUUUAUUAUAUUUGACUGCUAAAGUUGUUUUUACCCUAAGUUUAAAUUUAUCAAUUUACCUUAGUAAGGUAAAUGUACCAAAACUUUACUUUAUCUUCAAUUUUUUACAAAAUUUAUUAUUUCUAAAUGAUGUAUCAAUACUAAUUUAUUACUAUGAUUAUUAAUUUUUAAAUCAACCAACAUAAUGUCUUUAAGGUACAAUACUCAUGUAAAUUAUUGGGGUAUCAAAUUCAUGUCAUUUACAUAUAUGGUAUUGAAAACUAUUAAAUUUCAUACAAAAACAUUAGAUUAUUGAUCACAAGAUUAAAUACCUAAAUUAUUGUUUACAAGAAUUAAUAAAUAUUCUCAGGUCGAUUAAUUUGGUCAUUUUAUGUGAAGAAAAUUAUCAACCACCCACCUUACUUUUUACUUUGCGUUCAAAAAUACUAAAAAAGUUUUAAUUUAUUUGAUUUUAAUUUCACCCUAAGUUUACAAAUUGUAUCAACAUAGUAAAAUAGAAACAAAAUGAUAAAAUAGAAGCAAAGAGACGAAAUUACCCAUACAAAAUGAUCAAACAAAAACAAACAAAAUUGACAAUGGUGGUCAUUUUGUAAAGGUAAUUUAUUUUUUUGGAUGGUAGAUAGAAAUUACAAACUUACGAAGGAUGAUUGAACAAAUUCUAACUUUUAUAGUAUUUUUAAACAAAAUGUAAAUUUAGAAUGGAUGGCUAAUAAUUACCCUUUUAUGUCGUAAUGAUAAAAUAGUCAAAUGAAAUUUAUGUUAAAGCAACCUUAGUGGUAAAAAUUGCUCAGAGAAACCAAAGUAAGGAAAAAUUAUAAGAAGGAUUAAUUAAUUAAAUGCACUAAUUUUUUACUAAUUUGUAUUUAUUAAAAAUAAUGAAAACAUAUUGUAUAUAUUUUCCAAGAAAUGGGUGAAUUUCCACAAUAAGUAAGGUGAAAAUAUCCCCGCUCUUUCUAAAAUAAAAUAUGUUAGGAAGUUACAAAAUAAAAUUUUUUGUUGGUCAACCAUAUUGGUGGAACCGUGGAAAUAAGCAAAAAAAUUAUUUAUUGAUUAAAAAGAGACAAUUAAACUCAAUCUUAAACUUUUUACCAGCCUUACCCCUCGUAAUAACAAAAUGCAAUAAGCCAAAAACAGAAAGAGCGACAACAUCUUGAAUUCUGAAGCUAAACCUUCAUUCCAAAAUAACAAUGAAAAUGCAGAUACGAAGAGGAACCAGCGAUGAAACAAAGACUUAAGACUUUAUUCCAAAUCCAGUAGGAGACCUAAAAAGGGUACACGAUCGAUAAUAAGAGUUUUAAUUGAUUUGAUGAAAGCAGUGAUUAAGCAAUUAACGAAUUGGUUGUAACCACGAUCAAUUCCUCUUUCUCUAAUAACAGCAAGCGAGUCCUCCUUGGAAAGAGUUCCCUCAGUGUCGGUAGGUUUAAUAACAUGAACCUCAGCACCAAUGUACACGUAUUAUUAAGAAGGUACCCUUUUAAAUGUUAAUUAAAUUCUACUAGGGUAAGAAAUUUGCCGAAGCCCCAUUCACUUGUCUGAUGAUCAUAGGUCCCCACUGGAGAUUUAGCAUCUUGGACUGCCAAGUAAUCCUUCCUAAUCUUAUCAUACACAAACAAUCUGUAGUAGACAUUAACACUCCAGGCAGCAUUAGAAUAAGAAUUGCUUUCAUCUAUUUUCAGGUAAAGGGAAAGAUGACGUCUAUGUUCUUUGUGAUCUACUGUAUUGCAUUUGAUGAGGGGUAAGGUUCAUAGUACGUAUGUCCUCUAAUUAAGUGUUUCUUUCUUUUUGAUUUAGACAAAAAUAUCUACAGUCUACCUAGAGUUUCACCAUUUUUCAAAAACUGUUCUACUUCCAACUUAAUACCGUUAGUAACUUUGAUAGAAUAUUAGCAAAAUGACAAUGUUGCCCUUUAAUUUACACCAUAAAAUAAUAAAAUUAUAACAGAAAUACAAACCAAAAUUAAAAAACAGGAAGGUAUUUUUCAGAAAUCCUCUACUUACAAAACCAAACCCUUCAUUAAAUCACAAUCUCAUAAAUCAUAACCCUAAUCUUACGACUCAAAUCCUACGAAAUCAAAACCCCCUUAAUCCUGUCCACUAUCUUAGGGAGAAAAAUAAAUAAAUAAAAGUCUAAAAUGAUCAAUUUUGACAAGUUCGAUUCUUCUUAUUUAUUUUAGAGAAAAAUGAAUGUAAAUGACUACUUUUGAUGAGUAAAUUAUAAAAUGAGGCAAUAGAUGUGAAGAGAGGGAAAAUGGAAAAUAGAGGAAUUCUAUAUUGAUUUGACAAUAAUGGAUUGUUCUUUAUACUAAAUUACGUUUGGGCUAUCUUAUAUAAAUAAAAAACAAAAAGUGUACUAAAUAUUUUUAUAGUACAAAUAGUCCCAUAAUUAUUGAUUUUAUAGGUAACUGUUGGAUUAAUUUUAUUAAGUACUUCUUUGGUUCGAUUAUCAAUCUCAACCUUAUGUUGAUCGAUUCAUCUAAUUGUUCUCGUCAUUCUUCAAAGUAACCCAGUUGGUUGAUUUCUAAUCUCGGUUACAGAGGUAAAAAACUGGCGUUAUUAGUCAGACUAUUCAUCCUAGAGAUGAUAUAGCAAAUGUGUUUUAUCUUCAAAAAAUUUGUAUCAACCACCUUAAACCUUUUAUUUCCACGCAAGAGAUUUUAGAGAAAAAAACUCGCUAAUACCCACAACUUUAUUUGAAGCUUUUGUUUAUUCAUUUUAUUGGCAAUUACUAUAUGUGUUACAUCGUCUUUAACAAAUGAAACUUAUACUAUUGACUAGCAUAGCUUAAUUUACACUGACCUUCCGUAAUUAAAGUUUUAUUACAAGCCCUAAUUGAAAUUAUUAAAGAGCAAAAUUUAUUAAUAUUGGCUAAUACAGGCUAGAUUUAUUAUAUAUAGUGACUUAACAAAAAUACUACAAUAUGAUAUUUAUUACUAAUAUAGCUAAUGACUUUAUUGGCUUUAAUUACGGUUUGUGCUAUAGUAGUCAUAUUUGAUGUCAACAUCUGAAACUUUCACGCGGCUGCUGCGGAGUCCUAUUGGUUAGGGGUAGUUGUUGUUAUAGUGAAAAUAAAUCUUUAGUUUUUAUUUACUUGUAGAAGUGUCCACUAAGUGAGCACUUGUUGCUCUCUUUUAACUGUCUUUGUUGUUUACUGUUACAGUCUCUGUAUAAAUUCAGAGUUCAAAGAUGAAUAAUGACAGCAGAUUAAUUUUCUUCAAAGUUCAUCUAGUAUUGCAGGCGUAGGGAUUUGAACGUUCAUCUAGUAUUAAGAGUCUAAAGAUGAAUAAAGGCAGCAAAUUAACAUAAAAAGAUCGUCUCCUGAUCUAAUUUGUUCUGAGUUUUUCAAGAUCUUCUGUCAUGUGUCUUUUAGUGGUAGUGUAUGGGUAAGAUUCAACUUAUUUUAUUUUUUUUAUUUAUUAACUACCAAUCAGUAAUUAAGUUAUUUGCUCAGGACAUGAUUACAUCAGGAGAGAAUCCUGAUCCGCAUAUUAACAUCUACUCAUUUAUUAUUAAGACCUUCGCCUUUACCUAACAAAAAUUAUUAAAGAAUGAAAUUUUUUAUUAAUAUUGGCUUAAGAUUUAAUUGGCAUUAGUCAUGCUAGUCUAUUUUUAAUGUUAAGUGAUUUUCAUUAUAUUACUAAAACAUCUUUUUUUUUCAUUAGAUUAAUAAAACUUGUUGAAAUUAUAUAAUGGCUACUUGAUCUAGAAUGACCCAAAAAAAAUAAAAACUCUAUCGGUGUCUCAUUUUAUUAAACGGGAAAAUUAAAUUAUUUCCUUCAUUGAGAAACAUAAUUAAACCUCAGGGAUUUGAAAGUUAUUAACUCAAACAAGGCUUGAAGUUCUAUGAUUCCAAUCUAUUAAAUUAGUUUUAUCUAAUCUCAUAGAACUCAAAUCAAGUCUUCGUUUUAAAGAAUAAAUUUAUUAUAAUGAACUUACCUAACAAAAAAAGUUAAAGAAAGACCUGAACUUGUUGAUAUUCCAUAUGGUAAUUAAUUUGAUUGAGAAUGACCUUAACUUAAUCAGAGACUUUUCGGAUUUGUUAAUAAAGAAAGAUAUGCUUUACGUUAUCCAGUUCACACAUUACAUAUGAUCAAGGGGCUAAACAUUGCUGCCUAAAACCGACAGUCGAUCCGGUGCUUGGUCCGCCGAUUUACACGUCCCAAAGGUACAUAAUACUUGGUGGACAAAACAGCUAUUGAGGACAAUUACUAUAGGUUGUAGUUUGAAAGGCACGAAUUCAUUAAAGUAAGGCCAAAAUUACAUUGAACCCUUAACUAGGUGACUUGUGGGAACUUAUGUCCGCAAAAAAAAAAAAGCCUCGUGAUACAAGAGUUAACGUAGAACCAAUCCUAGAGAGCUUUCCAAGCCAAUAGGAGGCCUAGACCGACGUUCUGACCAAUUGGCACGGAAGCGAUGUUAUCCCACGUAUGGUCCUGACAAAAGCCUUCGAGAAUAUCACUUCUCAUAAACCCUAGUUCACCUUACUGAAAAUAUUCAGCGAUACUGUUAGCGUUGGGUAUGGAUUCGGCAGGAUUGGAUAUAUGAAAACUCAACUCAACCUGCUACUGACUGAGUUGAUAAAAAAUCAACCAACCUAACCUAAUCAAAUAAAUAUGUCCAACCCAAACCAACUCAAUUCUCAAAUUAUUGGGUUGGAUUGGGUUGAGUUGAUUUGAUUGAUUAAAAUAAGAAGUAAAUGAGCAUUUACCCUAUUCAAAUAUAUCAACCAGUUAUAAAUGAAUGUCAAUAAUGAAGCAAUUUUUUUAUUAGAUUAAUUGAACUUGUUGAAAUUCCAUAAUUUGCAAGUUGAUUUAGGAUGACUUAAAAUGAUCACACCUGUGUUAGGGGAAUUUGUUAAUAAAGAAAGACUUGCUUCGCUUUCUCCAGACUUUGUUAAAUCUUAGAAUCUGCCUAUAUAUAGCUUGUAGUAGCUAAUCCAGAAUAUCCAUCGAAAGCUAAUUUCACAAAUUUCCUGCCUGCCUUUUGAGUUCAUCAAAUCCUUUAACCUUUUCAGAAAUUCUACCAUGGGCGACAACGGUACGUUUUGUGCUAAUUACUGCUUUUCGAAUAAUCUUAGUUUGUAUCAUUUAAAUUAUCAUCGUAUUAAUUAUAGUCAUUGCUACGUACAGUAUUCUUACAUAUCUAUUUUCAUGUGAAUUUUAGCAAUAUCAAGGGAGAAAAGAAGUCUUCCUCCAGCUGACUACUCACUGAAAAUAGAGUCAUUUAAGCUGCUAUCCGAAUCAACGGUUGAAAGUUUUGAAUCUGGUGUUUUCAAAUCCGGGGGCUACAACUGGUACGCCCAUCUAUGCAUGCCUGCCUCCAGUCUUUGUAUUGCUUAUAGAAUUGAAAAUGAAUGUAUUAUAUUACAUUUGUUAAUUAAUAUUUAUAAGUUUAAUUUAUUAAUUAUUUUUGUAUAUGGCAGGAAAUUGGUUUUCUACCCCAAUGGAAAAAAGAAUAAUGGUGGCAAAGACCACCUUUCCCUUUACCUGAAAAUAGACGACAGCAAUCCCCAUUCUGAUGGUACUUGGAAUGUUAAUGUGUACUACAAAUUGUUUGUGUACGAUCAGCUAUCGAACCAGUACUUGGUGGUUCAGGAUGCUAAAGCCCCAAUGAGGGGCUUUGAUAGGCGCAAGGGUGAAUGGGGCUUCGGCAAAUUUCUUGACCUUGCAACUUUUAAUGAACCUUCAAAUGGGUACCUUGUUGAUGAAAGUUGUGUAUUUGGUGCUGAGGUCUAUGUUGUUAAACCAACUGGCUCUGAGGAAAUUCUUUCCUUUGUUAGUGAACCUGAUGAUGGAACUUAUCGUUUUACCAUCCCAGCAUUCGGUUCUGUAGGUGAUACCGUUCAGCGCUCAGGUGAAUUCACUGUUGGAGAAAGAAAUUGGUAAGUAUGCACCUACUUUUAAUUUAAUAAAUGGUCACACAGAUUCACCUACUGCCCACUGUUUGGACAAACCGUGAAGUUUGUAUGACCAUUCUUUAAAACAAUAGGUCUCUGUGAUGAUUUUGCCAAACCUUAAGGUGUCGUUGUUCAUUUUUUUAAUUAAUUCUAUUUGGUAAAAUAUAGGCAACUGGUGGUUUAUCCGGCAGGAUCUGGAGCUGAUAGAGGCAACUAUCUUACUGUUUCAUUAAAGCUAGCUGAUUAUCAAAAAGUUACACCUAAGAAACCAGUUUAUGCAGAAUUUAAGUUCAAAAUACCCAACCAAUACAGCAGGAAUAGAGCUGGCGCUGAACAAAAAGGUGAGUACCCGCCCUUCACCGGCAUCAACUCUUUACUAGCUUCAUAUGUAUUUGAAGCCUAGCUUAUUACAUAAACAAGAGCUGGCUAACGCAUAUUAAUUAUACAUCGAACAUUAUUUUGUUGCAGUUAAGUAUUUUUUCAACUCGGCAGCGGAAAAAGAGUCUUCCAAAUUUUUGUCGAGGGAUGAUCUGUAUGACACCACCAAGGGAUACCUUCCAAGCAAUGAAACCCUAGUUGUUGAAGUCCAGUUUCUUGUUGUUUCAGUGAUUAAGGCCAACACUUAAUUCAUGCAUCGUCAUCAUGCAUGAUUUGCUGUGAUCGCUUUGGAUGAGUUCGUGAGAUUUCAUGAAGGGUGCUGAUGUUUUUAUUGAGUACUUGUUAAUGAUUUCCAAUAAAACGCUUGUGUUGCUAGUCUAUGCAAGAUUGCGUUUGCUUAUGUUAUUUUGUUUUGUUUCUUCACGAUGCGUUUUGUUGAAAAGUGUGUUCAUCAGGCAAUGCCUGAUUACAAAUAAGUUAAGAUGAGAGUAAUCAUCUGCAUGUGUUAUAAUAAAAAUCUUUGUGUCACUUGUGCUUCCUCUGUUAUUUGAAUGUAUUUUCGUUUUAAGAUGAUUGAUUAUUUUGUGGCGCAUUCUUCAAACAGUUGGUAAAUCUGUCAUUAACGAAAAUUAAAUACGCACUCUAAUCUGAACAGCUUGACUUGUAAUCUCAAUGUUUGAUCUCAUGUUUCAUGAUAAUGCAUGAUUUCCUCUGAUCGCUUUGGAUGAGUUCAUGAGACAGGGUAUUGAUGUUUUAAUGAAGUAUUUGUUGAUUUCGAAUAAAAUCAAUCAAAAUCUNNNNNNNNNNNNNNNNNNNNNNNNNNNNNNNNNNNNNNNNNNNNNNNNNNNNNNNNNNNNNNNNNNNNNNNNNNNNNNNNNNNNNNNNNNNNNNNNNNNNGAAUUAUCAAAAUCUCAUUGAGUUGUUUGAAUUAGAACCACAUUUAAUCAUGCUUCGAUUAGAGCGUAAUCUAAUCACAUUAGCUUGAUCGGCUCUAGAAUGAUAUCUAGUAUUUAUCUACCCUAUCAGUCCACUUCUGCUACCCUACUCCAUCUACUAGUAUUAGCAGUUAUGUGUUAGUCACGUAACUUUUUAGGCUUCCCACAUUCAUCUCUAUCGAAUCCAUCACAAAAAAAAAAAAAAACUUUUAAGAGGAAGUGAUUGAUGUAAGCAUUAUUUUAGGAUUUUUAAAAUUUUGUCAUUUUAGGUCUUUUGAUAUUUUUUUUUUUAAUUAGAGUCAGUUAUGAUCCUUUUAUUUCCAAUAUAAUUGUGAUUUAGAAGGCGCUUGUUAUUUUGUCUGAAUUCUGAAUAGAGCUGAAUGUCUAAAUGUAAAUGACAUGUUUUUUUUUUUGUUUGAAUAGCUAAAAAUAAAUAUUAAGUUGUUUGCUUUUUUAACUUAAAAAAUCUGAAAAACUAAUAUUUUUACAUUUAUGCCCUUACAAAUUAUAAUGUUAAACAAAUAAUAAACAUUUUAAAGAAUAUAAAUAAGGCAAUAAAUUAUCAUAACAUAAAUCAUAUUCAAUUGAGUACAACUCUUUAAUAUUUUAUAUUAAUACGUUAGUUAAUUUUAUUAUAGUUCGUAAUGUUUUUAUAUGAAAAAUAUUCAUAAAACAUUAUGAAGAUAAAUAAUGCUAAUUUGAACAAAAUAAAAAGAUAAAAAUGAUAAUACUCUACCACUAUAUAUUAUCACAAGUUAUAUACAGAUGGGUAAUAAUGCUAUUUAUUAAAUUUUAGUUAGUUAAGGAUGAAAAUUAAUUAAUUAAAUAGGAAUAUUUUGAAAAAUAUCUUUUAAUGAUAGGAUUCAAACUUUUUAGAUUAGGUAAAAAGAUAAAAAAUAUAGCUUAAUAACUUAAUUACUGAAAAUCUUCAUUAACUUGAAAAAAAAAACAUACUUAAUGACUUAACUGAUUAAAAUUAAGUCAAUUAAGUUAUUAAGUAAAAAAAAAAAACCUUUAGUUUCCCUUUUAAGGUAAUUUAGGGAAAUAGUUUUAUCCUAUUAUAAAAAAAGAGAUCUUGUUAUUGUUUCCAUAACCUUUGAUUAAUAAAAAACACUCUUUUAACAUGUUAUCAAAAUCUGAUUGAGUCAUUUAGAUCAGAACGAAAUCUAAUUAUACCUCGAUUAGAGCAUAACUAGUCGUAUUAACUUAGUCUGGUUCUAAAACGAUAUCUAAUAUUUAUCUACCCUAUCAAUUCACUUCCGCUACCCCACGCCAUCAAUAUUUUAGUUAUCUUAAAAGAGAUUAAUUUAGAAACAUACUUAAAAAAAAGUUAAAACUUAAUUGAUUCUUUUGUAAUUAAUCCUAAAAUAUUAGGGGUUUCAAAUAACUGUUUUAGCUAGGUCGAGCUGUAAAUCUGCCCCAAACUUUUUCCAGUUAACCUAGUUUGUUAACAUAUAUGUUUCCAUAAUAUUGAUUUUGAUGAUAACAAACAAGAUUAAGAAUGAUUAAUCUUUUAAGCUCAAAUUAUUUAAUAUUCUUUUUAAAUAAAUCAUUAUUUUCACAUUAUAAAUGUUUUGUAUUUAAUGGAAAAAUGAUUUUAUGAAAUUGAUUGUUUUUAUUCUUUUUAAAUAAAUCAUUAUUUUCACAUUAUAAAUGUUUCAUAUUUAAUGGAAAAAUGAUUUUAUGAAAUUGGUUGUUUUUCAAAGUUUAUGGUUUAAUUGAAAGCAUUUUGAAAACUUUGAAAUAAACAAGUAUUGCUUGAAAUUUUGGUGAAGGACUUAUUUGAAAAGUGUCAUAGCAUUUUGGGCUAUAACAUAAUUUUAAAAAGUUUUGGGAUUAACAAAGCAUUACUUAGAAAUUCUGAAAUUGGACAUAUUUGUAAAGUUUCAUAACGUUUUGGGCUAUAGUAUAAUUUUGUAAAGUUUUGGGGUCAAACUAUAAUUUCAAAAAAUAGUGCACUGUGCAUGUUACUGUAGCAAUCACUGUAGCAAACGGCUAACCGAUACUUUUCAGAAAGCAUGUUCUGCAAAGUAUUGUUAAAAUGAUGAUUCUGGAAACUAACGGUGAACCGUUUACUGAAAACGGUUAACCAAUUAUUUCCAGAUUGCUAAUCUUGAACCGUUUAGUAAAAACGGUUAAACCAAAUUUAUUUUGCAGGUCUCUGGAAAUUAACGGCGAAAGGGUAAGCCUAAACGGCUAACCGUUUAUUUGAAAAUUGGCCCAACGGUAACUUUGACCGGCCUAAACGGUUAACCGUUAAUGGUUAACGGCGAACCGUUUUUGAGCAGACAGUCUAUAACGGCUAGUUUUUCAGCUCCAACUAUAAAUAAGCUCAAUCCAAUUCAAACAAGAAGAUUUCCAACGAUCAUUAUUGAGCAAAAUAUAGAGAAUACAACUUUCAUUGAGCUUUAAAUCUUUGUAUUCAUCUCAUUCAUUCACACAUUGAGCUUUCACUUGUGAUCAAACACAUUGUGUGAGAGAGAUUCAUUUGUAAUCUUUUUUGUAAAAUCAAGUUAAAAGAUUGUAAGUGUUGGGAUACACUUGGGUUAAGAGAUUGGGGAUAAUCUCUUGUUGUAAAGGUCCAUUGACACCUUGGAAGUCAAUUGUAAGCGUUUGAAGCCUUGGGAGGCUAGCUUAGUGAAAUCCUCAAGCCCGGUGUGCUUGGAAGCGUGGACGUAGGCGGGAAUAGCCGAACCACGUAAAAAUUCUUGUGUUCGUUUUCUCUUCCCUUACUCUUUUAAUAUUGUGCUUGAUUGAAUUUAUUGUUUUCGAAUUUAUUAAGGCAUUCGAUUAAAUUGUUGUGUGGUUUGCCUAGGAUAAUUUUUAAAAUCCCAAUUCACCCCCCUCUUGGGUUGCCUAGUUAGUAUUUCAUAGUUAGCUCCUACAUAAUUUUCUUUCUCAUAGUUAGUUUUCAUAGUAAGGUUGUAACAGCGUGAUAAGGUUAAUAUCGUAAUUUCUCCUUCUUCUUUAUUUUCUAUUAGUUUUGUUCUCAAUUUUUUUUUUGUAUUCUUUGCAUGCAUGGUCGAAGGUCACAAUUACCUAAUCUUGAGCAUAUGGACUUUAAAUUGGAAAAAACACAUCGCACACACAAACACGUUGCAAUUAAAGGUAAAAUUGAAAUGGAUUUGCAACAACCGGCACCUCAGGAGAGGCCAUUUAAGGACUAAUUCAGUCCCUUAGCUAACUUGAGCACAUCAUCUAUAAGACACCCAAAUGUAGCUGCUAGGAGUUUUGAGUUAAAACCUAAUGUGCUAAAUUGUCUCCCAACAUUCUAUGGCCUAGAAAAUGAAAACUCAUAUAAUCAUCUAAAUUAUUUUCAUGCCGUUUGUCAAAUUUUUAAAUAUAAGAAAUUUUCAGAUAAUGAUGUUAAACUUAGAUUAAUCUAAUUUUCUUUAAAGGAUAUAGCUCGUUCAUAAUUCAAUACAUUGCCUGCUAAUAGCAUUACAUCAUGGGAACAAAUGGUAACAAAAUUUUUGAAUAAAUACUUUCCAGUGCAUAAAACCAAUGUUAUUCGCAGGGAAAUUUCAAAGUUUACCUAGAGAGAAGACGAGCAGUUUUUCAAAGUAUGGGAGCGAUUCAAUGGGCUACUCUUGAAGUGUUGACAUGAUGGGUAUGAGAAAUGGCAUCAAUGCCAAUUCAAUUUGAAGGGAUUAUUGCCGCAUGUGCAAGAAUGACUAAUGGCAACAAAUAGAGGAGAGCUAAUGUCAAAAAGUGCAUCAGGAAUUUAGGAUUUUUUCCAACGACAAGUGGAUAAUUCCCAACAAUGGAGUUGAUCACUCAGGAAUAUUAAAAGAAUUACAGGAGUGAAUGAGGUUCACAUUGGCGAGUCAAGUUCAGAAAUUAAAGAAGUCAAAGAGAUAGUUGAAGGUCUUUCUCGAUAAAUAGCAUUGUUAAUAGCUGUUAAAUCAACAGAGCCACAUGACCAUGACUCAUACCCAGAUCAAGCCAAUGCCAUAAGUGUAAUUAAAAAGCCAUCAAACUACAACCCUUACUCCAACAUAUAUAAUCCUGGAUGGAGAGACCAUCCCAAUUUUUCAUGUUCUCAAGGAUUCCAACAAAAUGGACUAGCAGCUUCAGCUCCACCAAUGCAACCAGUUCGCCAAAAACUUGUUGGUUAAUUUCUAUAAUCAAUUAUUAUCAAUGCCAAUGUGCAAGUAUACACAACAAGUAAUAAAGUGAUGAGCAUUCAAGAUCGUCUCCAUAGGGAUUGAUGUUACUCAAAAUGCUAAAGCAAAUCACAAUAAUGCAAAUCAAUUACGGACCGAAACAACCAAUUGUCGAAUAAUUCUAUGUAACUAAUAGUUGUAAGAGAUGAAAAUAAAACAAUACUGUAAUGAAAUAAACUCAGUUGAAUGUGUCUAAGAUUCAAUUGAGAAUAUAGUAGUUGAAUGAUCAAACUCUCCUAAUGGAAUGACUGUUGUUUACCAAAUUAAUACCAGUUGUAACAAUAAGUGCUUCAGCAAUGGGUAGAAUAACUUUGCAUCCGUAGCUAUCGCAUGUUGGAAAUCUCAUACGUUUAAAUCUACUAACAAUGACCAGUUGCUCAUAUAUUUAUGGUAUGGCAUUAUAACCUUUAAUCUCUCUACCCUACAAGGUGAACACCUAUGUCUAGAGUGUCACAAAUCUUAACUUCAAGUAUGGCCCUUAUGAGAUUCAAGAUAACCUAAUCCAGGAAACUCAACUUAAGAAUAAGUAAUACUCUAAUAAUGUCCACUAAGACAUGCCCUUUUGCUGCUCUGUCUUAACUGAAACUAUUAAAUGGGUGAUCAACCGAAAUAACAAUUGUAUUCAUAAAAACUACUCGAGUAUAAUGCUACAGCGUUACCAUAACAACAUAAAAGAACAGUCAAGAACCCAUUGGAUUAUUUGUCACUCAACCACAAGUAAAUUUAGUUCAUAAUCUGGAUGAGAAAAAUAAACACCAAUAUGUUGGUCUCGGAAUACAUCAAAUCAAUUAAAGGAAAAAGAUAAAUAUAAGUUGAGCACAAUGAAUAUCAAAGUCAAGUAAUUCUGCACGAUUGUUCAAUGUUACCGAAACAACACUCUUCAAUUCUGAUUUUCUUCUCCUUCGUUCCUUCUAAUUACUCUAAUGAUAAUUCCUUUCCGCCUUUCUAUGUGGUGCACACCUCCUUUUUAUAUUGCAAAUUAAGUUAAAACCAAAGCCCAUGAGCGUGCAUAUGUUUGAAUUAGGAAACAUGUAGAUCGCGAUUUUAUUGCUGACUUGCCCUAAGUUCUCUUCCGCAUUGCUCCCAGAUUGCUACAGCACUGUUUUAUUCCCGAUUGUGCUUUACUUCUUUUGUGGCCAUCUUCCUUCCUCAUCUUGUUCUUUUAAUGCCUCAACAUCCUCUCACGAAUUUAAAACCUACAAUUUAAACCUGUUUUUAUCACAAAUUACUGUGAUUCAAUCAAAACUUAUUAAAAUUCAACUAAAAUGAAUGUUUAUGCAAAAGGUACCCAAAAUGUAAUAAAAACACCUUAUUUGUUCUCUAAGUGACCUUGAUUCAAGUUUAGAAUUGAUGUAAUAAAUCUCAUUUCCUAGAGUUAUCAUUCCUUAAGCCUUACAACCACCAUUGAGACCAUACAAUCAGAACCCGAACUACUCUCAACCCAAACCAUGGGAGGAUGCAUUCUAGAAUUUCAAGAAUCUUACUCACUCCACGAUCUAGCAACAAACUGCACCAUUGAUAAACUAUGAAAUGAGAUAAGAGUAUGCUUCAACUCACAAACCCAAUCAGUUUUAAACCUCAAAAGAGAUGGUGGGAUAGCUUGCCUCUUCAGUUCAAACCUUAGCAAUGACUGUUGAGAAAGGCAAAUUCCUAAGUCAACCAAUGCCUAAUUCUAAAGGAGUGCAUGAAGUAAGUACCAAUUUAUCUUAGCAGCAUGGAGAGGUCAAAGCCGUUAUGACCUUGUGAAAAUGAAAAGAAGUCGACAGCAAAGUGGAGAUGUCGGUGACAAAAACAAAUCAAAUUUUACCUGUACAUGCUGAGGACUCAUCAUCAGAGGCAAAAGAAGAAACCAACCCACAAGAAUAUAUUCCUAAAGCUUUAUUUUCCUAGAAGUUAACUAAAUCAUUGCAUUUCUUAACCAUGCAAUAAAAAACUAUUUCAUUCCUUCCAUAGCGAAAAACUUUUUAUUUGUGCUCACACUGCUAAUGAGCCACUUGAUCUGUUACAAGCUUAUAGACCAGAGCCGAACCCCUGGACCUUUGUGUUGGAGCGUUCAAAUAAUGAUGGUAACAGUAGCCACAGUAAGAAGUUCAAAUUAGAUUUAACUCUCCGCUUGUAAAUAUUUUCUUUUGUGUUGCACCACCUAGGUGAUGUCUUCUAAACUCUAUUGCUUUCUUUUAAAACAUUGAGGACAAUGUUUUGUUCUGGUUGGGGGGAGGGAGUUGACAAUUGUGGAAUCUUGGUUAAGUUUUUACUUAUUUUUUGUUGUAGAGACUAACCGUGGCUAACUUUUUGUGUUGAAGAUGAUUGAAUAUGGAGUGUAGUUACUGUAGAAACGCAUAUUCGUCUGAAAAAUAAAACAAAAAAAAUUCUAGACAUUUUCUUUUUCUUUGUUAAGCUUUGACAAUCAUUUCUUUUUCUAACUUCUUCUUUUUGAUUUCUCCUUUAUACAUAUACACUUUCAAAAUUUUGAGUCAAAGAUGGCUGAAUAUAAAGUGUAAUGACUCUAGAAACACAUCUUCUUAAUUAAAAAAAAUAUUUUCUUUUUCUAUCAUUUUAAGUGUAACUUUUCUAAUUAGUUUUUCUGCAUCAUUUUUACCUUUCUGUAUUUUCUUUUCAUGUUUAGAAUAGGUUGGGGGAUAGAAUGUCGUUUGAACCUAAAAAAAAAAUGUAUGUAUUUUUUUAACAUUGGAUGACAUGAUGACUUUCAAAUUUUAGUAUUUGUAUUAUCUUUGGUCUUAAGUGAUAUUACGCCAUAUUUGCUACUCUACAUGUUGAUGUCAGAGACAAAUAUGAGUUGCUUGAAGGAAUACACAUGUCAUAAUGACUACCAAGUGAGUUUUUUAGCCUAUCAUUUUUCUUAGAGAGUAACCCCUUUUUGCUCAUUCUUUAUACAGCUUAGCAGUUUAUUAUUUUAUACAUGAUCUCUAGAUUUCCUUUGAGUCAAUCCUUAAAAAAAAAUUAAAUAAAAUCAAAAAAAGAGAAAAAAAUGUGCGUUGCCACAUCUGGAGGUCCAUCUAACUAGUGGAUAUGGAAGAUUAUUUAUCGCCCUAAAAAAUGAUAGAAAGGCCAUUUUUGACCCGUUUGAGCCUUUCUAGCCAUCCCUUUUGUGAAAUAUCCAUAGUUAACCCUUUUGAGCCUUAAAAAAAAAAAAUUCUAUGUCAACUUAUCAGCUUGACCCACUCUUAUUUGGAGAAUUAUUUGAUAUCUUACAAGUUCCAUCACCUAUUUAUGUUUGAGAAAAAUACAAAUAAUUAUCUUAUUCAGUUAAGUUGUGCCAUACAAAAAAAGAAAAGAAAAAAAUUGUUUAAAAAAAAAGUGAAAAAAAUAACAAUAAUAAUUAAUAAGCGAAAUGUACCAUGUCCCUAGCCUACGUUAUGUCCUAAUAAAAGUCCUUCUUAAUUUUAGGGAUUUAUAGUAUGAAAUAGAAGCUAGUUUUAUGGGCUAAAAAGAUGUAGUGAUGCAUAAAAAAAAUAAAAAAAUAAAUUGAGUUGACUAGCAUUUUGUUUGACUUAAAGAUCGUGUUAUUUCUAAGCUGUGGGCAUAUUUCUUUCAUAUUGGUGAGAGCGUGUGAUAUUACGUCCUUAUUAUUUUUCUCUCAAUUUACCAUUCAUUGGAGUGACUAUUUUUAUUGGGAUUAAUUUCUUUGUGAGAGUGUUAUUACUACUGGUGAGCUUUUGGGGUUUGACAUGUCAUUCUUGAAAAUGGCUUGAUUACUAUAACUAUGACAAAUUCUGCUAGACUGAUGCAUGUAGAUGGUUGAUGUGGGGUGAUAUUUCUUUAGACUAGAGAUAACGUUUAUACUUUUAUUUCAUUGCUAUCAUUGGUCUAAUUCAAUAAACACGAGUGUUUAAAAAAAUUCGGUUUGAAUUUUGUUUUCGUUUUAAUUGCUAGGGACUAGCAAUAAGCUGGUUGGAGGGUGUGUUUAGUGUUAGAAAGUGUAUAUUUAUAAAAGAGAAAAUCGUCAUUUUACAUUUCAAGUCUUACUAACAUCUUUACUUUUAUGUAUUUAAGUUUCUUGUGAUUUAAUUAUUUGUGUUUUAUUUUAAUUAAGUAUUUUAUGUAUUUUAGGGGCAUCAUGGUCAUUUCGCAAUGAAUGAGAGAUCAGACAGCAAAACGGAAAUGAGUUUUGAAUUCAGGACAAUCGAAAACCUUAGGAGGAGCAUAAAAGGAAAAAUGGAACUGUUCACAUAUACGUUACUAUUCACAUGUACGGUACUGUCCAUGUUACUAUUCAUGACAUUCUUUACAUAUAUGGAAUGAUGAUGUGGUAUUGACCGAUGAUGUGGCAUUGACUGAUAAGGUGUUACGAUUCUAUUGGACUAAAAUUCUUAUGUACUGUUGAUCGGUGACAUGGCAGCAUGUCAGUAGACCAAAAAUUGUGUAGGAUACAUGCAUAUACACAAGAUUAUUUACAACCAAACCGCGUCACUAUUCAAGCCACUUGACUAUUCAAACCGCGUACUGUUGACUGAUGACGUGGUCCAAUCCUGAGCGUUCAAAAUAUUUUUAAUCCGUUGGCCAUGAUUUACUCAGUGUAUCUAUAAAAGGGGGGCUCUCCCCCCUAAUUAUGAGUAGCUAAUUUUCUUUCAAGCUUGGGUUGAAGGUGAAGUCUCAACAUGUGCCAUGGGCUUUAUUUGAUAAAUUUAUUCUCUCUUCCCUUCUUAUUAAGAUGGAUGUUUUGAAUUUUCGUCGAUAAAUAGUAAUAAUCUUGUCUAGAUACCGCCCUGGUUUAACCGGCUCCCUAGUACAAGGUUAUUAUUAUUUGACAUGAUAAGCCCUUAGCACCAUAUUGAUUAGAGCGUGGUUCAUGAGGAGUGGAUACCCCCCUCAUGAUUUAAUUGACACUAAUAAAGAAUAUUUAGCCCAUGGUGCGUGUUGAUGCAGAUCCAGAUACCCAAGCACUUCAAUUAUAAUAUUUUCCACUUUAAUUUAAUUCUACCAUUUCAAUUUAAAUUUUAGGUAUUCCAAAUUAUUUUUACCUUAAAUCUAACCACCAACUUAGAAAAUUAAUUCUACACAUAAUUAAAAUCCACCUCCUCGUGGGAUUGACACUCGUCACCAUUGAUCUAUUCUACAAUAGAUUUGUGCGCUUACGAGUUCAAUAAAAUUUGCACAACAGAUGAUAUGCUAAUUGCAAGCAAACACAAAUCUGAAGUAGAUAAAUUAAAGAAUCUACUGAAUAGUGAGUUUGAAAUGAAGGAUCUAGGAAGUGCAAAAAGAAUCCUUGGUAUAGAGAUAUUCAAAAACAGGGCUGCUGGUACUUUGUUUCUAUGCCAAGAAAAAUAUAUCAAGAAGGUUUUAGAAAGGUUUGAUAUGCACAAUAGCAAAUCUGUUUUGACACCUCUUGGUUCUCAGUUCAAAUUGUCAGCAGCUCAACUCUUAAAGGCUGAAAGGGCUCAAAUGGAUGGGAUACCAUAUGUACAGGUUGUGGGAAGCCUGGUGUGCGCAUUGGUUUACACCAGGCCAGAUAUAGCGUUUGAUGUGAGUGUGGUCAGUAGGUUUCUGAGUUGUCCAAAUAAAACUCAUUAGGGUGCUGUUAAAUGGAUUAUGAGGUAUCUUAGGGCUCUUUUACAUAUGGUCUUCUAUAUGGGAAGUCCAGAAGUGGUGUAAGUGAAAUUAUAGGGUAUGUAGACUCUGGCUUUGUUGGUGAUUUAGACAAAAGGAAGUCCAUCUCAGGGUACAUGUUUAUGUUAAACAUGUGCAUUAUAAGCUGGAAAGCAUCCUUGGAGCUAGUAGUAGCCUUAUCAUCAACUGAGGCUGAAUUUGUUGCAACUACAAAGGUAGUUAAGGAGGCUACGUGGCUUAAGGGAAUACUCAACGAACUUUGGUUGAAUCAGAAAACAAUUCAAGUUUUCUGUGACAAUCAAAGUGCCCUGCAAUUGAUUAAGAAUCCAGUCUACCAUGAGAGGACCAAGCAUAUAGAUGUAAAGCUACAGUUCACCAGAGAGGAAGCUACAAAGGGGACUGUAACAAUGUCUAAAAUUCAUACAGACAUGAAUCCAGCUGAUGCACUUACCAAAAUGCUUCCCACUGUAAAGUUUGAGUUAUGUGUGAACUUAAUGGGUGUCUUACCCAACUCAAACUGAAUUCAGGAGUGAAUUAUUGUUGAAGGUUUUUUAGAUAUUGCUUUGGUGAUGGUUCAAACUGAAUUUGAUCUGCAAGCACUACUAGAAAAAUGAGCUUUAUUGAUACUAGUUUAGUGUCAGUAAUUACUUUUCUUAACACUUAUUAAUUGUGUCCGUAAUGCUCAUGUCAGAACACACUGACAUUAAUUUUUAGUGUCGGUGAUUAUUGUGUCAGUAAUUAGUGUCGUUGUAGUAUCACCUAAAUAAUAACACGAUGGUGUUAGUAUUUGAUGAUAUUAUUUAUACGUCAGCGAUUUAUGUGACUAUAGUAUCAAAAGCACACUGAUUCAAUAACAUCAAAAGUUAUUAUUGUCAUUUUAAAUAUUUAGUUUUAGUAUUUAAUGAUAUUAUGCUGCUUUUGGUUAAUAGUUUAUUUUUAUGUUUAUUUUUAUUUUCCUGCUUAUUUUACAAUAAAAUAAAACUCAAAAUAUAUUAAAUAUACGAAAUCUCACAACACAAUUCAUAUAAUAAACAUCCAAAUACAUCACUUACAUUAAUAUAAUUCAACUACAUCAUUGUCUGGAAAAGAAAAAUAUAAGUACUAAAUUGAGUUUCGACCAGUUCUAAAUAAUAGAAUACAAAAUUAAGUUUCACCAAACAUUAACCUACAAAAUUAAGCAGAAGAAUGUCACUGAAUAUCCACACAUGGCUUUAGUUUUUUUCCCACCUAUAAGUACAUAAAAUCAAUUAGUACACCUAAAAAAAUAAGUCUUGGAUAUUUGGAAACAAUAUAUAAAGUGCAAUAAGUUUUCCAGUACACUAAUAUUAAUUUGAAAGAAUUUUUGUUUCUGAAAAUUACAUGGCAUGCUUAUCUAAUGAAAACCUUAUAAAUUAAGAAUGAACAUAUGUAUUAAUUUGAAAGCAUUCAACUUACAACUAAUCCUGAUCAAUCUUAAAUUGUUGGAAUGUCCUCUAGUUGAUGAGCAACUGGUGCUUCACCUCUAAAUUAGAGAGACAUUUAUAAGAAACUGUGGAAAUCUUAAACAAAGAAAUGUAAAUUUCAAAACUGUGUAUAAAGAAAAUCACAUAAAUCUAGUAGUGCAUUCUGCAUAUUACAUGAUCAUCCGGAAGCUGGUUCUGCCCAAUUAAAUGUUCAUCACUUAAUUAAUCUAGAGAAACCAAAAUUAAAAAAUAAAAUCUAGCUACCACUUUUCCAAUCACUAUUAUUAACCUCUUAAAACGUAAUCAAGUAACAAGCAGUAAAAGAUGGACGAGUAAAAGUAGAUAUUUAGAAGGUUUAUAAUUAAGCACUUAUAAUAAUAAUUCGGACAAAAUCCCAAAAUUGAAACAAAAGAAGCUUUAAAAUUAAAACAAGAGAUGAACAAGUUAGAUGAGCCAUAAUGACUUUUUAAUUAGCCAGGCUAAUUCAUAAGUUAAGUAACUAAUAAAAAUUAAGACUUAAAUUAAAAAUGUCUUCAUUUUGUUUAAUCAUCGUAUAAGUUUUUUUUUCUUAUGUCUAAAGCAUAUUUAGAGGGAGAGCUCAAUUUUACAACCUACUUAUGAAUUAAAUUUUAUCCACACAAAAGGGGAAAAAACACCAAGCUAAAGUUUUAAUUAAAAGAAUAGUGAAACUAGAAAGCAACGUGAUUAAUUAAGAAUUUCAUUUAAUUGUAUUCACAAAUUGAUGUGUUAUAUAUCUCUAUGUGUGUGUGAGUGUGCGCAAGCGCAUACAUAAAAGACCCUGCAUUACAAAGUUAAAAAUAUUCCUGUUAGUUUUGUUUACUAGUAAUGUUGACUGGGGAACAAAUCUCUUUUAUCAUGGAUAAUAUGUAGAGAGAUGAGAGAGUAGUGUUGUGUUAUAAAUAUUAAUUGUCAAACAAAUUAUUAUUUCUUAAGAGAUCUGACUUUCUCGACAGAGUUCUCAAAAAACAAUAAUUGUCAAAAAACAUGUUGACCGUUGAUAAGGCUUUUAACUAACUGCCUUAAGUAACAACUUUAAUAAAUAUUACAUUUUCAGAUUUCAAUAUGUUGUAGUUGGCAAAACAAAAUAUAACAUUUAAUCAUUAAAUAUUAUCCAAGUCCAACCCAACAAGAUAAAAUCAAGGAGCAUUAACAGAGGUCAACUAGCUCCCACCCCCCGGCAUAUUUUUUACAGUUUCUUGUGAUUAUACUUGUUACAACUACCAUCUCAUAGUUAUUGAAGAGGUCACUUUAGAUUUGGAAGGAGAGGGGAAAAAGUCAAAAUUAGACCACAAAGAAGAUAGUUUUCAGAGGAAAUUAAAAAGGAAUUAUACGACUCAUAUUAUGUAAAUGAGCGGCCUACAACACAUCAGAGUUGCAAAAUACUAAAAAGCUUGCAAUAAGGACCCAAAAGAGAAAGAGAGAGAGAGACAUAAAAUUAGCAUCUCUAAACAAAAUGUUGAAUAACAGUUUGAGAAAUAUUUCUUUUUUCUACUUUUCCAUAGUGAUGGGACUGGGAAUUAAGAUAAAGUAAAGAAAAUUAGGCAUAAUUAUUGUAAAAAAAUAAAAGACCAUCAAAACAUAGCAGACAUAAAGAGAUCACCAACAGCAAGCAUGGAUAUGAAAUUAAAACAACUUAACAAAAAGCUAAUUAUUUUAGUAAGUAGACUGAACUAACCAUAUGCUUCCUGCCAAUAUAAUAACCAUAAGAACCUGUUGGUCAUGAACACCAAAGCUUGUGAUUUUCGCCAGCUAGGAGCUCACCUACACUGAAGUCUAUAGGUACAACAAUACCCAAAAUAAUAAUAAAAGCCAUGAAUGGAGUUUUCAAAAGUUCAUAAUUCGGUUUUAGAACAAUUGAUGGAUAAACCUAAAAAUUUGAAGUACACCAGUCGGUUUGAAGUACUUCAUACAGCUUUCAUAUAUAAAAUAUAAAUGUGAAAUAACAUGUUCACAGUGGAGACCAGUCAGUGCUGAGAAACUAUGCCUGCCUUAACAUAUACGAGGCCAUCCAUGCUCAUUAUCAUGGAAUGGUGUCCUACUGCCUACUACUCAAAUUAUGGACUAUUACACAAGUACCGAUCAAAGCUUUUGUUCUCAAUCUUAAAACAGAUCACAUAAAGUUCUUUAAUAAAAAGGGCCAACUCCUAACACAAUCCACUAAUAAACUCCCCUUUAAACUUCCAUCGAACUAUGAAAUGACAAAUUGCUGCAAACUCUAAAACACAUCCAAUUUCCAUAACCCCACAUAGGAUCCUCAUUUAUAAAAUAAACCCCAUUUCGCUUAAAGCCUCAUAGCCACAAGACUUAAACAAAAAAUAAAAUCAAUACGUAAAGAAAAGUGCAACCUUCCAAAUGAACAUGAAUUUCUCAACAUCGGCAACAAACGAAAAAUUAAAAUUACAAAAAAUAAUCAUAAGCUAAAAUUUAAAAAAACCAUUAAUUAAAUUGACAAAAAAAUAUUAAGCCAUUACCAAUUGUUAAAAUAAACCUCUCUGCCCUUAAAGUCAGUGAAAUCCUCCUCUACAAUUCUAGGCAUGGGCGAACCUUCUAUAGCAAACAAAUUAACUAGCUUCUCAACAAUUAUCUCAAAUUCAAGCAAAUGGGUUUCGAGUAGAGAACAAAAAAAGUGAAAUUUUAACAGGAAAAAAAAAACUCCAACGAAAGAAGUCUCAAUUAGGGUUUCGCUUUAUUUUUCGAUUUGGGGAAAAAAGAAAAAAGGAAAGAAAGGUUUUUCUUUGUUUUUCAAUUUGGGGAAAAAAGGAUUUCGCUUUGUUUUUCGAUUUGGUGAAAAAUGGAAAAAGGAAAGAGAAGCCUCAAUUAGGGUUUCACUUUGUUUUUAGAUUUGGGGAAAAAGGAAAGGGAAGCCUCAAUUAGGGUUUAGUUUUUCAUUAUCUGUUUGAAUUAAUUGAAUUGAGUUUGUAAAUGGACAACUGGAAACAAAAGAGAUCGAGAAGAGAAAAAGGAAAAAGAGAAAGAGAAAGCAAGAUAGUGCUAGGGUUUGGUUCAGAUAUUUGCGUGCAUAAACGAAAUAAACUUUCCAAGUCUGGGUUAUAUUUUGCUUUUGUUAUUUUAAUUUUUUUUUAAUUUAUUAGCGUUGUUAUAUCUUAAUUCUACAAGGUCUAAUGGUGUAUUGUCCAUAUGUUAUAGCUUUGAAUUUUAAAAGUCUUUGGUUCGAGUUGGAGUUAAAGCAAAUUUUAAUGAUUUUUUUUUUAAUCUGUGAUACUUCAAUGCCAGCAAUCACUGAUGUUUAAUUUACUGACACAUUAAUACCAAUAAUUUAUUAUACUUAUUUAAUAAAAAUGGAAAAUGGUGUAUAUGUACAUAAUUAAUGACACUUUUUAUAAUGUGUCAGUAAUUAAGUGUCAGUAAAAGUCAUUUUUUUAGUAGUGAAGGUGGAGAGUGUGAAGAAUUGAGUUGUGAAUUUGGGGACUAAAAUGCAAUCGAAAGAGAGUUAUGGGCCAUAGUGCAAAUCACAUUCAGUGUAGGGGUGAUAUGCAAAUAAUUUGCUAAUGUGGCAAAGUUUGUUAUGGUCGUUAUGAGGCGUUUUUGGAAAAUUUCCAGAAACCUCAGUAUAAAAGGGCUGAUGAACAACCUCUGAUAUGCGCGUGUUUUCUCUUUCUUUUCUCAUCCAAAUUUUGUAAUUCUUGCUUUAAUUGAAAGCUUGUAAUCUCCUCUGUAACGUGUGAUCGAGGUGUAAUCAGUUUGAGAAAUAAAAGCUUGUGAGUUUUUCCUUCAAACAGUGUCGUUUUGGUUAAGCUCAUUAGUUGUUGUGUGCCUCUGUGUUUGGCGUUUUUCUUCUCUGAUUCUUGAGUCUUUUUCUGGUAAUUUGUUCUCAAAAUUAACAUUUAGUCUUUUUAUUAAUUGAAAGAAAGGAUAAUUCACUCAAUGAAGGGGUUGUAACCCACCUUACCCAAAGUAACACUAGGCAUAAAGCCAAAAACACAAAUUGGCAACAUCUUGAGGACCCCAUUAUGUUUGAAACUGGAAAGGAAAAUACAAAUAAUUAUAGAUCAUAGAGGAAUAUAUGAUUAAAUAAAGACUUUAGUUGAAGUAGUCGAGGCAAAAAUGUGUGCGUAUAUAUAUAUAUAUAUAUAUAACACACUACUAGAGAAAUGGUCUUUACUGACUUUAGAAUAGUGUGAGAAAUUACUUUCACUGACACUUGUUAAUUGUGUCAGUAAUUUGGGAGUCAGAAAAAUAGUGACACUUGUAAUUGGUGUUAGUGAUUACUGUUACUAUAGUAUUACCAGAUUUAUGAUACUAUGGUAUUAGUAAUUACUGAUAAUGAUCACUUGUUAAAAGUUACUUUCACCAUUGUAUCACAAAAUAUUAUGACGCUAUAGUAAUAGUAUUUACUAACAAUUAUUACAUGUCAAUAGUUUGUUUUACACUGGGAUAUGACAUGAUAGAAUAAACGGAUACUAAUACUUUAGUGUCAGCAAUUUGUAAUACUAUAGCAUCACUAAUAUUAUGAUGCUUAAUCAUUUUUUAGCGUCAAUGGCUUCGAUUAAAUGGUGCUGAAAUUAUUGUUGUUACUUGAUUAUUUUCAUUAUUCUUUUAGUUUUGCCAAUCAAAUAAUGGUAUUCAAAGAAAAUCUAUUCAAAUUAAACUAAAGUACAAAUUUGAAUAAUUAAAUAUAAGUAUAUAAUAUUCCUACCAACAUUUAAAUAGGUAUCAAAUAAAAUAGUAAUACAAAUAUCCAAAAUAUUGUUUGAAAACAUGUCAAAUAUUUACAUGAACACAUAAUGACAGUUUGCAGGAAACAAUCAGUACAUCUACUCUUUGAUCUUUUUCUUUCCCUUCACCUUUGCCACCUAUAAUUGCAGUAUAUAGAAUCAAUUAGCUACUAUGCUACAAAAAUCAAUUCUUUGAUAUUUACAAGCAAAAAUAUAAUUUACCUCAUUAUUGUAUGCUACAAGUUACUUUGCAACAUACAUCGCCCACUGAUCGCGAAGUUGUGAAAGAUCGUCCAUAGUGUACUCAUUACAGCCCUUGAACUUUAAAAAUAAAGCAAGAAAAUAUAUUCAUAUAUUAUAGAAUCUGUCCUAAAAUAGAACAACACAAUAAAAACAUAUAUUUUUAAAUUUGCCAGGAUUAACAUCAAAACUGAAGAACAUGCAAAUAAAUUGUAUUACCAUAGCAAACAACGGUUACCAAAGCUGUCUAAGAAGCUGAUAAUUUAUAAUAUAUUAUUUGCUUUACUCAAUAUUACUUCUAACACUCAGCACUGGGAUUUAUCUGUACAUGCAGCAGCUCCAAUCAUUGCUCAAUAAUACUUUAACACUGAACACUGAGAUUUAUAUGCAUUCUAUUUGUACAUGCAACAGCUCCAGUCAUUUUGGUUUACACUAAAGUGCCUUAAAUACAUAGUAGAACACAAUAAAAAUUGGCAUUAAUUUUUCCAAACAUGUUGAAUGCAUUCAAUAAAAUGUAUAUAGUGUUAUAGCUUUUACCUAUAAUAAAUAUGCCAAUGAAGUGUAUGUGAUUAUCCUAAACAUACACAACACUUCCUCUAAUCCCUAGCACAAGAUAUGAUUAUAUUGCUAGUUUCAAGCAUAAAGCAGCAAACUGUUCACCCAUUAACCAUCUUGACAAUUCACUUAAGAAAAUCCAUUUCACAAUGCAUUCUUCGAACAAAUAUUAAACAAGUUCUGGAGAAACUCACAUUGUUUUCAAGAAUGCACAAAUCGCGAACAAUAUCCUGGAUGUACUUCAUCACAUAGUAACCACAUUCAAAGGUUCCAGCUUGUUUCAGACACUAAAAAAAAAUAAAUAAACUUAGUUUCAAAUAUACUGAUGAAGUAACAAUGGAAAUCAUAACUUUGUUUCAUUAAUACCUUCACAGAGACCCACUGCACAGCCUUCUUUUUAUUACUCUUCACUUGAUGCAUUGUUAUCCCACUAUAAAUAAUAAAUAACAGAUGCAACAAAUUAAUCUACAACAUAAAAAAUUAAUAAAGAAUUAAGUAAACUAAUUAAACUUACUCAUUCACCAUUUGCUUUAACUCAUCAUCAGGAUUAUCACCUAAUGGAUCAAGAUAAUAAAUUUUUCGCCUCACCAUAUCAAUUGCUACUAGCACCCAGUGGCCACUAAACAAACAAGUAAAAAAAAAAAACAGAUUACAAGAUAAAUUUAAAUAAUUUAUAUUAAAAAAUAAAAUAGACAAAAAAUAAAUAAACUAUACCCUGGGUUAUAUGGGAAGACAAUUAUUUGGGCUAUUUGAAUCUUGUCCAAAAGGUCUGAAAUAUAGAAACACCUAUUUGGGUAGCUUGCUUGACUUGGGUGUAACUUAGCUAUGCAUCCAAAUUGAAUUGGAAUAACACCACUGCCAUUAUCCAUCUCUUCAUACAAGUGUCUAUUAAAAAAAGAAACUUUCAUGGCAUGAAUAUAAGAAAUAAAUAAAUGACAGUUUGCAAAAUCAGAAAACAUAGUAAAAACAUAAAUCAAGUUUUUUAUUUCUUACUUGAUCCAUAUCUCCAAAACAGAAUUUGAGAGCUCUGUAAACUCAAUGACUUCAUUGCAAAUCUGCUCGUCCAAUCUGCUCUCCCAGUAGAUACCAAAGUCUUCAAAUCAUGGGCAAUCAUAAUUGUCUGUGGCAGGGAGCUCUCAAUCAUCAAAGAAAAGAUGUUCAUUUGUGAACUUUUGUUCUCUUUUCUUGCUUUCACAGCUCCACGGGUAUUCUUUCUCAGAACCAGUUUCCUUGCUAUCACUAGUUUUACAACAACGGGUUCCUUUGUUGUUCGUUUCUGUUCAUACAGAUAUACCACGGCAUUUGUAGGAGACUUUCGACCAUCCACUUUUCUCUUUGAAGGAGUUAAUCUUGGAGAUCUUCUUGGGGUGAUUUUUGAAGUGGCUUCACAAACUACUGGGGGUGGAUUCUGUGCAGGGGAUGGCAGGGGAGGUGUGUUAAUGUUUUUGUCAGGUUUUGGACAAAUAGUGGGGUCAUUAGUCACUGACUUUGGACUAACUUUGGUCACUGACUUGGGGGUAGCUUUGGGGUUGUUGUUGGUCACUGAUUUUAGGGUAGCUUUGGGGUUGUUGGUCACUGACUUUGGAGUUGCUUUAGGGUUGUUAGUCACUGACUUUGGAGUAACUUUGCUGGGUGAUCGAUGAUCUAUCUCCAUCUUAACACUGCAACUACCUUUGGAGUUAUGAAAGUUGGAACUGCCAACUUCAGUGUUGUUGCAGGCGUUGAUCCUUGCAUUCAUUUGAUCUAAUUGAGCUUGCAUAAACUGAAAACUCUCUUGAUACAUUCUCCGUUCUCGCGCCAACUCCGUGGGGUCGGGACAUUGAAAUACAUGGAUGCGGUGAUGAAUUGACCCAAUCCUUGCACUCGACUUCCAUUAGGCUUCUUUUGAAGUGCUUCACCUAGGAUAUCAUUCGGUCCUUGGGAUUGGAACGUUCCCUGCUCAACUUGUCUUCUUAGCUCACUCUACAAAAUAAAUACAAAAAUAAUUUGAUCAAAAUUAGGAAUAAAAAAAAAAUAAGUUAAAUAAUGACAGUGGUGGUGGAAACUUACAACUCUCUCAGCCACUUGCUGCACUUCAGGUGUAUAAGUUCCAUCUUUUCUCCUAUGAGCCAAUAACCAGGCUUCAUUGCGGUCAAUCUCGCGCUCAGUAACUCUGAGGUCUAACUGCUGUAAUAAUUCAACAAAAAUUGAAUUGAAAACUGGUAUGAAUCAUCCUAUUAUUUGUAUUGAAAAUGUCAUAAGUUUGUAUAGAGUGGUUAUUAUACUUACUCUUUUAUGCAACAGCCCAGCAUAUCAUGUGCUGCCCAAGUGAUGAUUGUACAUAUUCUUUGCUCUUUUUUCCUUUGCUACCUUACUUUUUUCCUGCACAAAGCGGAUAUUGAUUAAAAUGGUUACAUGAACUCAAUAGUAUUAUCUAACUAACAUAAUUUUAAACAUACCUGAAAGGCUUCAGAUAAAAUCUUAUCAACAAAGCUCUUCCAGUCCUCUUUUCUAAUGCCUUCAUACUCAAGAGGAGGCUUUUUCAGUAAACUCAAGUUGUUUGCAUUGGGCAGAAUAUAUUCAUUGGCCAACUUACAUUUAAAGCCCCUUAAUGCAAUUCCCAUCCACUUGAACACUUGGGUUUUUGGCUUAAGACUCAACUUAAACUUUUCCUGAAAAUGAGUCCAUAACGUCUCCUUGAUGUCUAGUGGCACUAACUCUUUCCCGUACAAUCACCCCAAUGUAGUUCCUCAGAUCAUUUCUCUUUUUGCCAACUGGAACUCUGUAGGAAUUGUACAUAACCUCAGUGUCGUCACUAACUCCUCUCUGCAGGUCUUUUUCUUUGUAAGGUUUCGUCUUGGUCUGCCUUCUAGAUCUGGAUCAAAUGUUGGCUCCUCUUUUUCUGCCAUGUCUCCAACAAACCUGCAAAUACAUCAAAGUGGAUGAGUGCACCACAUACCAAUCUAAUAUCCUAAUAUAAUAAUAAAAUAAUAAAAAACAAAUUUGUUGGUGACUUACGGGAAGUAGUGGUAAUAAGGCAUAGUAGUUAGAUUAUUCAUUUUCCGCACCAAUAUUUACAAGAAAAACAUCAACAACUACUGUGACACAAACUCCUCAUCACCCAAACCUAACUUACAUUUUGGAAAAUUGUUGGAUAAUGGUGCAUACUCAUCGAUGCCAUCACACAAGUCCUCAUUUGAAUAAUUACAUUUUGAGCUCACUGAACAAACAACUGAUUUACUAUUAUCUAACUGAUCUUUCACAUAAAACACUUGCUUUGCAUGACCAGCUAGAAUGAAACAGUCAGAUUUGUAGCCUAUUCGAUCUAAAUUGACUACAAUGAACCCUAACUCAUCAACAUUAACCCCUCUAUCAUCUACCCAAUCGCACUUGAAAAGUACGUUCUUAACCCCUAGAUAAUCAAGCUGCCAAAUUUCACUGACAACCCCAUAAAAAGGCAUAUCCCCAGAAUGAGCAUUUUUGUCUUUCGAACUUGAAAUCUGUAAAGUGUUAGCAACUACAUAAACGCCACUGUUUUGUGUUAUGCGAUUGCUGUCCCGAUCUCUUGUAGCAAAAUUAAAACCAUUAAUACAGUAGCCAUCAUAUGUAACCACGCUUGAGCGGGGUUUGUUUGCCAGCCACCAUACUUUUUCGUCAAUCACUACAUUAUUUGCUUUAUCAGUUGUUACCUAUUGUUCAAUUAAUAAAAUCACAAUAAUUAAUUGAAAGAGAAAAGUUUAUGUGCUUUUACUUUGAUACUUUUAUUAGAUCUAAUAAAGUUAAUCUAACCUUUUGUUUCAGCCAAUCAGCAAACGUACGGGAGUGCUCGGUUGGCAACCAUAAAGGCUUUUUUAAUUGACGAGGGUGUGUUGAUUGCAAUAAGGCCAAUUGCUCCUUAAAAUUAUACCAACAGAAUUAUUAAAAUUGAAAAAAAAUUAACGAAAAAGAGGUUCAAAUUUUCAGUCACAUACUCUAUGUAUGGUUGAAUCUCGGGGGUGUUCACCAGAACACAUCGGUGUGCUUGCGCCAAUGUAGGGCCAUCAACCACCUUAAUAUUUGCACCUCCGAGUGGCCUUUCGACUGUAAAAUCAAUUAGACAACCAGUAGAUAGUCCGAUUGAAUUACAAUUUGAAAGGUAUUCAGCACAAAUUUCAAGUGCUUCCUCAGCAAUAUAGCACUCUGCAAUGCAACCUUCAGGACGGUAUCGGUUGCGUACAUAGCCCUUUAUAGGUUUCAUUUCUCUCUUAAAUGGAUACAUCCAUCGAAGGUAAACCGGGCCACAUAAUCUAACUUCUUCAACUAGAUGGACUGUUAAAUGGACCAUUAUAUCGAAGAAGGCAGGUAGGAAAGAUUGUUCUAAAUUGUAUAAGGUGAUUGUAAGUUCUUUUUGCAAUUGGUCUAGAGAAUUGGGCUCUACUACCUUAGAACACAAAGAAUUAAAGAAGAGGCACAACCUGAUUAUGAAAGAUCUGACAUUUUGAGGUAAACAAUUUCGAAUUGCUAAUGGUAGUAGUUGUUGCAUCAAGGUAUGACAAUCAUGAGACUUAAGCCCGUGAAGACGACAAUCAUCUAUUGAAACAAUAUUUCUAAAAUUUUAACAAUAGCCAUCAGGAACUUUGACACUUUGCAAGGUUUCACAGAACAUUUUUUUUCCUUCUUACUUAAAGUGUACGGGGCAUGGGGCAGGACUUUGUUUUGUUCAUCAGGAGCUAAUACAAUCAAUGCUUUGUUAAUUUUUUCUCUAAGGUCUGGAUGUGUAAGAUCUUUUCUAGCAUUAAUUCCAUCUUUUGUUUUCCCCGGUUGAUGGAGUAAUGUGCCAUAGAUGCUCUCGCAUACAUUUUUCUCAAUAUGCAUCACAUCUAGUUGAUGGCGAACUAACAAAUGUUCCCGAUAUUCUAAAUCAAAGAAGAUUGAUCUCUUUUUGUACAGCAACUGAGCUACAUCCCCAUUACCCUCACCCUCACCUUCAAUCUCACUAUCUCCUUCACACUCACCCUCACCCUCAAUAUCACCCUCACCCUCACCCUCACCCUCAAUAUCACCCUCACCCUCACCCUCACCUUUACCCUUACUGUUACCCUUAUUGUUACCCUCACCUUUACCCUUAUUGUGACCCUCAACCUCACCCUGUUUACGCUUUUUUUGGACCUUUUUCCCAAACUUGGUGUCAAUGUCAGCCACCAAGUUUAAGAUAUUUGUACCAGACAAAGGGUUAGGAGAAUUUUCAAUAAACAGCCUAUGACCCAUAUAUGACAUUUUCCGACUAUGCGGUAGCCAACAUGCACAUGUGUUUAUCCCACAAACUGGACAACCAUAAUACCCCUUAACAGUACACCCAGACAGGUUUCCAUAAGCUGGAAAAUCACUAAUUGUCCACAUCAACACAGCUCGUAAAUUAAAAGUUUGUUUCCUAUAACCAUCAAACACAUCGACGCCUACAUCCCAUAGGGUUUUUAAGUCCUCAAUCAAUGGUGCUAUGUAUACAUCUAUGUCAUUUCCAGGUUGUUUAAGACCAGAUAUCAGUAGAGACAACAUCAUAAAUUUCCUUUUCAUACACAGCCACGGAGGAAGGUUAUAUGUUAUCAAUGUAACAGGCCAACAACUAUAAGUAGUGCUAAGUGUGCUAUGUGGGUUAAUCCCAUCAGAUGAUAAAGCGAACCGAAGAUUUCUCGGCUCUUGGGCAAAAUCAGGCCAUUUCUUGUCAAUUAACUGCCAAGCUGGUGAAUCUGCUGGGUGGCGAAGCUUGCCAUCUCUAAUUCUUUUAUUUUCAUGCCAUGUUAAGUUCUCAGCAGUUUGUGGUGAUUGAAACAUUCUUUUCAACCUAGGAAUUAUAGGAAAAUACCAUAACACCUUUUUAGGGACCCCCUUUCUAAUUUUUUUUUAUCCAUCUUUUCUUAUUUGCCACCUAGAUGCUCCACACCUUGGGCAUUCACUAAGAUUCUCGAACUCAUUCCUAUAAAGAAUGCAAUCAUUUCGACAUGCAUGUAUUUUCUCAUAAUCUAAGCCUAAUAGCUUCAUUAUUUUUCUGGCCUCAUACAUGGACUUAGGCAAACUAUUAUCAUUUGGCAAUAUCUCAUUAAGAACUUCCAAUAAAACUGAAAACCCACUAUCAGACCAGCCAUAAAGUCCUUUUAUAUUGUACAGUUUCAUUAGACUCGAUAACUUUGAAUGCUUUGAACCCAUAUAUAGGGGCUUUUCAGCAUCUUCAAGCACAUUCUUAAAAGAACUAGGAUCUUUAUCACAAUGCUCAAAAGUAUCAUGAACCAUGUCAUCUACAUAACUAUAAUCCGGACAUCUAAAACGUUGAUUUUGUGUCUGGUCUUGGCAUUUUACAGAGGUAGGUUUCCGAUCCACCUCACCAUGCCAAUUCCAAACUAAAUAAUUUUCUAGAAAACCUUUUUUAAAUAGAUGUAGCCUCACUUGUUGAGGACUCAAAAACUCCAUAUUACAACAAGUGGUACAAGGACAUCUAAUUGACAUUAUAUUUUCAGAAUUAAGAAUGGAAAACUCCAAGAAAUCAUCAACCCCAUCACUAUACUCAUCAGACAAUCUAUCACAGAAUAUCCAAGUUUUGUCCAUAACUUGUAUUGUUACCUGUUCAUUUGUUAGAUGUUGUUAGUUUAAUAAGUUUACUUCAAUUGCACAAAUAACUCCAAACUUUAGGUUUAAAUUAAAAAAUACAAAUUGAAAAAUAAAUCUAAAUUCUAUUUGUUUAGAGUCACUUAAAUAUAUGUAUGCAUUCAGCAACCCAACAGAGCAUAUAUGUAAGCAUUCAGCAACCCAACAGAGCAUAUAUCUAAGCAUUCAGCAACCCAACAGAGCAUACAUGUACACAUUCAACAAGCCAACAGAGCAUGCAUGUACACAUUCACUAAACUAGCAAAUCUAACUUACAUGUACACAUUCAGCAAGCCAACAAAACAUGCCACAUCCACAUUUUUCAAAAUUUAUUUUUCAUAUUAGAACAAACAAAAGUAUAUAUUAGAAUAAAAAAUUUUAUUCCAGAACAAUCUAUGCAACAAAAACGAAAGUAAAACUAUGCAUGUCAAUAUUUAAAACAUCUCAGUACAAGUAAAACUCAGAACACAACGAUAAUAUAAAUUGAAAGUAAGUGAGUGAUUUAAAAGAAUUACCAAAUGAAGAUAGCUGUUACACCGUAAACUUUUGUGAUUCUUCAAAAGCGACAGAUUGUUAAUUACUAUGUCAGAGAGCUGUACAAGGGAAAUCACAUAAAAAAAGAUUAAGGACAAUACUUGUUGUUGUUGAAGGGUUUGCAUGUGAGAUAUUGCAUUUAUACUAAGUCUAGUAAAUGCAUUACAGGGAAAGGAUUGAUGAAUUGACCCUUUGUUAAUAUGUAUCUUUAUCAAGCUCUAAUUAAAAGGAACAAGUUAGGCCCAAAAUUAAAAACAUCAUGCAAAAUUUAAAAUGCAAUUUCGAGAAAUGGGGAAAAUGAGAAAAACCCAAAUCUACAUUGACAUUGUAUCCAUCAAUUCCAGUUAAAGUGUACAUGAAAUUCAAAGUCCAGUGACACGGCAACUAAAGAAAGAGAUGAAAGAAAACUGAUUUGAAUCAGGCACUUAUAAAACUACUCUUAGUUAAAGACUCUAGUACAAUAAUUCAACUUCAGUUACCUUUACCUCUCUGUUAGGUUUUCCCAGGUCCCAAAUUAUAAACAAUCAAGAUUACAAAAAAAAAAACUAAGAAUUUUAAAACUCAUUCUACAGUUAAACCGCAACAAAACAACAUGCAUGAGGAAAAUAGGCACUGUAAAUUGGAAACAUAAUAAUUAAAAAUAAAUAAAAAUGAAUAAAUGACACCUUCAGAAACGAAUUUAUCGCAGUGAAGAGAGAGAGACAGAGAGAACCAAAUCAUGAUAGAAAUGAGUUCCUCUGCUUCGAGCUUGGUUGGGAUCGACGUGAAGUUUGAUUAUAGUGAGGGAUAUGAUUUUAGGGUUUGGUUUACUUAGCUUUGACAGAGAAGGAGAACCGAGUGGUGAAAGACUGAUGAGUGAAUGACUUAGAAAAAAAUUAGCUUCGAUUUUGGUCUUAGGGUUGUAUAAAACGAUGCGUUUUACUUAUCUUUAUUUUUCCUAAGUGAAACGAUACCGUUUUAACUGAAAAUAUAUUAUUUACUAAUAAAUUUUCAGCCAAAACCCGUUAAAAUUUUCAGUGAGCCGCGCUCAAUACAUUUAAAGUGCUUCAUAUUAAAAUUAUAAUAUUCUACUAAUUCAGUUGCAUAACUAACAAAAAGUCAGAACGGUUUCAAUUUUAAACUUAAAUGCUUUGGCUUUGGAAAGUCAUGGGUUCGAAAAUCAGUUUGGAACGAAAUUUAUAUUUUAUUUUCUUUUACUGAUACCUUAGUGUCACCAAGAAAAAGAACUUAAAUGUUCCGAUGUUCGAGGUCCCAGGUUCGAAUUCCAUCUAUUACAUGAUUAGAAUUAUUUUAUUUUUAUUACUAAUACUUUAGUGUCAGCGAUUUCUGAUGUCACAAUUACAGACACCAUAGUAUCAUUAAUUUGUGAUACAUAUGUGUUAAACAUGGAAAAUGGCCCAUAUGUAUACAAAUACUGAUACUUUGUAAUAAAUUGUCACAAACCAAGUGUCAGUAAAGACCAUUUUUCUAGUAGUGAGGUCGCGCCUCUCUCUAUAGACUUCUGCAAUUUUUUUUUCUUGAAUAAUUUCUCAUGGCAUGAACACGUAACUUAUACAAUCCAUUAAAAAAUCCAAUUGUCAAUAAAAUAAAUAAACAAAGUUUACAAAUGAAUUUAACUUAAAAAUAAAAGAAGACUAUAACAUAGGUGGUCCAUAUAACAUUUUGAAGAUAAUGUGCUUUAGCCUGGAGCACAUCUGGUGACGAUGCCAUUAUAUGAGCAGAUUACAAAGUCAAUGUAUCCUGCAAUGGGAUCAAUAAAAAAAUUAAGGAGGAAAGAACAUUUCCCGGCCAGCUAAAGGGCAUUUGAGGCCUUAGCCAAUUCUUUUUACAAGGCCUUUUAACAGUAAUUUAAAAAUUAGUUAAAAUGUUUCACAAAUUUUCUGUUGAUAGAAAGAUUUCGGGCCAAUGGAAGAUUGUUGCAACUGAUGAAAUAAGUUACUUCUAUUAUGCGUAUGAAAUAAGCCACUAAAUAAACAUGCAACUAAGUGUUUAAUAAACUAUGUUGUUGUGAUUGCCGUAAGUUUUAAAAGCAAAAUAUUUUCGUUUGGUAAAUUUCAUUCCUAAAGUGUUUGUUUUAUUGUACAAUGACUAAAAUGGACAUAAGUUGAUUUUUAUUUUUCUAGAGAAAAUUUGAUAAAUUUUCCAGAAACUUUUUUUUCUUUUAAAGCACACAAAUUAAAUUAAAUUAAAUAAAUCAACUCAUUAAAAUAUAAGGAAAUUAAUAAUANNNNNNNNNNNNNNNNNNNNNNNNNNNNNNNNNNNNNNNNNNNNNNNNNNNNNNNNNNNNNNNNNNNNNNNNNNNNNNNNNNNNNNNNNNNNNNNNNNNNUGCGUGUAUCUCUGUGUGUGUGUGUAAUAGAAAUUAAGUAAUAUGAAGUGGUGAUAAGAGUUAGCUUUAGAUCAAAAUUAUACGGUGCUAUAAAUAGUUUAAAACAUUGUAAAAGUCUAUUUAUGAUGUCGUAAAUCCUUUCUAGUUUUUAUUCCUAGACUUUAAUUCUAAAUUGAAAUUUUUUUAUUGUGGUAAUAUGUUAGAUUUAUGAUUUUUAUAUUAUUGUUUAUGGAAAAAUAUGGUAUAAUUUUUUUAUUAAAAUAAUAAGCUUAUUCUAGAAACUUUAAGAGUGUGGCGACUUAUUUUGUAAUUUUCUAUUAAAAAGUAUUCCCUUACUCCCUUCUAAAAGGUUGAUAAUAUUUUCACCCCCAAUUUUUGUAAAGCUACCCCACUUCUAGAAAGUAAUUACCUAAAGAUCACAUAAUUUUUUUUUAAAUUUCAAAUAAAGAAGAAUUUUUAGAACUAAUUAAUUAAAUUUAUGUUAAUUUAUACUUUUGUGACUUACAUAUUUUAUUAUAUUUGACUGCUAAAGUUGCUUUUUACCCUAAGUUUAAAUUUAUCAAUUUACCUUAAUAAGGUAAAUGUACCAAAACUUUACUUUAUCUCCAAUUUUUGUAAUUUUAUACAAAAUUUAUUAUUUCUAAAUGAUGUAUCAAUACUAAUUUAUUACUAUGAUGAUUAAUUUUUAAAUCAACCAACAUAAUGUCUUUAAGGUACAAUACUCAUGUAAAUUAUUGGGGUAUCAAAUUCAUGUCAUUUACAUAUAUUGUAUUGAAAACUAUUAAAUUUCAUACAAAAACAUUAGAUUAUUGAUCACAAGAUUAAAUACCUAAAUUAUUGUAUACAAGAAUUAAUAAAUAUUCUCAGGUCGAUUAAUUUGGUCAUUUUAUGUGAAGAAAAUUAUCAACCAUCCACCUUAAGUUUUACUUUGCGUUCAAAAAUACUAAAAAAGUUUUAAUUUAUUUGAUUUUAAUUUCACCAUAAGUUUACAAAUUGUAUCAACAUGGUAAAAUAGAAACAAAAUGAUAAAAUAGAAGCAAAGAGACAAAUUUACCCAUACAAAAUGAUCAAACCAAAACAAACAAAAAUGACAAUGGUGGUCAUUUUGUAAAGGUAAUUUAUUUUUUUGGUUGGUAGAUAGAAAUUACAAACUUAGGAAGGAUGAUUGAACAAAUUCUAACUUUUAUAGUAUUUUUAAACAAAAUAUAAAUUUAGAAUGGAUGGCUAAUAAUUACCCUUUUAUGUCGUAAUGAUAAAAUAGUCAAAUGAAAUUUAUGUUAAAGCAACCUUAAUGGUAAAAAUUGCUCAAAGAAACCAAAGUAAGGAAAAAUUAUAAGAAGGAUUAAUUAAUUAAAUGCACUAUUUUUUUACUAAUUUUUAUUUAUUAAAAAUAAUGAAAACAUAUUGUAUAUAUUUUCCAAGAAAUGGGUGAAUUUACACAAUAAGUAAGGUGAAAAUAUCCCCUCUCUUUCUAAAAUAAAAUAUGUUAGGAAGUUACAAAAUAAAAUUUUUUGUUGGUCAACCAUAUUGGUGGAACCGUGGAAAUAAGCAAAAAAAUUAUUUAUUGAUUAAAAAGAGACAAUUAAACUCAAUCUUAAACUUUUUACCAGCCUUACCCCUCGUAAUAACAAAAUGCAAUAAGCCAAAAACAAAAAGAGCGACAACAUCUUGAAUUCUGAAGCUAAACCUUCAUUCCAAAAUAACAAUGAAAAUGCAGAUACGAAGAGGAACUAGCGAUGAAACAAGGACUUAAGACUUUAUUCCAAAUCCAGUAGGAGACCUAAAAAGGGUACACGAUCGAUAAUAAGAGUUUUAAUUGAUUUGAUGAAAGCAGUGAUUAAGCAAUUAACGAAUUGGUUGUAACCACGAUCAAUUCCUCUUUCUCUAAUAACAGCAAGCGAGUCCUCCUUAGAAAGAGUUCCCUCAGUGUCAGUAGGUUUAAUGACAUGAACCUCAGCACCAAUGUACACGUAUUAUUAAGAAGGUAGCCUUUUAAAUGUUAAUUAAAUCACUAUAAGAAAAUAGGGAUAAGGCAACAUCAUUUUAACAAUGUGCACGUAUGAAAUGUUGUCAAAUUUAUAAUUUAACAACAAUCGCAAAUUGCAUGUUGGCAAAUAUAAAGUUUUAGCAACACACAAUGAGUGACCAUUGAGUUAAACUUUAUCACAACAAGCAAUCAUUUGUUGCGAUAUAGGAAUAUGCAAUGACAACAUUCAAACUUUGCAUGUUGUAAUUAGUUAUUUAAGACAACAUUGAAUUGUCUGCUGCAUAAAUUAUUAUUUAAAUAACAACAUUUAGUUGUGUGUUAAUUUUUUUUAACUCAAUUUAAUAUGAAGUUGGUAUAAAUUAGACAUAAAUAGAUGCUUAUGAAAUUUGUUCAUAAAAAUAUUAUAACAAAUUUGUUUUUGAGUAUAUAAUUAACUAUAUUUCUUAGAACUAAAAUAGUAGAAAAUAAUGUGCAAUAAAUAAAAAAUUUCAUUGCGCACGCAUAAGUUAUACAAUGCGGGUCAAAGCACGGCAAAAGGAAGAUAAAAAAAAGACAAAUUGACUAAACCAAAAAAAAGAAAAGAAAAGUAAUUGACUUAAUGAAACCUGGGUUCACUUUACAAUGCCACUUUACUCUUUCUCUGCCACUCAAGCAAAUCAAGCCCCUUCAUCGUCAUUGUAAUAACAAGUGCCCAAGGAAUCGGGUUUAUCAGGUACUUUUCUUUUCAAUUUCAUUAAUAAAGCUCAGUUUCACUUUCCUAAUUCCAUUUAAUUAAUAGUUUGCUCUUUCCACUAAUUCUUUUCAGGAGAUUUCGGGCUUUGUCCUAAUGUUCCCACUCAAAAUCGUUCCAGAUGGUCCCAUUGCAAAUUCAUUGCUUGGUAAGUGGGACAAUUCUUUAUUGUUUGUGGGGUUCAUAUGGUAUGACAUAAACCAAACUAAUAUUAAUUUUUUGUGGUGGGUCAUUGAAACCAAAAGAUGAUUUUCUUCUUUGAAAAUAUUUACACGGAAAAGUUGAUUUUGGAGAUUAUAUUUUAUUUUUAAUUUAAAUUAGUAAAUAUUACUAGUGAGAUGGAUAAUGAUUUCUUUUAAUUGAGUGGCGCAAUUUUAAUCUAUUAUUGGUGUUGUUGACAUGAUGAAAUAGGUAACUUCUAUUAACGUCAUUGAACAUAGUCUCCUAUAUCAGCAGUGACUUUUUACAAUUUGACUGCGAAGCAAAACUUGAGGUAUUGCUUUCUGCUGUAUAAUUAAAAUUCUAAAUGAAAUUUCUCUAUUUUGAUGUUUGCUUUAAAAUAUUUAUUGCAUAUUAUUUUGUCUAUUUUAUGUUUGUUCAUAGUCUUAUUUUGUUAACUUUUACUAACCUAUUGGAUACUCUAAAUGGAUCCUAUUUCUUUAUAUUUAUCUUUAUAUGGUCCAAACUAAUCACCUUUGCACAACCAGGUCUUGCCAACAUUAGUAAUUCAAAAUGGAUAAAAGAUAGGUCUACUUCUCAAGGUUUCAUGUUUAUUUAAUAAAAUAAUGAAUAGUUUUAGGAACAGUUAUAGCUUUAGAUUAACCAAUAAGUUAUUACUCUCAUUAUUAUUUUUUUUGUAGACAUUCAGAUGAAUAUAGAAAGGGAGCACGUGACUUUGUUAAUAGUGCUCUUGCAAAUUCAGGUAAUCUAGAUAUAAUAUUAUGUCCCUGCAUUCGUUGUAAGAAUGUACAACGCCACCAUUUUGAUUUAGUGUAUGAACACUUGGUUAUGAAAGGCAAGGAUCCUACUUAUAAUACUUGGGUUCUUCAUGGAGAAAAUUCUACUUAUUCUGGAAUGUCAAUGCAAUAUGGUGAUAUUGAAAUGACAGAAACAUAUCAGAUGUAUAGAGAUCAAGUUUAUUUUCAGGAGCCAAAUGUAUCAGAGCACACACAUGAAAGUAGCAAAGUAGAGUUCACAAAUCUUAUCAAAGAUGCUGAAACUCCAUUGUAUCCUGGAUGUACAAAGCACACAAAAAUAUCAACAACUGUUUCCUUAUUCAAGCAUAAAGUUACCCAUGGUAUAUCUGAUAAAGGUUUUGAUGAACUUCUUCAAAUUGUUCGUGAUAUUCUUCCAUCAGAAAACACACUUCCUGAGUCAUUGUAUUCAACAAAAAAGCUACUUAAGACCUUUGACCUUGGGUAUGAAAAAAUACAUGCUUGUAUAAAUGAUUGUUGCCUUUUUAGAAAGGAGUUAGGGAAUGCACAUAUGUGCCCUAAAUGUGGUGCUUCCCGAUGGAAAGUUAAUGAGCGCACUGAAAAGAUUCAACAAGGAGUUCCUGCCAAAGUUUUGCGUUAUUUCCCAAUAAUACCAAGACUUAAAAGGAUGUUUAGUGUAACUGAUAUGGCAGAACAACUUAGGUGGCAUCAAACUCAUAAAAGUCAAGAUGGCAAAAUGAGGCAUCCAGUGGAUUCACUUGCAUGGGAUAUUAUAAACAAAAAGUGGCCAUCUUUUGCAUCUGAUUCCCGAAACAUUAGAUUUGGCCUUGCUACUGAUGGUUUUAAUCCCUUCCAAGAUCUUAGCACAAGAUAUAGUUGUUGGCCUGUAAUUUUAGUCAUCUACAAUUUGCCUCCAUGGUUAUGCAUGUCCAAGGAUAGUUUAAUGUUAAGUUUGUUAAUUCCAGGGCCAAAGCAACCAGGUAAUGACAUAGAUGUUUAUUUGGCACCGCUUGUAGAAGAUUUGAAAGAGCUAUGGAUAAAUGGAGUUGAAGUGUAUGAUGCAUUGAGUGAAUCCACAUUUAAUUUAAGGACAAUUUUAAUGUGGACCAUUAAUGAUUUCCCAGCUUAUGCAAAUCUGUCAGGUUGGUCUACAAAGGGAAAAUUGGCAUGUCCCGUAUGUCGUCAAAAUACUUGUUUGAAAUGGCUAUCACAUAGCAAAAAGUUUGCAUACAUGGGUUAUAGGCGAUUUCUUCAUUCUAACCAUUCAUUUAGGAGGAAACAAGCAUGGUUUGAUGGUGUCAUUGAAGAAGGCACUAGACCUAAGAUAUUCAUUGGUGAAGACAUUUAUUCUGAAGUUAAAAACUUAGCAAAUGAUUGGGGUAAAUUAAGAAAAAAGAGGAAGAGGGAUUCUUUAUCAUUAUGGAAGAAGAAAUUGAUACGCCGCAGAGGUCGUCAAGGAUUCCAAACCCUAGCAACACGUAUGCUGGGUAUGUUUGAAUUAUGCAUGGAUGCUUGGAAGGCGAACGGUCACAUGGCUCAAGACUCAUGCAUACGUUACAUGCAACAUGCAGCACGUUGGAAGAAUAGUCGUUGGAGCAGUCUACAGGGAUCAUGGGUUGAUUCGGUCAACAUGGGAUCACUUGCUGAUUUAAUGGAGAUUUAUUAUUUGGUUUAAUUCAUAUUCGGUUGUUUUGUUAAGCUAAAAGAAUAAGUUAAGUUGUUAGCUUAUGACCUGCCUACAAUCUCGAGUGAUAGUUAGAUUGUUUGGCUAAGUUGUUUCAAGUAUAAAUAAGCUCCAACAGACUUGAAUAAAGGCAUUGACUAUUAUCCAAAAAAUCAAAUAUCUUGUGGUCUUAUUUCUCACCCUAAGUAGAAAUAUAUUCAAUCACUUACGCUUUGACUGGGACCGCUAUCAGUGGUAUCAGAGCGAGGUUACUAUGUCAACCAACAAAGAACGUAUAGAGCGUGUGGAAGUUGAGAUCGGAAGCUUGCAAGAUGGAAUGAAGCGUAUGGAACUAGGGCUUACUGACAGAUUGCACCGCCUAGAAGAAACAAUGAGCAAACUGGUAGAUUCACUUUUAACUUCAAAAGGGAUGCCAAGUCACAACAAUUCUGAUCACGUCGAACCCUCAUAGCCUAGUCGUGGAGAUAGUGAAGGGAGCCGCCAUUAGCUAGCAUCAAGACUUACCAAACUGGAGUGUCCACGAUAUUCCGACGAUGACCCAACGGAGUGGUAUAAUAGGAUCAUGCAAUUUUUUGAGUACCAGGAAGCAACCAACGAACAGAAAGUCUCCUUAGCUUCUUUUCACCUCGAAGGAGAGGCCAACCAAUGGUGGCAGUGGAUACGACGAACUUAUCAAGAAGAGGAAAAGAUAGUAACGUGGGAAAGUUUUGUGGAGGAGCUUUGGGCACGGUUUGGCCCUACUGAGUGCGAAGAUUAUGAUGAGGCGUUGUCCAGGGUUAAGUAGACAGGGUCACUACGUGAUUAUCAGAGGGAAUUCGAAAGGCUUGGGAACCGGGUAUAAGGCUGGACGCAAAAGGCCUUGGUCGGGACCUUUAUGGGAGGAUUGAAACCGGAAAUCUUAGAGGAAAUUCGGAUGUUUCGGCCCAGAACUUUAAAAGAAGCUAUAAGCCUCGCACGUAUGAAGGAUGAUCAAUUGACGCGACAAAGGAAGUUGCUGCGACCACAGUACCUCAACCGUAUACCACCAGCACCAACAAACAAUACCCGUGCCCAACCAACGAGACCCAUCAAACAACUGACUUGGGACGAAAUGCAGCGGCGUCGAGCAAUGGGACUUUAUUUCAAUUGCAACGAUCAAUUUACAGCAGGUCAUAAGUGCACCCAACCUCAGCUAUUGCUCCUUGAAAGUGAGACAACAAAUGAUGAAACUACAUAUGAGGGAAUUCCUGAAGUCUUAUGCACAGAACCUGACACUAGAGAGCCAACCGAUCCAAAAAUCACUUUCUAUGCCCUCACUGGAUGGGCAGCCCCAAGAACCAUGCGGGUCACGGCAAAGGUAGGACUAUAUGAGAUUAUGGUUCUGAUCGAUAGCGGUUCAACUCACAAUUUCAUUAGCUCGCGAAUGGCCAACAUGUUACGGCUGCCAAUCAUUCCCACAACAGGAUUUUCGGUGUGAGUGGCAAACGGAGAAACGCUAUCAUCCAAGGGAAAAUUCAAACGGGUUCAGGUAUUAUUACAAGAAGUUCCAUUCACUUUGACUCUUUAUUCACUUCCAAUUACAGGGCUGGAUAUGGUGCUGGGAGUCCAGUGGUUUGAGAUGCUAGGCUCCAUGGUUUGCAACUGGAAACAACUUACCAUGGAUUUCACUUGGGAGAACAAAAGUUACCGGUUACAAGGCAUCGGGCCUCAAUCAAUACAAAUGGCAUCCUUGACUGAAAUUACCAAAGAGCUGAGACAAGGGCAGUCCGGUUUUGCCAUUUGUUUCCAUGUUAAUGUAGAAGACUCUCUCAACACAACAACUCCAGAUAUGCAAGACUUGUUAAAGGAAUACAACACUUUAUUUCAAGAGCCAACAAAACUGCCACCUAGACGAGAAAUCGACCAUAACAUCACAUUGAAAGAGGGAACUGAGCCAGUCAACGUACGGCCAUACCGCUACGCCUAUUUCCAGAAAGCCGAAAUUGAAAAACAAGUCCAGGAGAUGCUGAAUUCGGGACUCAUUCGGCCUAGUACCAGCCCUUUUUCAUCACCAGUACUACUUGUCAAAAAAAAAGAUGGAAGUUGGCGAUUUUGCACCGACUAUCGGUCUCUCAAUAACGCCACUGUUAAAGACCGAUUUCCAAUCCCUACAGUCGAUGACAUGUUGGACGAGUUACAUGGAGAAGCGUACUUCACUAAACUGGACCUAAGGGCCGGAUACCAUCAGGUACGUGUAAACCCAGCCGACAUACACAAAACAGCUUUCCACACACACAACGGACAUUACGAAUACUUAGUAAUAUUGUUUGGCUUAUGCAACACACCAUCGACAUUCCAGGCCAUCAUGAACUCUAUCUUCCGUCCCUAUCUUAGGAAAUUUAUCCUUAUUUUCUUUGACGAUAUAUUGAUAUACAGCCCCUCUUGGCGUAGCCACCUUACUCAUGUUAAGCAGGCAAUAGAGGUUCUUAAACAGCAUCAAUUUUUCCUUAAAGCAAGCAAGUGCACUUUUGGCCAACAAGAACUCGAGUACCUCGGCCACAUAAUUACCAGCCACGGGGUAAAAGUAGAUGAGACAAAAAUUGCGGCCAUGGUCUCCUGGCCUCAAUCGAAGCACAUCUCAGAGCUACGGGGAUUCCUUGGCCUUAUGGGUUACUACAGAAAGUUCGUCCAAGGAUAUGGAGUUUUAGCUCGACCACUCACGAAUCUUCUAAAAAAAGGGCAGUUUGAAUGGAAUGCAGAAGCGGACAAAGCUUUUAUGAAUUAAAAAAAUGCAAUGACAAGUACACAUACAUUGGCCAUGCCUAAUUUUAAUGAAACUUUUGUUAUUGUGACAGACGCAUCCGGUGACGGCAUCGGCGCAAUACUCCAGCAACAAGGGCAGCCUAUCAAUUUUAUGAGUCGUGCCUUGGGAGUCACAAAAAAAUCUUGGUCCACAUACGCAAAAGAGAUGUUGGCGAUUAUAGAAGCUAUCCGUGUGUGGCGACCUUAUCUGUUGGGAUGAAAGUUUAUCAUCCAAACCGAUCAACGCAGCCUUAAGUACCUUUUAGAGCAGAAAAUUACGACACCCGAACAGCAACAGUGGCUGGCCAAAUUGAUGGGGUUUGAAUAUGAAAUCCAAUAUAGACCCGGCCGUGAGAAUGUUGCCGCCGACGCCCUUUCACGAUGACCUCAUAAUUCUGCUCUUAACAGUUUAUUUGUGGCGCAGGUAUCUAUUUGGAAUGAAAUAAAAACGGCUGCCCAAGAUGAUGAUUACAUGCAGCAAAUUACACAUCAAGCCCUGACUCAACCCACUGGUCCUUAUUUCAUGCGUAACGGGCUGAUUUUCUUCAAGGGCCGAGUUGUAGUUCCUCUUCGACUCCGUCAAUCAUUAAUUUUUGAAGCCCACGACACUAAGAUGGGAGGUCAUUCAGGAGUUCUACGUACUUAAAAACAUUUGAAACAACAAUUCUAUUGGCCUUUAAUGUUUCAAACGGUUCAUGACUAUGUGGGUAAAUGUGAGAUUUGUCAAAAAACGAAAGCAUCCACUCUUAAGCCUGUGGGUCUCCUCCAGCCCUUGCCAAUUCCUUGCUAAUUGUGGGAUAAUAUCACGCUCGACUUCGUUGAAGGGCUGCAAAACUCACACGGUAAAAAUUCUGUUCUAGUGGUGGUGGAUCGGCUCAGCAAGAGUGCACACUUUAUGGCCUUGACUCACCCAUUCACAGCAAAAACGGUGGCUGAGAAGUUUAUUGAUGGAGUGGUAAAAUUACAUGGCAUGCCGAAAUCAAUAAUCAGUGACCGAGACCCUAUUUUUAUUAGCAAGUUUUGGAAGGAGUUUUUUCAUAUGUCAGGUACACAACUCAAGAUGAGUUCUGCGUACCAUCCGCAAACCGACGGUCAGACGGAAGUUAUUAAUAGAUGUCUUGAACAAUACCUGCGAAGCUUUGUUCACCAAUGGCCGAAGCAAUGGAACUCUUACCUACCUUGGGCAGAAUACUGGUACAACACAACGUACCAUGUGUCCACAGGUAUGACUCCUUUUUUGGCUUUGUAUGGGCGACAUCUACCGGUAGUACCAAUGUAUCAUGUGGGAUCUUCUCCAGUGCACGAGGUAGAUCAAGCUUUGUUGUCUAGGGAUGAGUUGUUGCGAUAACUAAAAUAGAAUUUGGAAAUGGCAACCAAUCGCAUGAAACAAUUUGCGGAUACAAAAAGGCGCGACAUGGAGUUUAAGGAGGGUGACAUGGUAUUCCUAAGACUUCCACCGUAUAGGCAGACUACUGUCUUCCGUCGUGCUCAUCAGAAGUUGGCCAGCAAAUACUUUGGGCCAUAUCCAAUUCUGCGAAGAGUGGGUCAAGUGGCUUAUGAGCUUAAGCUACCAACGGGAUCUCAAGUGCAUCCGGUAUUCCAUGUGUCCUUGCUCAAAAAAUACGUUCGUGUGAUGCCUCAAUUCAGCGCAGAUCUUCCAUCUGUUGAUGACGACGGAGUACUCGUUUUGGAACCGGAUAGAAUUAUUGAUGUUCGUUGACUUAAAAGAGGUGGCAAGUUGGUGGAACAAAGUCUUGUCCAUUGGAAACGCCUUCCACAUGAGGACGCAACAUGGGAAGAUUUAGAGUUCCUGGCAAAGCAAUUCCCUCACCUGACCUUUGAGGACAAGGGUCCUCUUCGUAGAAGCGGUAUUGAUAUGCCGCGGAGGUCGUCAAGGAUUCCAAAGCCUAGCAACAAGUAUGCUGGGUACGUUUGAAUUAUGCAUGGAUGCUUGGAAGUCGAACGGUCACAUGGCUCAAGACUCAUGCAUACGUUACAUGCAACAUGCAGCACGUUGGAAGAAUGGUCGUUGGAGCAGUCUACAGGGAUCGUGGGUUGAUUCGGUCAACAUGGGAUCACUUGCUGAUUUAAUGGAGAUUUAUUAUUUGGUUUAAUUCAUAUUCGGUUGUUUUGUUAAGCUAAAAGAAUAAGUCAAAUUGUUAGCUUAGGACCUGCCUACAAUCUCGAGUGAUAGUUAGAUUGUUUGGCUAAGUUGUUUCAAGUAUAAAUAAGCUCCAACAGACUUGAAUAAAGGCAUUGACUAUUAUCCAAAAAAUCAAAUAUCUUGUGGUCUUAUUUCUCACCCUAAGUAGAAAUAUAUUCAAUCACUUAUGCUUUGACUGGGACCGCUAUCAGAAAUCAAUAUUUUUUGACUUGCCAUAUUGGAAGGUAUGUUAUACUAAUCAUAUUAUUUUUAUCUUCUUUCUAUUAUUCUAUAUUUGCAUAAUGGGUUUUAAAAUGUAAUAUCAUAGCUAACUUUUUUUUUAAUUUUUAUAGAAUUUGCUGGUGCGCCAUAACUUGGAUGUGAUGCAUAUUGAGAAGAACAUAUGUGAUGGUAUAGUGAGUACAUUGUUGAAUAUAAAAGGGAAAACAAAAGAUGGUCUUAAUUCAAGAUUAGAUCUAAAACGUUUGGAUAUUAGAAAGGAUUUGCAUCCUAAGAAGGAGAAUAAUGUACUGAAGUUACCUACUGCAUCACACACGCUCUCUAAAAAAGAGAAACUGAUAUUUGUAAACGGCUUGCUAGUUUAAAGCUACCUGAUGGCUAUGGCUCAAAUAUAGCAAAAUGUAUUUCAGUAGAUGAAUGCAAGGUGGUUGGACUGAAAUCCCAUGAUUGCCAUAUUCUAAUGCAGCAACUCAUACCUGUAGCUUUAAGAGGAAUUUUACCGAAGGGUCCAUGAAAAGCAAUUUUUCGAUUAUGUACAUUUUUUAACGAAUUGUGUAACACGGUCUUAGAUAGAAGUAGAUUACAACAAUUGGAGGAAGAAGUGACUGAGACAUUGUGCAUGUUAGAGAGAUUCUUCCCACCUUCGUUCUUUGAUAUCAUGAUCCAUUUAACUAUUCACCUAGGAAGAGAAGCUUGUCCAUGUGGACCAGUACAAUAUCGCUGGAUGUACCCAAUUGAGAGGUUUUUACUUACCACCAGCUUUUUUAAAAUAAAACAAUAAGUAAUGAAAAAAUAAUUAAUUUAUUUUACAUGUGUUAUGUCUCAGGUUUAUGAAAAUUUUAAAGGGAUAUGUAGAAAAUCGUGCACGACCCGAAGGAUGUAUAGCUGAAUGGUACAUUGCUGAAGAGUAUGCAUCAUUUUGUAGCAAAUAUAUAAAGCAGGCAGCCGAAAUAGGUACUCAACAUGGGAGAAAUGAAGAAUCUGAUAAUGACUUAUUAUUAGGAGGGCGUCCAAUAUCUAGAGGCAAGUCUAUUAGCCUUUCGGAUGAGAUGUUACAUAUUGCUCAUCGAUAUAUUUUAUUUAACAGCAUAGAGAUCCAACCUUAUAUAGAGUAAGACUUCAGGACAAUAUGUAAUUGUUGUUUUUCAAGUUUAAAAGGUGUGAAAAUUAACUUACAGUUCAUUUUUUUACUAGAGAACACUUGGAAGAAUUGAAGUGUAUGGAUAAACGACUUUUGAGAAAUGAAACCAUGUUACAGAAAAAGCAUAUGGACAGUUUUAGCUCGUGGUUAAAUAAUAAGGUUUGUAAGUAAGUUAGUUUUACUUUUACAAAUAUGCAAUACUUAUGUUUUUUAACUUUUAACCUUUUUUUUUUCAAUAGAUAACAAUGCAGCAGAGACAAACCAAUUUGCCAAAAACUUUAACAUGGCUUGCAAGAGGACCAAGGAAUCAAGCAAUGUCAUUUUCUGGAUAUGUUAUUAACGGCCUCAGAUUUCAUACAAAGGAAGCUGAAAAGUCUCGACAAGAUAGUGGUGUUUCACUUGAAGCAAAUACAAUUUGUAGAGCUAGUGCAAGGGACCCUACACAAGUUGUUGGGAAAGUCACUUAUUAUGGAGUGUUGAGGGAUAUAUUAGUGCUUGACUACAAUACUUUUCAGGUCCCCAUUUUCAUGUGAUUGGGCUAAUAUAGUUAAUGGUGUUAAAGUCGAUGAAGGAUUCACUUUAGUUAACCUUCACGAAGGACAAAGCCAAUUUGGAAAUGAUCCAUUCAUUUUAGCUUCACAAGCUAAACAAGUAUUUUAUUAUGAGGAUAUUGAAAAAUCAAAUUGGUAUGUAGUAUUGAAAGCACCACAAAGAGGGUUCCAAGAUUUAUUAUUGGCUAGUGAGAGUAAUUACAGUAUAUGCCUACCAAUUGACAUAAGUGGGCAUGAAACUGAAAAUGAUAAUGAGGACGAACCUCUUAGAAGGGAAGGAGUUGAGGAUAUAGUGUGUGAUGACUAGUUUAGUAUAUUAAUUAUUUAUGUAUUCUUGAAUUAUAGUUUAUUGUUAUAGUUAUUUGUUUUCAUGAAUCUAUUAAUUGGUUCCUUAAAUUACACGAUUAUGUUAAUGUGCUUAUUUCUCCGUGAUUAUUUUUAUAUGUUUAUUUCUAAACAAAGCUCUAGCUUUGUCAUUGGCAUUAAUCUCUUGUCAUAAUAAUAUAAACAUUUUGUUCAGCAUUUAACAAUUGUGCGGGGGGGGGGGGGGGUAAAAGAGAUGGACAAUGCUGAAGUAAGUAAUUUUUUUUUUGGUUCAACAUUGAAUUAUAAUUUUUUAUCUUCAUAUACUUAUUUUAUUUGUGUUUAUUCCUACAUAAAUUAUGUUAUGUAUAAAGUCUUCUAGGCAAGGUGAGAAAAGAAGUCAAGAUAAAUUUGGAGAAAAUGCAACUAUUCAAGGGGAGAAUGGACCAUUAGCAACUAGCAAUAGAGAAAAUGUGCACAUAUCUCAAUCUGAUGACAAAGGCACAAAAAAGAAAAGAGGUCCAACCAAACUUGGAAUGAUUCAAGAUCGUUCUCCACCAUUGAGCAUUGAGUUUAACGAAAAUGGCCAGGCAGUAGGUGUAAAUUCUGAUAAAUAUGCAUCUUUUAUUGGAGUUAUAACACGAGAACAUGUGCCUGUUUGUAUGAAAAAUUGGCUUUCGGUUGACCACAAGCUAAAAGAAGAUCUUUGGUCAUUAGUGCAGGUAUAUGAUAUUAUGCAAUAAUUAUCUUUAUUAACAAAUACAACAUUUAUCUUGAGAUUUAUUAUAUCAGCUAUUAUUUGCAUUUUUCUUAUAAUUUAUACAGGAAAAAUUCGUUGUGGAUGAGUCUCGUAAACGCUUGGCUUUAAGAAUGAUGGGUGAUUGCUGGAGACGAUACAAAUCAGAGCUAACAACUAAGAUCAAACAAGCGAACAAAGAGCAUAAUAAAGCACGUGUACUUGCUCUUAUCAAGCCAAAAAAUAUAACUUCCAAAGAAGAUUGGGCUAAAUUUGUCAAGGAAAGGUUGUCUCCAGAAUUUAAAGUAAGUUAGUCCAUUGCAUUGCAAUAAUGGUAUUCAAAUUAAGUUUCAUAUCUAUUAAAAUUAUACAUUUCAAUGUUUGAUUGAUAGGCAAUAAGCAAGAAGUUUAAAGAAAUGAGAAAUAAUCAGGAAGUGGUUCAUUCAAUGGGCCGACUAGGUUAUGCUAGGAAGGAGCAUACCAUGGUAUGAAUUUAUUUAAUUCGAUUAUUUUUUUACACUUAUUUGAUUUACUUUAAAUUACAUAUUUUUCUUAAUUGUAGAAAAAAAAGAGUUCAAAUCCAUCUGAAAUCACUAGAGUUGAUGUUUGGAUUGAAGACCAUCUUAAAAAGAAUGGUCAACUUGUUAAUGAAGCAGCUUCUAAAGCAUUGGUAGGAGAUAUCUAUACAAAGUAUUCUUGUUAUAACUAUUCAUAUGUAUGUUUUUAAUAAUGUUAUUUUGCCUUCUUCUAGGAAAAAGUUGGAGAGUGUCAUCAUUCAAAAGAUAAUGCAAGGUCUAACAACAUACGUAAUGAUGCUAUUGUAAAAGUAUUUGGACCUGAAAAGCAUGGACAAGUUCGAGGACUGGGGUUCGGAGCCACUCCCACUCAAUUAGAAGCACAUAUUCGAUCUACUGGAAAAGUAAAAGAACUUCAAAACCACUACAAGUUCAAUCUGAAAGAAUGUCUGUCCUUGAAAAGAAUUAUGAGCAUUUGACAGCUGCGCUUUUAAAAUAAUGGCAACAGGUAAAUGACUAUAUGAUAAUGCAUAUAUACAUGUAACUAGUUAUUUGAAAUCCAUUCUAAGACUUAAGAGAAUUCUGAUCAUUUACAGAAUCCAAGCAAAGGUUUUGAUGAUAUUAUAACUUCUCAAGCUUGUACUCCUCAGGUAAUGCUUUUUUUUAUCUUUUUUUAGACUUAUUAAGAAUGUUUCAUUGAAAAGAAAAAAAAAAGUACUGGCUAAACCAACUUUUAUUUCUCACUCCUAUAAGUUGUAAAUCCAUAUUUGUCUUGCUUAUAGUCACAACAAGGAAGCGGUACAAUGCAAGAAAAUGGCCACUAUGAAAAUGCAAGAUGUUAUUUAUUGAAUUGGUAUACAUAUGAUGUUGAGGAAAUAGUGGCUGAAGGAACGAUUGCCUCAACAGACCCCAAGGCAAAAGUUCACCACAUGUCUCUUGGAAGAGAUUGUUGGAAAGUUUGGGUGGAAUCAAUAUCUGAUGGUAUGGAUGAAGUGACUUUAUAUAAAGUGACAGAUGAAGCUCAUAUAAUAGUUGAGGCUUUGGGAAGCACUGUUGCUUGGCCAAAAAGUUGCAUUAAAUUGUUUUAAAGAAGGUAUGUAGGCAUACAAAUAUUCUCUUUGGUAUGUAUAUAUAAUUAUUUUUCAAAUGCAGCAAAUAAAAAUUGAUUUAGUUAACCUUUUUGUAGGAGUUUAUGCCUUGAAGAAGAUGUUUUUGUUACCGUGUAUAUAUGCCUUGAAGAAGAUGUUUUUGUUGGCGGGUAUGUAUGCCUUGAAGAAGUUUUUGCUGGAAUUGCAAGCUGAAGAAGCUUUUGUUGGAGAUGAUUUUUUGAAUUUGAUAUUUAUCGAAUUGCAACUGCCACUAAUGUGUUGUAAUUAUUUUUUUUUGGGUGUUUUGCUAGAUGGAAAUUAUGCUGAUGUUGGAAAUUUCUAUGGAUUAAUUGUAUGAAUACUAAAAUAUUUGUGUGACUUUUAGUGGGGAUGUGUGGUCAUUACUAUGUUUAUCAAAUCUUAUUACAAUAAGCCGAAUAUUUGAAUUAGUUCAUAUACAUUUUAUAAAUGGUGGCAGCAGUGUAGUAGUAGUUGUAGUAAGCAAGUAAGUAAGUAAUAAUAAUAAUAAUAAUAAUAAUAACAACAAUAGUAACAAUAAUAAAUAUAAUAACAAUAAUGAUAAUGAUAAUAAUUAUAAUAAUAAUAACAACAAUAGUAACAAUAAUAAAUAUAAUAAAAAUAAUGAUAAUGAUAAUAAUUAUAAUAAUAAUAAUAAUUAUUAUUAUUGGCAACAUGCAAGAUAUAUUGUUUAUUGUAAAAAAAAAAAUUGAAAUUAAUGGCGACAAUUAGUUGCUUGUUGCUAUAUAGUUUAUGACAACAUUCACAAGCUUGUAGUAAAAAAUUUGGAUGCACAUGACCUUUUUAACCACAAUCACUACAAGUUGUCAUAAGACAUUUAACAACAUUCAUAUCUUUUUCAACAACAUGAAUUGCGCGUAGUUGAAAGUUACCUACUUUUCGCUACAGCAAGAACCGCAACAUGCAUGUGCUCGUCGUGAAACCCCUUCCACAACAAGCUUUGCCUGUUGUCAUAUAGUAUUUUUCUUGUAGUGAAUUCUGCUAGGGUAAGAAAUUUGCCGAAGCCCCAUUCACUUGUCUGCUGAUCAUAGGUCCCCACUGGAGAUUUAGCAUCUUGGACUGCCAAGUAAUCCUUCCUAAUCUUAUCAUACACAAACAAUCUGUAGUAGACAUUAACACUCCAGGCAGCAUUAGAAUAAGAAUUGCUUUCAUCUAUUUUCAGGUAAAGGGAAAGAUGACGUCUAUGUUCUUUGUGAUCUACUGUAUUUGCAUUUGAUCAGGGGUAAGGUUCAUAGUACGUAUGUCCUCUAAUUAAGUGUUUCUUUCUUUUUUGAUUUAGACAAAAAUAUAUACAGUCUACCCAGAGUUUCACCAUUUUUCAAAAACUGUUCUACUUCCAACUUAAUACCGUUAGUAACUUUGAUAGAAUAUUAGCAAAAUGACAAU